rnacentral:lncRNA from 1 species
AAUAGUCUUCCUUGCAUUUCCUUGAAAGUUGUUCCUCCAUUUGAGUAUUUCUGCUCUACAUUUUGCAAUUUUCCCGUGCACUUUAUACAACCUCAAGCCUAUUUGCUCCUCUUCCCAGGCCUGUUUAAUUACUUGUUCCAGGCCCUUCUUCUUCAGCCAUCUUCUGUUGAAGAUAAACCUUUUCUUUCUUUUCUCUCUCAGAGGGUUGGAAUCCAGUAAAAUCAUGCUAUGGUCUGAGCCAAAGUUUUAUAUGUGUUUAACAAUAGCUCUGUCAAACAUCUGGCUCCAGGCACUACUCCCCAUGGCUCUAUCAGGCCUCUGUUUAAUUUCCCCUUCUUGAGUCUAAUGAUUACUCCAUGUCCUGGGGUUGCCUUCAAAUCCUAAAUCUAUUAGUCCAUUUUGGUUAAUGAAAUUUCUAAAAUCCUUGAAAGAGCCUUCCUCCCUUCUUCUACCCCUCCAUUUCUCCUCAUUGGAAGUGAUAUUAUUAAAAUCACCUAAAAUCAUCCACCUUAGUCCCCAUAGCUCCUUCCUUCUCUCCACAACCUCCCAUUGAUUUCUCUUGAUUUGGUCAUCAAUGCUAGCAUAAAUUCCUAUGAACCACUACUCCAAAUUAGUCUCUGUGUCCAUUAUGUGGACUUCCACAGUGAAAGCAGUAGUAAGGACCUCUAAAACCUACACAUCAGUAUUCCACAUUAUUGCCAUACCUCCUGAUUUAUGCAUAGAUUCCACCACCACACUUUCCUCAAACCUCAACUGUUUUUGUAGUUUUUCCAUUACCUGUUUUCUAUUUUUGGUUUCACACAAGAAAAUCAUGUUUAGGGAGAGGAGGUUGCAGGCCUCCAUCAACUGGGGAAUUGUCAAGGGGCUUCCAGCACCUUGACAAUUCCACACCAGGACUUUCAUUUGUCCAUUGGUGACCAGGUUGGGCUGGUCACCUCCCCCUCUCUUAGGUUUGCACAGCUUUCUUGACCUAUCUCCAUUCUCCCAUUUUUUCCAACUAUCGUAGCUACAUCAACAUCCACCAUAUCUUCAUCUGCUAUUUGAAAUUUUCUCUUCCCUGCAUUUUCUUUAUUAUUCAUGGAGUUUUGUAUAUCUUUCAGAGGUUUUCUUCUAACAACUGAAGUCUUUAAUUGUCUCCUGGUCCUUCUAGAUGUUUCCUGAUUACUUGUAUCCUCCAGGGCUUCUAAUUGUUCCUCUACUUGCAUGCUCUCAGCUUCUGGUUCCUUUGAGAGUUGUUCCACAGGCCUCUCUAGCACAAUGUUCAGAUUUCCUUCACAAGACAUCCUUUCAAUUCCUUUCUUUGCCUAUUCCUCUUUCCCUUCUCUAUUAUUCCUGCUCUCCUCUUUUCCUGAAACCUUUUCUUUUGCAUUAGUUAUCAGAUGAAUUCCUCCUUGUUUACCAGCCUUAUUAGAUCCAUUAUCCUCUUUCUCUAAAUCAUUAGUACCAGGUUGCUUUUUUUCCAUCAGUGUUCUUCUUGCUAUUUUUGGGACCAACUCCCCAUCUUUAAAACCCCAUCGCUGUUUGUUAGGGGAUCUAUUGACUAGCUGUCUACCUCUCAUUUCUUUUUGGGGUGACAAUUUCCCCCCACCUGCUCUAAGCCAUGGCCCAAAUUGGUUAUCCAAAUGUCCUUUCCCCACUUGUGUACUGGUUGUGCAAUUCCUUUCACUAUGUCCGAUUUUGCCACAGGUGUAACAGAAAUCUGGACACCGUUUGUACCUGAAGCUUAACCAUUUCACUUUACCUUCCACUUUGACCGUGGUACCUCUCAUAAGAGGUUGUGAAAUGUCUGCCAUCACCAGCAUCUUAAUGUGCCUUCCUUCCUUACCUCCCCCUUGAGGUAUAAUCACUUCCUUUGUUUCCUGAAACACUGAAGCUAUCUUUUUCCCCACUUCCUUUGAAAUCCAAUGCACUGGGAGAUUCCAAACUUGUAUCCAUAGUGGGGCUAUGUUAAAGUCAGCAUCCUUCUCUUCAAAGCCUUUAAACCAUGGCCUAACUACUAGCAUCUGACUGUCAAUGAUCCAUGGCCCUCUGUUAGAGAUCCUAUCUCUAUUCUUUUCGCUGGGAAUGAAAAACUGGUACGAAUUUGCUCCUACCUCUACCACCCUCAGACCCUUAGGGUAUCCUCAUGCUAAGGUUACAAAAUUUUUCACUCCCACAAAGUUUAUGAUUUUUUCUCCCUUUAUCUUUCCUACCAUACUUUUUUCACAUUCCUUGACACUUGGUCCUACAUCUCCCAAGUCAAUUUCUGUGACACCCAUCUCUUUUGUAGAUAACACAAAUUUCUGCAGUAUCUCCGCUAUCUCCUCAGCCGUAGUGCUCCAACUAGGUUUCUACAAGAAGGAAUAUCACUGAUCAGCUCAUCUCCAGGUGAUAAGUCAAGGGUUAGCUAUACUAAAACAAGGGUGUUCUCUUUGGCUCUCUCACACUAAAGGUAUGAACUUCCACUAAAAAGAAAGCAGUUCAGGAAAAAGGGACCAAAGAUUAAAUAUGAGCUACCCUGCUACUGCAUCAGCACAAUAAAACCCAGAUUUAACAGAAAAGCAGUUUUAUGCUUUUUUCUCUCUUUCCACCUUCCUUUUUUUAAAAAAAAAAAAGAUUUUUAAAAACAGAGUCCUCCCUUUGUUCCAAAAUUCCUUGGCUCCAUUUGGAUUCAGCAUUUUUUGAAAAACAAUUUUUUCAUUUACAAUACUAUAGUAAUACACAAACAAAAACAACUCCAAAAAUACCAUAUCCAAAUAAUAUAUCGAAAACAACUCCAAAUAUACAAAAAAAAUUCGAAAUUUUUCGAUUUCAAAUUAUGCGAAUUUGGUUUGAAUUCGGUAAUGAAAAUUUUGAAAUCCAAAAUAGAAAUCAGAUUUUUUGAUUUCAAUUUCAUUUUAUAUUAUAUAUAUAUUAAUAUUUAUUUAUAUAUAUAAUAUUUUUUAUUUCAAUUUUGUUUUAUAAUAUGUAUAUUAAUAUAUAUUAAUAUGUAUAUUUCAAUUAUGUAUAUUAUAUUAUAUAUAUAAAUUAUAUUAAUAUUAAUAUGUAUAUUUCAAUUAUGUAUAUUAAUAUAUAUGUUAUAUAUAUUAUAUCAAUUGAAAUAAAUAUAUAUAUUCAUAUAUAAAUAUAAAUUUAUAUAUUUAUAUAUUUAUAUAAAUUUAUAAAUAUAUUUAUUUCAAUUUUAUUUUAUAAUAUGUAUAUUGAUAUAUAUUAAUUUGUAUAUUUCAAUUAUGUAUAUUAUAUUAUAUAUAUAAAUUAUAGUAAUAUUAAUAUGUCUAUUUCAAUUAACUGAAUUAAUAUGUAUAUUAUAUAUAUUAUAUCAAUUGAAAUAAAUAUAUUUAUAUAUAAAUAAUAUAAAUAUAUUUAUAUAAAUAUUUAUUUAUUUUUUUUUUCAAUUUUGUUUUAUAAUAUGCAUAUUAAUAUAAAUUAAUUUGUAUAUUUCAAUUAUGUAUAUUAUAUAUAUUAUAUCAAUUUGGCAAGGUUGUUCCAUAUAAAAAACCCAGGAAGUGGAAGAAAGCUGCAUUCGUUCAUAUGUUUGGCUGUUUUUCUUCCCGUAACAGCCCACCAAGUGGGUUUCGUCACCUAAUUUGCUAUUUAAUCUUGUGCUAGAAAGAGGAAAUGGGAUGAUUGGUGUUGGGUUUGCGUAUUUUUUAUCCAAAGACACAUAAAUCAGGCUUGAAUGCUUGCUGGAAAAUGAACCUCCGUGAUUGCAGAACAAUGCAGAAUCUUGUUCGAAGCUUUGCAUGAGAAACUUUCAAAAAUUGCAUUUUACCCCUGAAGUUUUCCUUUAUUUUACUAUGGCCCAGAAAAUUGAAAUAUUUAAUCAAUUUUGUCCCCUUAAAAAUGUUAAUUUUCUUUGAUAUAAUUUAAUGUGGCUUUUGGAUAGAUUUUUAGUAAAUUUUAGGAUGAACUUUGAAGGUUUAAUGACUUUUGAUAGAUUUACAGUCUUGAUUUGAAUUUUAGUAAAAUUUUGGGUAAUUUGUUGUUUAACUAUAGCAAAUGGGUUUUUGUUCUUUUUUUUUGUGAAUUUUAGCAUUUAGUUUUGAUAAGCUUCAUAUCAUGCCUUAAUUCUAUUAUUUUCAUUUAAACCCUUAAUAUUUGUAAUAAUAAUAAUUUGACCCCUCAAACUUCUUUAAUCCUUUUAAUUGGGUCUUUGUUUGUCUUAAUUUGUUAAAUUUGAGUAGUUUCCUUUCCGUGGAAUGCUUUGAUUAAUUCAACUUCGUGUUUAUUUCUAUUUUUAUGAUUAUAUGUUGAUUAAAGCGAUGCCUUGACCCUUUUCUUUGUUUUGGAGGGUAAAUAAGAAACAUUUUAUUUCUUUAGGUCACAAUUCAAGGGAGGUACACUCUACUCCUUUAUUUCGAUUUUACUUGAACCUAUGUGCUACUGUGUGAUUUUAUGUGUGAAAUUGCAUGCUUUUUGAAGUUUUUUUAAUUUUAUUAUUUCAUAUUAUUUUUUAUUCACUUUAUUUAUUUUAAUUUGAUAUAUUUAUUUAAUUUAAUUUUGGUCAUUUGAGAGGCAUUUAAAUGCCAAGAUGUAAUAGUUAGGUAUUUAUUUUAUUACUUCCCCCCUCAGAUUGUAGUUAGGGCCCCCAAUGUAAUAGUUAGGGUUUUAUUUGCUUUAUUUGUUUUGUGUGUUUUGCAUGCCUAUGUGUUUACGUGUUACUCGCUUUUUUAGGGUCUUGCAUCUAGAUAUCAUGCUUAUGUGCUAUGUGCUAUAUGUGAUUUACGUGUUUAUUUGCUUUAUUAUGUUUUACAUGAUUUAUUUGAUCAUAAUAAAUGCAUGACGUCACCACACUAGUCCAAUGCUAGUUAUGGCCCCCUUUUUCCGAUUCCACACUAGUCCAACGCUAAUUGUAACCCUCCUUUCUAAUUUAUCACUAGUCCAACGCUAGUGAGAACUUAUAAACAUGGGUUAGUCCAAUAUUAGACCCUUAGGGGCCCUCCACGCGCUACAUCAUGUUUGUGUGACGUGACAAUCACUACAUUUUCGUACAUAUUUUUCUACUUUUUAGGGUUUUUAUCAUUUUGCAUGACAUUUUCCUUAUAUGUAUAUCCCUUAUCCAUAUUUCCCCUAUAUGUACAUCCCUUACUCCUGUAUGUAAAAACAUGACAUUAGACUUGCAUUUCAUUUUAAAAAAUUAGAACUAGAUUAGAUCAUUUGCUUGACUAGAUAGGAGAAUACCCCUCGAAUAUGGGAUAUAGACGAGUAUGGCUUUCUAGCCUUAGCACACUCUCAUUUCUUCUAUUAAAGGGAAAAUUGAAAGUCACGAGUGUUAGUUCCCCACACCCAUUAUGAUGCAUUCCCUUAAAUCACGUAUAUUUGUAUAUUAUAAUUUUUUUUUUCAUUUUUUCAAAGUCUCAUUGUUGAAUAUUCGUGACCUCUUCAAAGAAUCACGUUUGGACGUCGCAAUUAAUACAAUUUGCACCAAUCAAGCCUUGAAAAGACAUAUUGACCCUUCCGAUAUACAUUAGGUCUAAGUUUACAUUCAUAUAGUGACAUCCAAAUGUGAUAAAUUUUUAAAUUAAAAUAGAAUUUUUUUUACUAAAUCACGCAACUAGCCUUGGUUAGAUUGAAAGGGUGCAUUGGAUUUUAUCCUUGCCUUCUCUUUCUUCAACCGUGACUCCCGAGCUCUUUUCUCUUGAUUUUUGUAGAUUUGGAAUCGUUUAAAAAGAGUUUUCUCUACUUUUUCUUUAACAAUUCAUUUUAGGUGAUUUGGUACACCUUAACUCAAUACCAAGUGGUGACUCCUAUUUUUCAUUAAAAAUCCUUUUUAAACUAUUACUUUUGGGUCAAAAUAACUCCACUUUUUAGUCCCAUUUAGGCCCAUUUUCUUUAUUUAUUUUCUAAAAAUAAAAAAAUUCUUUCAAGCAAAAUUAAUCAAAAUUCAUUUCUUUAUUCAUUUUCUAAUUAAAAUUCAUUUUUCUCAAAAUUAAUCAAAAAAUUCCUUUUUCUAAACUCGUAAUUUUAAUUUUUUAUUUUAAAAUGGGGCGCGACACCCAUGGUUCACUAAACUUCUCGACCAAGCUCAUGUCGAUUCAAGUUACAAGGUUAGCCAAUGGAAUUUGGGCGUCCCCACAAGUACAAGUCGAUAAGAUUUCUCUCAAAUCGACACCAAGUCACACACAGGCAUGAAUAUGAUUAUAAAGUACAAGCAAGUCAAUUAUCAAGUCAAGCAAGAGAGAACGAGUGCGAUAAAUUACACACUUGUCUCGACAAGUCCAAUUCACAUAUUCAACAAGAAAUAGUUCAAGUAUUAUGCAACACGUCAUGCACUUGACACUCACCAAUUUCAAAAGCAAGUGAGCAACAAAUUCCUUUAAAGUUUCUCGUCAGAAUUCCUUUCGAAUCCCUCUUGAGCACCUGAAGAAAUAUUAACCAACCAUCACUCACGGAUACCCUAAGUCAUUGAGCAUACAAAGAAGAAAGUUCGUUUGCCUAGAAUUAGGACAAUGCAUCAAAAAGGUUUAUUUCAUUGAAAAUCGAGAUUCACAAAUGAAGGUUUAAGGUCACAAGUUCGAGUCAAGUUAAAGGAGUUUUUCUCGCUAAAUCAUUGAAAUAAUAUUCAAAGAGAACUCAAAAGUUGUUUUUGAUUCAUGCCGAGGUAAGUAAAUCUCAAUUCCAAAAGAAAGUACCAUUUUUACUUUCGACACGAAAAUCGAGAAAAAGUGUAAAUGAUUUUCAUCUCUCAAAACUUCUAAUCUCAUGUCCAAACUUUAGAAUAUAAAGAACGUUCACAUUUUCCAAACUAAUGGAGUCAAAACUCAUCCAAAACUUCACUCAUUUUCAUAGUAAAUGUCAAAACUAAAGGUUCCAAGUUUCGAGUAUAAAACUAGUGAAAUUUUUCAAGAAUUACUCUAGUUAAAACGCUCCCUUUUUAAAGUUCAAACUCAUGAAAAUCGAUGGCAUAAGACUAGGGAUUGAAGUCAAUUUCUCAAGUAUGAAAAGAGGUGUCAUUAACCAAGAAAGUUAAACAACCAAGAAAACGCAUCAAGAGAUGUUUAAUCCUUUGAAAACCAAGAUUCAAAAUGAAGGUUUAAAGUUCAAAGAGACCUUGUAUCCAACCAUGAAAUUAAACUUAAAACGGACUAACAAUUUCAAAGGAAGGUUGAAAGUGCUUAAAAGAGUCCUUUGUUUGAAACCAGAAAAUUUCCAACUUGGUGCAACACUACUUGAAAAAAAUCAUAUCUCGAGUUCCGUAAAUCCAAAAAUUGAAAACUUUAUAGAAAUUAGAUUCAAUGCACUAAAACUCUUUAGAAUACACUUUUCUCAGACUCCAAUUCGAAAUCAUUCAAAUUUUAGACCAAAGUCACUAUUCCAGACAGGACAAAGCAAAACAAGCUUGCAAUUUCAGCAAAGUUUGGAAAUUCGACAAAAUUUGUAGGAAUGGAAUCAGCCCUUGAAAUUUAUACCACAAAUAGAACUCCAAUUCUAGUUUCAAAUGUAAUAAAUGGAACUCAAUUCGGACCUUUCUACACCAAGAUACAACAGUUUUAAGAAAGUUGAGUUUUGGAACCUAUUCUACGAAAUUUCCAGUUUUGAAGGCUUGAGAGCGUUUCAAAGUCUGAUCAUAACUAAAGCUACAAAACUCAAAAUUUAGCGUACUUUGUGGCAUUGAAAACGAGGUUCAAAAUGCUAAAAAUCAUUAGAAGGAACUGUCUUAAAAUUCGUUUUACAAGAUAGGUGAAAUUGAGCUACAAACUGUAGCUAUGCUUGUUUCUCGGAUGAAAGCAGUGAGCAAAUUCAGUUAUCUUUGCCGGUUCACUAUGGCUCAUAGGAAACGAAUUAGGAGGUACAUUUUAUACCGUUGGAAACCCCUCAGAGUCUAGUUUUAGGUGCCACAAACGGCACUUGAUUUCAACUCCCAGACAAAAAGUUAUGGGCCAAAAUGUGAACACUGGUCGGGUCUCCUGAUCAGAAAAUUUUUCAAGUUUCUUCCUCACUGAAACCCUACUUUAACUCAACCAAUUGUAAAGUUUUUUGGAAGAUAUUUAACACACGUAAACGCCAACAUAUAUCAAGCAUUAUAGCACUAAAAUAACAUCAAAAUUCGAAAAUAACAUGAGAGAUUCACCAACCAAAAUUCGGACAGCAAGCAUCCUCCAUUCUUUAAGUUUUUUUUUCAACUUCCCAACCAAAACUAAGCCAUAUCUUCUCAAAACAAGCAUCAAACAAGCAAAUAAACACACAAUAAUUCUCAAGACCUCUACCUAUGAAACCACCUCAAGUCCUCUACUUAGUGUCAAGGUUCUUGUAAACCCAUCAACAACCCAAAGACUAACUAGAUUAACUAACUAAUCUAACCAUAAGUUGUAUUUCCUUGGUCAUCUUCAAUCUCUUGGGUAUGUUCUAAUAUUGAUAAUUUAUCUUGUAAUGUUAGAGCAUUAUCCCACCAAUUUUUUAAUUGUCCAGUGAAUCCUGAAACUAAUAAUGUUGCAAUAUUUCUUUCUUGAAUAUUUUUAAUUUUAUAAGCAAGUCUAGCCAUUCCCAUUUCUUGCAAAUUAUUUAAUACUUCAUAUUCAGCUUUUCCAUCUAUAUUCCAUUCAUAAAUUGAAUCUCCAUCAUAUUUAGUGGUACGAAAUUUUGAUCUUUCAGAUGCUGCAGAAUUCCUAAUAGUAACAAUAGUAAUGUAUUUCAUAGGAAACCCAAAAGAAUAAUUGAAUUCUAAUAAAACAUUUUUAACAAAUUUAAGAUGUCCUACCUUAUCAGAUUUUAGAUGGUAUAAAGAUAUGUUUUAACAAAUGUAUUAAGAAGACCGGAUUGUAAUGCUUCAUUCUGGAAAGAAAGAUUCAUAACAGGAUUACUAAGUUUAUUUUCACAAAGAAUAAUGGAUAGUUUACAAAAAGAAAUGGGAACAGAUGUAAUUUCAUUUGAAAAUAUUACUUUCGGACAAUUAUUUGCAUUUGUCAAAAAAGAAGGAUUAAUGUUAUGUUCAGAAUUAAGAUUACAAAUAAAAUAUUGUUCUAAAACCAAAGAAGUAGGAUCAUUUUGUGAUGCAUUUGGAAUUAAAAGAAUUAAAUCACCAUCAGCAUACAAAAGGAAAGUUAAAAAAUACAAUAAGAAAAUAAAAUAUAAAAAACCCAAGGAAAAUGAACCAACUAAAAAGAGAAAGUUUAGUAAAAGAAAAAUUGUUUGUUACAAAUGUGGAAAAAUAGGUCAUAAAGCAAAUAAAUGUAAAUUAAAAGAAAAAAUUUCAGAAAUCUGUGUUAAUGAGGAAGAAAUUAAAAAUAAAUUAAUAAACUUAUUAAUAAACGAAAAAGAUCAAAGUUCUGAAGAUGAUUAUUAUAAUGAUAUAUCUAGUUCAGACAGUGAAGAAAAUUGUAAUUGCACUCCAAAAUAUAUAAAUGUUAUAACUAAAAAAGAAGACAAAGAAUUUUUAUUAGAUAUGAUAGAAAAGAUAGAAGAUCCAAUAGCUAAAAAGGAAUAUUUAGAAAGAUUAAAAAGUUUAAUCAUUCAAGAGGAUAAAAUGCCAAAAAUAAUAGAACCUUUUAGUAUUUCGAAAUUAAUAGAUAAGUAUCCAAAUAUAAAUAUAAUGAAAAAAGAAACUACCAAAGAUCUUCAAUCAGAAAUUAACAAUCUAAAGAUACAAGUAAAACAAUUACAGAAAGAGAUUAUAGAAUUAAAAACAAAAGAUUUAGAAAUAGAAGCAAAAUUAACAUUAUUAGAAAAUCAGCCUUCAACUUCUAAUUCUAAAACAGAAGAAAUAAAUAUCUCAGAAAAAUCUACAAACGAACUUCAAUAUAUAAAUAUUAUAGAAAGAAUGACAUUUCAAAAAUGGUUUGCUUUAGUAACUAUCACAGUUGAAGAUUUUAAAGAAACAUAUGUAGCUCUAAUAGAUAGUGGAGCAGACACAAGUUGUAUUAAAGAAGGAAUAAUUCCUACUAAAUAUUGUGAAAAAACAAAAGAGACAUUAAUGGCAGCAAAUGGAGAAAAUUUACAAGUUACAUAUAAAUUUACAAAAGGAUCAAUAUGUAAUAAUGAAUAUUGUAUUAGACAUAAUUUUAUAAUUGUAAAAGAUAUAAAUUGUGAUGUAAUAUUAGGAACACCCUUUUUAAUUCAAAUAUAUCCAUUUUUUGUAAGUCAUGAAGGAAUUUCAAUAAACAUAAUGGGAAAAACGGUUAUAUUUAGAUUUUUAACCCCAGUAAAACAAAGAGAAUUACAAAUAUUACAAACCUCCUCUAUUUAUAAAACAAUAAAUAGUAUUACUAGAGUACAACAACAAAUAAAUUAUAUUAAAGAAGAAAAAUCUUAUUUAAAAAUUGAGGAACAAUUAAAAGACGAAAAGAUACAAAAAAGAAUUUUAGAAAUAGAAAAAUUACUACAAAAAGAAGUAUGUGCUGAUAUUCCUAAUGCUUUUUGGGAUCGAAAACAACAUAUGGUAGAAUUACCCUAUGAAACAGGAUUCAAUGAGAAAAAUAUUCCAACUAAGGCUAGACCUAUACAAAUGAAUUUUGAAUUAUUAGAAUUCUGUAAAAAAGAAAUAAAAACAUUAAUGGAUAAAAAAUUAAUAACCCAUUCAAAAUCACCAUGGAGUUGUGCUGCAUUUUAUGUCAUGAAUCAAGCAGAAAAAGGACGAGGAGUUCCAAGAUUAGUAAUAAAUUACAAACCAUUAAAUAAAGUAUUACAAUGGAUAAGAUAUCCAAUUCCUAAUAAAAAAGAUUUGCUUAAAAGAUUAUUUAAAGCAAAGAUAUUUUCAAAAUUUGAUUUAAAAUCAGGAUAUUGGCAAAUAUUAAUAAAUCCAAAAGAUAGGUAUAAAACAGCAUUCACAACACCCUUUGGACAUUAUGAGUGGAAUGUAAUGCCAUUUGGAUUAAAAAAUGCACCAUCAGAAUUUCAAAAUAUAAUGAAUGACAUUUUCAAUCCUUAUAAUUCAUUUAGUAUAGUUUAUAUUGAUGAUGUAUUAAUAUUUUCUGAAUCAUUAGAACAGCAUUUUAAACAUUUAAAUAUAUUUUUAAAAAUAGUUAAGAAAAAUGGAUUAGUAGUUUCUGCACCAAAAAUGAAAUUAUUUCAAACAAAAAUAAGAUUUUUAGGACAUGACAUAUAUCAAGGAACAAUAAAACCAAUCAAUAGAGCUUUAGAAUUCACUACUAAAUUUCCAGAUGAAAUAAAAGAUAAUAAUCAAUUACAAAGAUUUUUAGGAUGUUUAAAUUAUAUAGCAGAUUUCUUUCCCAAAUUAAGACAAGAAUGUUCUAUAUUAUAUAAUAGACUAAAGAAAAAUCCAAAACCAUGGACAGAAGAACAUACUCAAAAAAUAAAAUAUUUAAAAGAAAAAAUUAAAUCUUUACCAUGUUUAUGUUUACCACAUCCUAAAGCAUUCAUGAUAGUUGAAACAGAUGCAUCAGAAUUAGGAUAUGGGGGAAUACUAAAACAAAAAUUAGAAGAGUCAAAAGAAGAGUUAGUAAGAUUUCACUCAGGAACAUGGUCAGAUCCUCAAAAGAAUUAUUCAACAAUUAAAAAAGAAAUUUUAUCAAUAGUUUUAUGUAUAUCAAACUCUAAGACUCCAAGUACCUUCCUCCUCCAAGUUCCCUUUCAACCUUGUGUGAUGAACCACGAAAUGAAGCAAGUUUAGAGAGUAUUUUUGGAGCAAAAUGGAAGACAAGGGAGCUGAAAUUUUGGUGAGGAAAUUGGAAAAGGAGAGCCGGCCAAAGGAGAAGAGGAAGAAAGGGUUUUGGGUGGUAGGUGGUGAAGUGAUUGAGCGAAGAAAAGAAAUGACAUAAAGGUGACUUGAUAUCCCAAAGUCAACGAAUGAAUAGAAGGCCAUUAGUGUUCAUAAUUGAGUUUAAUUUAACUCACUCACCUCUCAAUUAACUUUUCUUAGUCUACUAUCGAUCAUUCUUAAUUUUUCAAGAUUAUUGCACUCUCGGAUCAAAUUUUACCUCGAAAAACGUGUAAUCGCUAUUUCUUACUAAGUGAGCUGUAGAAAAAUUAAAUUCGCUAACGAAAUGUUUUAAAAUAUAAAAUGAGACAUUGUUCCAAGUUAAUGAAUUUAAAAUGAAUGAAAUAAAUUAAUUGGAGUAAACGAAUAAAUAAAUGAUUAAAUAAAUCAAUAAAAUAAAAUAAAAGUAAAAUAAAAUAAAAAAAUUUGGGUCCUCACAAUAAAUAUAUUUUUAUAUUUUUAUAAAUAUAUAUAUUUAUUUAUAUAAAUAUAUAUAUAAAUAUAUAUAUUUCAAUUUUGUUUUAUAAUAUGUAUAUAAAUAUAUAUAAUAUAAAUACAUAUUAAUAUACGUGUUAUAAAAAAAAUUGAAAUAAAAAAUAUUAUAUAUAUAAAUAAAUAAAUAUUAAUAUAUAGAAACAAAGCCAGCAUAUAUUUUAAAAAAAUUUCAAGAAAAUUGUUUAUUAUAAAAAUACUCAAAAAUAUAUUUUAAAAACACCUCUAAAAAAAAUUCAAAAAACAUCUAUAAUAAAAGAUUUUCAUAUACACAAUUAUAGUAAAAUUUUUAAAAAACACCUCCAAAAAUAAUUAAUUCAAAUGGAGCCCUUGUUUUUUCCAACAUUGUCCGUUUUUUUUUUUUCUUAUAAAGCACGAGAUGUAAGCGUGGAAAGGAAAAAGACAAAACGGAAACAGCAGUGUUAACUGCUUCUCCUCAAGAGUACUUGCAGAUCCAGGCUAGAUCCGUAUGGUAAAGCUUUAGAGUUACCUGCUAAGAGUUUCGGACACAGAAGUUAGUGGCCUUUCUUCCGAAGUCCUUUGGCUCCGUUUGGAUUAGCUGUUUUUUGGGUUGUUUUUCAAAAACACCACUGUAGCAUUUCGAAUCUGAAAAACAAGUCCGUUUGGGUUAGUUGUUUUUGGGGUUGUUUUUCAAAAACUAUAUGAAAAACUUUUACUGUAGAUUUUUUUGGAUUAUUUUUAGAGGUAUUUUUGAAACAUAUUUUUGAGUAUUUUUAAAAUAUUAUAAUUUUUAUAUUUUUACAUAAAUAUACAUUUAUGUAUUUAUAAUACAUUUAUAUUUACAAAUGUAUAAAUGUAUAUUAUUAUAAAUGUAUAAAUUAUAAAUGAAUAUUAUAUAAAUGUAUAAAUGUAUAAAUUAUAAAUUUUAUAUUUUCAUAUAAAUAUACAUUUAUGCAUUCAUAAUACAUUUAUAGAUAUUUAUAAAUAAAUAAAUUUAUAUAUUCAUAUAAAAAUAUAUAAAUAUAUUAUAUUAUAUAUAAAUAUAUUUAUAAAUGAAUAAGUGUAUAUUAUUAUAAAUGUAUAAAUUAAUAUAUUAUACAUAUAUAUUAAUAUUAUGUAGAAAUGUAUUUAUAUAAUUAAUAUAAAUGUAUAUAUGUAUUAAUAUUAUGCAUAAAUGUAAAAUUAAUAUUAUGUAUAUUAAUAUAAAUGUAUAAAUGUAUAAUAUUAUAUAUAAUGAAUAAUAUAAAUGUAUAUUUAAAUGUAUAAGUGUAUUUAUUAAAAAUGUAUAAAUUAUAAAUGAAUAUUAUAUAAAUGUAUAAAUUAAUAUAUUAUAAAUAUGUAUUAAUAUUAUGUAGAAAUGUAUUAAUAUAAUUAAUAUAAAUGUAUACAUGUAUUAAUAUUAUGUAUAAAUGUAAAAUUAAUAUUAUAUAUAAAUCAUAAUAUAAAUGUAUAUUAUAAAUAUACAUAAAUAUUUAUAUAUUAUGUAUAAAUGUACAUUUAUAUAAAUGUAUAAUAUAUUAUAUAUUAUAUUAUAUAUAAUUUAUAUAACAUAUAAUAUUUAAGUAAAUAUAUUAUAAAUAUAUAAAAAUAUAUUUUAAAUAAAAUAAAAUAUUUCUAAUAUGUAUGUAUAAAUAUAUAAUAUUAGAAAUGUAUAAUAUAUAUAAUAAACAUUAAUAUUAAUAUAAUUUAUAUAAAAUAUACAAAAUUAAAAUAUACAUAUUAAUAUAUAUUAUAAAACAAAAUUGCAUAAAUAUAUUUAUAAAUUUAUAUAUAAAUAAAUGUAUUUAUAUAAAUAUAUAAUAUUUAUUUCAAUUGAUAUAAUAUAUAUAAUAUUAUACAUAAUUGAAAUAAAUAUAUUUAUAUUAAUAUAAUAUAUAUAUAAUAUACAUAAUUGAAAUAUACAUAUUAAAAUACAUGAUUGAAAUAUACAUAUUAAAAUAUAUAAUUAAAAUAUAUUAAAAUAUAAUUGAAAUAUACAUAUUAAAAUACAUAAUUAAAAUAUACAAAUUGAAAUAUGCUUAUUAAAAUAUACAAAUUAAAUAUACAUAAUUGAAAUAUAUUUGGAGUUGUUUUUGAUAUAUUGUUUGGAUAUGAUAUUUUUGAAAUUGUUUUUGAAAUACAUAUUUACUGUAGCAUUUAGAAUGUGAAAAACAGGUUUUCAAAAACAGGCGCAAAAACACUCAAUCCUUUGUUUUUUGGAUCCACCAAUCCGGACUGAAGGUGGGAUCUUGUCCGUUGUCUUUAAUGCUGCCGCUUAAUGCUGUCUGAAGGCUUUAAUAUUGUUGUAGUGGAUUUUGUUGUCUACCAGUUGAUUGUUUGGAGUUUGGUGGUCUCUCAGGUUUCCGACAAAGAUGUUGGAAAGCUCCCAGAGGAGGGAGAUGCACACUUCCCAAUAGAGAGAAAAUUUUGAACUCUCACCCGGGAGAGAGAGGAUAAGGUAUGCCACUAUGUGUUUAUUAGUUUUCCUAGUAUAAGGCAACUAUACGUUGAAUAAUACACUUGCUUAAAUGACAAAACAGGGAAUUUGGUGGGGUGCUAUAGCUAAACUCUUUGCCAUUGUUUUGUUGCACAAAGAAGGAAACAAGUUGGUCUGGUGUGAAGUACAAAGCCGAUGAGGAGAACGAUUUAUGGUGGUCCCCCUUCUGAAACUUUCGUCGGCGACAAAAAUUUUAAUCAUCAAAUGAUCUAAAGUUUCUGACAAUUUCACUAACUUCCCCCUGAAGUUUGCAAAAUUGCAUUACACAAACCUCUCUAAGAUUAAGAUUUAAUAGCAAAAUUAGUCUAAUUAAAAAAAUUAACAUUCAAAAAGUACUUUAAGGAAGAGAUGAAACUUUUAUUUCAAAAAUGGAUUAAUCUUUUCUAUAUUAACUGUGUAUACUCUGUCAGCGUUGGAUGAAUGGCAACUAUGUAAACUUUGAAUUUGAAAUUCAACUUUUGUAUAUAUGUCAUGAAUCUAACAGUAAUAGUCUAUACACUUUCAGUGUCUAUAAGAUUUAUUCUUCAAAAAUACCCCUUUUAAAAACUAUACUAAUAAAUUAGACAAUACAAAUAAGUAACAAAAUUAUACUAAUAAUACAAAAUUCAAUAAAAUAGACAGUCAUAUUUUUUGACAUGAUUUUUGUUAUGAUUCUUGUGAUUUUAAAUAGAAUUUCUUUUUGAAUUUUACCCUUCUUUUCCAUCCAAUCUCCUUUACUAAUAUCAAGCAAUUAAGUAAUUAGAGCACUAAUUAGUAACUAAUUAAUGAAAAUAACCGUUAGCUCUAUCAAUUUAUCAAUCUAUGAAUUAAUGAAAAAAGAAAUAAUGAAAGAGUAAAUUUAUCAAUUUAUUAAUUUGAUUUUGACUUUUAUUAGUAACCGCUAGUUUUAAUAAAUAAAAAAAAUAACGGUGACACAUUAGCCUAAACCAUAGCUCAAAAAUGUGAUUGUAAUCAUAAUUAAAUCCUUUUACUGUGUGUUUAUAGAUCAAAUAUAAAUUUCAAUUAAUCACUUUUUAAAAGAACUUCUAUCAGCUUAACAAAAGCAUCGUGAUUCCAAACAGGCUCUAAAUCUAUUUUACACUUGUAACUUUUGGAGGUUAAACAACUCACACCGAACACUUGCUAAUUUUCUAAAGGUAUCUAUGACUAGGUGGCUGCCUUAGAUUACCGUGCGAGAAACAGAAGAAAAAGACAACGACCUAAGAAUCAAUUCCAGUCUAGAAAAGCAUCUCUACCUGACAGAAAGUCCAUAGAUUAAGAAGUAAACACAAAAUUGAUAACAAGCCUGCAAGCAAUUAUAAACUUUGGAACAGGUGAGGAAGUAACUCUACCUCUCCUCUGUCCUCUCUUUUAGAAAUGGAGAUUACUUAUCCUGCUUUUCUUGUAAGCAUCCUCUUCUUUUUUCUUCUAUGGAAGUUUAAUAGGCUAUUCAUCAAAAGUUCCAAGAGAACUCAUAAUCCCAGAAAACCCCCAGGGCCAUGGAAGAUUCCUCUGGUUGGAAGUAUGCACCAUCUAGCUGGUUCUUUGCCACACCUUGCUCUAAGAGACAUGGCUAAAAAAUUUGGACCCAUCAUGCAUCUGCAGAUGGGAGAAAUAUCUACAGUGAUUAUAUCAGCAGCACAGGAAGCAAAACAAGUGCUGAAAGUUCAUGACAUUGCCUUUGCAGACCGACCAGAACUUCUAGCUUCUAAGAUACUUGGUUACGACAACUUGGAUAUCGCCUUUUCACCUUACGGCGAUCACUGGAAACAGAUGCGAAAAAUCUGUCUCCUAGAACUCCUCAGUCCCAAGAGCGUACGGUCUUUUGGCAGUCUCCGGGAGGAUGAGGCCUCGAAGGUGAUUAGAUCCAUCAAGUCAUCGUCAAACUCGCCAGUCAAUGUUACUGAAAAAGUCUUCUCUUUUACGAAUGGCGUAGUCUGCAGAGCAGCUUUCGGAAAGAGCUUCGCUCACCAAGAUGUUCUGAUACCGCUGAUAAAUGAGGCAAUUUUAUCAGGCGGAGGUUUCGAUAUAGCUGAUUUGUUUCCUUCGCUAAAAUUCCUUCAUUCUUUGAGUGGUUUGAAGCCAAAACUGCUAAAGCUGCAUCACGAGAUUGACCAGCUGCUUGAAAACAUAAUCAAUGAGCACAAAGAGAAGCAAACAAGUGAUUUAGUUGAUUCCCAAUCAGCAGAGGAAGAUUUAGUUGAUGUCCUAUUAAGACUUAAGGAAAGAGGUGACUUCAAUAUUUCAACAGACAGCAUCAAGGCUGUUAUUUGGGUAAGUAUAUAGUAACAUAUCACAGACACCUCAAGCAAGUUUCCCAUUUCAUCAUAUUUUAAGUAACCAUUCUCUCUUGAACUGCAAUACAGGACGUUUUUGCAGCUGGGACCGAAACUUCUGCAGCCACAUUAGACUACGCAAUGGCAGAGCUGAUUAGAAACCCAAGUGUCAUGGAAAAGGCCCAAGCUGAGCUGAGACAGGUCCUCGAGGGGAAGGAAACAGUACAAGAGACAGACUUGAAGGAAUUGAAUUACCUAAAAGCAGUGAUCAAAGAGACUCUGAGGCUGCACCCUCCUCUUCCACUGAUACUUCCAAGAGAAUGCAGGGAGCCAUGUAAGAUUGCUGGUUACGAUAUUCCCAUCAAAACUAAAGUCAUGAUAAAUGCCUGGGCAAUUCAUCGUGAUCCUGAAGUUUGGCCGAACCACGAAAAGUUUAAACCGGAGAGAUUUCUUGACAGUGGCAUUGACUCAAUAGGGACGAAUUUCGAGUAUAUCCCAUUUGGUGGAGGAAGAAGGAUUUGCCCAGGAAUAUCAUUUGGUUCGGCAGGUGUUGAGCUUCUUCUUGCUAAGCUGCUGUACCAUUUUGACUGGUCACUUCCCAAUGGAACUGCAGGUCCUCAAAUGCCAGACAUGACCGAAAUCUUAGGUGCAACUGCAAGAAGAAAAAACAGCUUGACUUUAGUUGCAACUAUUCAUGAUCCAUCUGCAUAGUUCAAAUACUGGUCUGCACGAUUGGACACCAAAGAUUAUGACACUGUUUUGCUGGCCGGUUGGAUUCUUCAUUAGCAAAGCAAACACAACAUGGAAUCCUAUCACCACAGAAUAUUUCAUGGAAGUUGCUCCUUAUUUUAUUGCUAUAAUAAACGUUUAACGUUUGUGAAUCAUAUUGGUUCUUUAGAGUUCAAACUUGUUUAUUUCAACAUGUUUUUAAUCUUGAGAAAAUUUGGCUUGGAUUUAUCAAGCCGAAACUAAACGAUCUUUAAUCGAGCUGAAAUGGAAUUGAGUUCAACUAGCUUAAAUCGAAACCAAUUUACAUUAUAUCGACUCCCAGUUAGCCAUUCUUUCAAGAGGAAGUGUGUAGAUCAAAAACCUUAGUCCUUUAGGAAACAUCAGCGUUUGAUUUUUAAGUUCAACCUUCUUAUAGCCAAACUUCUUUGAAUCAAUCAGCAAAUCUUGAAGCAUCAAUGGCAUGUUGCAGCAACAAGUUCAGCAAUUCAGUCUCGUCUGGAAAAAAUGGAAAUUUGCCCAAGUGAAGGUGAGAUAAGAAGUUUGCAGGCAAUGUCUCAAUUUCCUUGUAGUAAUUGUUAUGGCUCAUUAACGUGGCUUAAGGCUUGACCUCCACUGAAAAACAAGAAAAAAGGCUGGUCAAGGUACCUUUGAUGCGGUAGUGGAAGUGUGAAAAGUGGAUUUGCUUUAUGAAUGAAAUCCAUAAAAAGAACAAGGGCUGGUUCAUGAUCAAACCCCCAAAAUAAACAAGAUUCAAACAAAAAUCUAAAUCUUAGGGCACACUCAAAAGAACAUGGCAAAGCCAACAAACAUACAAUUGUGUUAAAAAAUUAAUAAAAUUAUCAAAGUCUGAAUAAUAUAGGCUAGUAGUCUAAACUAAAAAAGAAAUGAAAUAUAAUUAAAAUAGGAAAACGAUGCAAACUUCUUAUAGCCAAUCGACAAGGAUACAUGGACAGAUCCAUGCCAAACUGCCGCAGAUCUAGAAAUGGACCAAUCAUUAAGCAAAAUCUCAAACAUAUAAUCAUAUGAAUCCAUAGACUAGUUUUAUAAUUCACAUUUGGUUUUCAUUUUCUGUUCUUCUUUUUUCUUUCUUUUUUUUUUUAAAUUCUCCCACACUUAAGCUUUUUUCACAUUUCCAAAUGAAGGAAUUCAAUUACUUAGUUUUGACCAUUUAAAAAUAACAUGCUGAUAGCUAUCGUCAUUGUUUGAUGCAACAGUUGAUAUUUGGUCAAUAAAAACCCCUGGUAACUAAGGGAUAACAGCCAGUGGAGUAUAGUUCAAGUUAAUAAAAUAAACUUAUAAGAACAACUAUAAACAAAAAGCCUGCUUCAUUUUCUAAUAAUAUGGAGACAUAAGAUUAAUAAUUAGGCCAAAUCACAAUAGAUGACCAAACAACUAUUUACAAUACCCAGAAAAAUUAGCCAAAAAUAAAAAAAAGUCACAAAAUAUCAAAUAUUCAUUAAAGAAGUACUCUAAAUCAACACCAUUUAAUACCUAACACAUCCAUACAUAUUAAGCUUUAACAAUUCUAAAACUUGAAAUACAAGCCAUUGUAUAUAAGGAAAAAGAAACAAGAACAAAAGUAUGAAAAUUUGAAAAAUUUUAACUAAAAUUUCAAUUCAUUUCACCCAUAGACCAUUCCCCACAAUUAAGACAACAUUAUCCCUAGUGUUGGCGAGGGAUUAAACCAAGUUAUUUUAGUAUUUAGUUUCCUAGUUCUUUUUGGUAUCUUACUUGUUUAAUUUCCAUAUUAGAUUAGGAAAUCUCAAGUCAGUUUCCAAAUAAGCUUUGGUUUACAACUAUAUUUGUUUUAGGAAAUUUUAGAGUUUAUAAAUACUACCAGUCUAGUGGGUUAUUAAUUGAAGAGAAGAGUUCAGUCUUGAGAAUAGGUUUGAGAGAAAACCUCAUAGUUGAGAUUUGUGAGUUGUUGUGAGUGAAAUGACUUGAUAUUUGUUAUUGUUGAGUUUUGAGUUAAAUAAAUUAUUGAGUAUUUGUUCUCCUCCUCUUCCCACAUAUUUUUAUAUGUGUCAAAAUUGCUUCCGCAGUACGCACAUAAUUUUUCGUGCUAACAAGUGGUAUUAGAGCUCUAGACUUUGAUCCUAGGGCUUGUUCGUGAAAUUAAAGUAUGAAUCUGCAUUAUUUACAACAUUGUCCUGCUUUUAUCUUUGAUGGUAAAAAUAAUUUUGAAACUUGGAGGUCGAUGAUGAAGAAUUUUUUCAAAAAUAUUAGAGUUUGGAAUAUUAUCCAAAAGGGGUUCACGGAACCUAUAGCAGGCGCAGAAUUAUCAAGGGAUUCAGUUAAACAAUUAGAGAAGAAUAGACAGUUGAAUUGUAAGGCAUUCUACUAUCUACAUACCCAAGUCCAGUUACAUGUAAUGAAAAAAUUCAUACAUGUAAAGACAGCAAAGGAGGCUUGGAAAUUUUUAAUAAAUUCCUAUGGUCAUGGUGGAGAAGAAAUUUGUGACGAGGAAGAAGAAAAAGAAGUUUCUGAUGAGGCAAAGAAAGAAGAAAUUGUAGCAAUUGUCGAUACAUCUAAAGAUGAAGAAAUUGUGAUUGAAGAAGAAAUUUCACAAGUGAUUGAGAAAGAAAGUGAAAUCAUUGAUCAAAUUAAAAAUGUGGUUGAAGAUCAUGAUGAUAGAGAAAUUGUUGACUGUAUCGAGGUUGAUGAAUUUUUUGAAGAGAAAAAUGAAGUAAUGAGAUUGGUUGAAAUCAAUUGUGGAGUGGACAAAUUAGUUGAAAAUCGUAACACCGUUAAGAUUGAUGCAUUUGUCAAUGUGAAUCAAUCAACACAAAAAUAUGGUGAUGUUAAAAAUAUUGGUAGUGGUAACUAUGAUUUUGUGAUUUUGGGAGAUUUUAUUAGUGAUAUGGAUGAACUGAAUGAUGGAGUAUCUAAUGGAAUAUGGGUGAAUAUGUUUGAAUUUUUUGACAAGAGUGAUCAAGCUAAGAAGUUGUUUGAGAAGUAUAAGUUUCGUCCACUACUACACGCGAAGAUGAAAUUGAAGGUCAAUUGCAAGUUAGAACUCCAUGUCAUUUAUACUGUGACUGAAUUUUUCAUGGAGAUUCAAACUCAUGAUGGCAUUGGAGAUAACAACAUCAAGAGCCUGGUUUAAGAGAGGCAAUGAAGGAAAUUAAACCAAGCUAUUUUAGUAUUUAGUUUCGUAGUUCUUUUUGGUAUCUUAUUUGUUUAGUUUCCAUAUUAGAUUAGGAAAUCUCAAGUCAGUUUCCAAAUAAGUUUUGGUUUACAACUAUAUUUGUUUUAAGAAAUUUUAGAGUCUAUAAGGGGCCGCUUGGUUAAAGGGUUUGGGAAUCACAGAAUGAAAUAAACUUCUUAUUUGUUGCUUGUGUUAAACCUAUUGGAAUGCAGUUUUUGGAAUCAUUUCUAAAAAAUCGGACUUCUCCCAUUCCAAAACAAAUUGGGAGGUUUGGACAAAACCCUCAACUUAUUCCCUCACAACAUUUAUGACAGACCUACCCAUCACAUACAAAAGUUCUCUACCCUCUCUUUCUCUCUAUCACACGCCGCCCCCUCUGUUUUUCUUUUUCAUCAAUUUUCCUAUCUCUUCUUCUUCAUCGUAUAGUCUUCAUCUUUUAUCCAAAAUCUCUUAAAAAAAAGUAGAUCUAAAUGGGUUAAUAGUGGGCAAAUAUCUUCAGUGGCCAAAUUGUUCAACAAGAUCUCUAUGAGAAAGAUCUCCAAGAAAAAUUGAAGAAAACCCUCAACCCAAAUCCAAGGGUUCUAAGGUACGUAUUCUCUCAAAUUUCUCCUAUAAUUAAUACUAAUAAUAAUAAUAUAUAAGUUUUCACUAAUUUCUUCAGUAAUAUAUAAGUUUUCACUAAUAAUAAUGUCCUUUGAGGGAACAAAAAAUGAUAUAUACAGGAUUUUCAUCUGUACUGGUUCCUUUUUUUUUCUAUAGACUUAUUGGAAUGCUUCCUUCUCUGAUUUUUUAGCCCUCUUACUCUAUGAGUUGCUCAAACUUUUCUGCUUCAUGGUUUUCCUCUUGUUUCUGGCAAUUUUAAUGUCCAAUUCUCUUAAUUAAGAUUGCUUUGUUGACUUUCUGCUUUUUAAGAAGACCUUAAAAUCAAAUGCGUAUGUUGUCUGGUUCUUGAACCUUAAAUGCUUAUGUUGUCUCUGUAGAUUAGUUGAUCAUUGUCAUUUAUUUUUGAAGCCACCGCCUUUUGAAUCAAAAGAAUGCUUGCACAUACUAUGGAAAAUGGUUGUGGUGGUUCUUGAACCUUAAAUGCUUAUGCUGUCUAUGUAGAGUAUUUGAUCAUUGUCAUUUAUUUUUUAAGCCACUGCCUUUUGAAUUUUUGUAGAGCAAUUCGAUUAGCUCUCUUUGAAGCAUUACGUCUUUGAAAAUUCAAAGGCAUUAAUGCCUUUGAAUAAUAUCCAUAGUGGUCAAUAAUUGUCGUUAUUGAAGCAUAUGUUAGACUAGUUCUCUUUACUUUAAUGUGCAAAGUGACAAUUGGGAUUAACUGACAUCAAUGGAUGGACGCAUUUUUAUCCUUUGUUGGUAAUAGAUUCUUAACAUUCAUAGCAAUAUGUCAAAUUUGAUUCCGAGCAAAUGACUAGAUCUAUGCCACAAUUGAAGUGAUAAACCUUUAUAAACUAGCACUACUUAGCUUCAAUGGAAUAGGCAUUAUAUUUGACACAUGUGCAUUUGUAUUUAAUGUUUUAUGGUGAAUACUUAUUUUUGGUUGUCAUAUUGUUAUGUAGACAAAGAUGCCAUGUUUGCCUAUUGGAAACAGAAGACGCAAAAAAUAUCGGAAUAGCCAAAUUUUAUCGGGAAUGAUAAUGGUUAUUAUUGCACUUUUUAUGAUGUGGUACCAGUUAAUAUUCAUUCAUCUCAAAAGUAGAAGGCGUCAAAAAAAAUCAAAAGAAGAAAAACUCACUGAGCGCAUGCAACACUUAUUCAAUUUAACUAGGGAGAGUGAUGCUUAUUGUAUUAGCGAACUUUGUAUGGAUACACGAACAUUUGGGAUAUUAUGUGAAAUGAUUAGAGACACUGGAGGUUUGAAAGUUACAAGAAACAUGUCAAUAGAAGAAAUUGUUGCCAUGUUUGUAUGUGUUUUGGCUCACCACAAGAAAAGUAGAACAAUUUGUGGUCUAUUUUGGAGAAGUAGAGAAACAGUGAGUCGUCAAUUUAAUCUUUACCUCCUAACAGUUUUGAAAUUGUAUACUAUAUUGCUUAAGAAGCCUGAGCGUAUUACCGAAGAUUGCACAGAUAAGAGAUGGAAAUGUUUUAAGGUAAUUCAUUAAUUAAAAUACAAUCAUUUAAUAAAAUGUAUAUUUUCAUCCAAACUAUCCAAUAUAGACAUUUUAACUCAUUUUACAUUUUUUACUUUUGUUAAAAUAGAAUUGUUUAGGUGCCUUAGAUGGGACAUUAAUAGAUGUGACACCACCCACUGAACAAAAAUCAAGAUACCGAACGAGAAAAGGAAGUAUUGCAACGAAUGUAUUAGGGGUUUGUUCUCCUAAUAUGCAAUUUAUCUAUGUCUUGCCUGGUUGGGAAGGUUCGACACAUGAUGGUCGUGUGCUUCGAAAUGCUAUCUCUAAACCUAAUGGUCUUAAAGUCCCACAAGGUAAACAUAUAUUGCAGUAUCCAAUACCAUUCAAUCAAUUUUUUUUUUCUAAAAUAAGGUAGUUAGUCUAGUAUUAAUUUGUGCAUGAUUGACUUGAAGGUUGUUAUUACUUGGUGGAUGCUAGAUAUUGUAAUGCUGAUGGAUUUCUUGCCCCUUAUGGAGGGCAAAGAUAUCACCUUAAUGAAUUCGAUGGUUAUCGACCACAGAGACCAGAGGAAUAUUUCAACAUGAAACAUUCUAAAGCUAUAAAUAUCAUAGAAAGAUGUUUUGGAUUGCUAAAAGGAAGGUGGAAGAUUCUAGCAUCCCCUUCAUUUUUUCCAAUUCAAGCACAAGUGCGAAUAAUUAUGGCAUGUUGUCUGCUGCAUAACUUGAUAAGGAAGUUCAUGACUUUUGAUCCACAAGAAUUACUAUAAAGUGAAGAAAAUGAAAGUGAAGAUGAAGACAGUGAUGAAAAAGUAGAGUACAUAUCCACUAUUUUGCCAAGUGACCAAUGGGCAAAUUUUAGAAAUAAUUUAGCUCAAGAAAUGUUUGACAAUUGGAGGGCUGAACUUAGUAUUUAGUUAUGAAUGGAUGUUUAGCUCUUAGAGUCAUUAAAUUUGGAUUGACAUUUGAUGUAUUCUUGUAGUGGAUUUGUGAAUUAGAUUGACACUUGAUAUAUGUUCUUUUAAAUUUGGAUUGACAUUUAAUUGUAUGUUCUUUUAUGUGCUUUGUUAUAUUAUAAAUUUCACUUAUAUGCUAUUGUUUAUCAAAAUUAAUAGACAUAUAUGGGCUGACUUUUAAAUGAUAGGACGGAGAAUGAUGAAACUGUAUGUGGAAGAGGGAGAAAUAAAUGUUUUUGAACUGAUGAAGAGGUAAAAGUGCUCAUAGAAGCAUUGCAAGAGUUGGCUUGUGAUCCAAUGUGGAAAUCAGAUGGAGGAUUUAAAAAUAAUUAUAUGAGCGAAUUGCUUAAAAUUAUCUUGCAUAAGCAACCUACUUUUACCAAACAAGUCAGCCCACAUAUUGAAUCAAAAGUUAAGUGACUGAAAAAUAGGUACCAUGCAAUUGUUGAUAUGUGCAAAGAAAGUGGUUGUAGUUGGAAUGAUGCUGAGAAAUAGAUUUCUUGUGAAAAACAGUGGUAUGAUGAUUGGGGCAAGGUAAGAAAUUGAUUACUUUUUACAUUGUGAUAUGUCAUUUUUCAAUCUUUUAUUAAGAUUAUCAUUGAUCUUUCUAUUCUAUCUCUAGACUCGUAAGGAUGCAAAGGGCCUUUGGGAUGUCAAAUUUUCAUAUUUAGGAGAUCUUGAAAUUAUAUAUGGAAGAGACAGAGCCACUGGAAAUGUUGCUGAAGAUUUUGUACAAGCUAUCCAAGAUAUGGAAGCUGUCCAAAAUUUAGAGGAAGGAGAUGAAGGGGUUGAUGCUAUGUCAAACUCGGAUAAUGAUAAGGUAGAAGAAGAUGAAGUAAAUUCCAUGGUGCAAUCAACUCAACCAAGCUCAACAAGCACAAGAAAUUCUAAGAAACAAAAGAAACAAUCACCUCCCAUUGCAAAUAUGUCAAAAAAAAAAUGAAAUCUGCAUCAACAACAAAGGGUGAUCUUGAUGCAUCGUUACAACUUCUCACUAGCAAAUUUGGAGAUUUCGUGGAGAGAAUUCAAGCUAAUUUCACAACUAUGGCAACAACCACGUCAAAUGAGGAUAAACGUGAGCAAUUGGUCUCCGAUAGAAGAGAUCUCUCUUAGGAAGAAAUCAGGGCCUAUUGUUGACAAAAGAGUAUGUAAAUUUACCUUUAUACCAUAAUUAUUUGGAGAAACCUGAUGUACGAAUUUUACAAAAGAAAAAAUGUUACUUGUGAACAAAUUGAGGAAGUAAGUAAGCUAAUUAAUUGUGAACAAAUUAGAGCUCCUACCCUUGCCAUUAGAAUUGACAUUUCCGUUUGCAUUGCUGCAGACCUUGGCAGCUAUUAUUGAGAUUGCAGCACUAAAUUGGCAUCGGCACUUCUACUGUUGACCUCUUCUUCUUUGAGACCCUCAUACAAUUGGAAGUACUUGUAUUUUGCACAACAAAAAUAUAACUUGUUGGGCUUCAUUUUAGUUUUAGAAAUCUUCAGUAUUACCUUUCAAUUGCAGGUGCAAUAUUUGUUCCUUAUUGUGAAGGAUGUUGAGAAGUUCCAUGAUUCUCUCCUAUGGCUGGAAGAAGCCAUACUCUUUGCUGUAACACUUCACCUCAAGCUACUAAACUAAACUCAAUCAAACCAACUGUGUUACCCCCGCAAACAACUCUUCAUAUUGCUAAUAGAGAGUUUCAUGUGUCAAGUCCAUCCUUUAUAAGCUGGUGCAAGAACCUAUAGAUGUAGCUGUUUAGCUAGCCGUUGCUUUCAUGUUAAUUUCACUCAAUGCGUAAGGUGUUGUAGAUGCAAUAAAAUGGUUUGCACUUACAACCCCAGAAAUUUAUUGAUUCUUAAUAGUUUUGUGGUAUUUUGGUCUUCCUUUGCUAAUACUACUUGGCAAGUAGCACGAAAGGCAAAUGUGGCACAAAUUUCUCAUCUCACUUCUUAAAAAAAAAAAUUUAAUGAGACUUUUUCUAGCCUGGACUGAAUCUACAACAGAAUCCUUAAGUUCAAGAGUGAUAGUGUUAUUUCUUAAACUAGAGGGUAGGAGAGUGCUAGUGUCAGAAAUCUCAGGGAAGGAGGCUUCUGCAAUUUUCCCUUUUUAUUAUCUGUAUGUGUUUUUUAGUGUUUACUACUCAACUGCUGACAUUCUGGUACUCUGAAUCGAGAUGAUAUUUUGAUGUUAGGUUUAUGCAAAGUUCAAUCUUGAUUUUUCCCUCAAUGAAGUUUUCACUUUAUUGGUAUUACACCUUAACGGCAAAUUAAAUUGGAACAUUUUUUUCAAGUGAACCAGAUAAGGAGAUGAAAUUCGAUAAAGUGAUGUAGUAAUCAAGUAAACUAUAUAUAUGUAGCCACUAUUGUCAGAGCUUUUCUUAAUAAAAUAUGUUUCCCUGCUGGCUACAAUAAUCUGUUAGCUAUCAAUUUUAAUAUCCUUUCUUUUUUCUUUUCUUUUAGCUUUAUUUUGUUAGAUGGAGUACAGAUAAUAACAAUAUACUAUUGUUUAAAGCAAUAGGCCAUAGCAUACAUCGUGAGUUUAUUAACCACAAUUAGUCCAUUGAACGUUGUGUUCUGAUUAGCAUUUCAUUGACUAAACCACGUUACUUAAUAGGCUCAAAUUGGAAUCUUUUUUGGCUGAUGUACCAUUUGGCCCCGAGAUGAUAGUUCCAAUCUCGUAAGUUUUUAACAUUGGUUUGAACUUUCAAGUGUCCGGUUGUACUUUUCUUUUUUCUUUUCCUUUUAAAGUUGCUUGAGAUUUUGUUAAGUUGAUUUUUUUUCUUUUCGGUUUCCCUUUUUUUUGGGAAUGGGAUGAAACUUUUUUUUGCUCAAAUGUUGAUUGAAAUUUUCUUGAUUUUCUUAAGUUCCAUGAAUUUGUUUUGCCUUGUGGCUUUUGUAGGUCUGAAUGAUCAUACCAUGAAGAUAAUAAUGAAGUUGAAGUUAACUGUAAGCUGGCACCUUUUCUUGAUAAUGAAGACAUUUAGAGAUUAGGAUUCUUAGCUUACACCAAAGUUGGUAAAGUUAGCAAUAUGAUGAUGAAGAUUUUCUAUACUUGUAUUUAAGUUAGCAUAUGACUUGAUUAAAAAUCUAAGAAUUUUCAAUUGUGUCUUAGAGGAUGAUGCACUUAAUGGUGUUAACCUCUUGCAUGAUGAGGAAGAGAUAUUGUCAGCCAAUUGUCCUAUAAUUGUGGACAUUUUGACUGUCUAUGUUAGGUGGCAUUUGGUAAGAGGGUUUCGAAAUGGAGAAUUGGAAUAAAUCUCAUAAUUGUUGUUUGGAUUAUUACUAUCGGAAUCGGGAUUUUGGAAUCAUACCUAAAAAUUUGGAGUUCCCCAAUUCUCUAGUAAUUUGGAGGGUUUUGGACAAAACCCAAAUCUGAUUCCCGUUUAGAAAUGGGGCCCGUUCCACGACCGGUUAAAAAAUUAAUAUAUAAUUAUAUAAUAUAUAUAUUAAAAUUAUAAUAUUUAAUUAUAAUUAAAUAUUUUAUUACAAUAUUAGUAUAAUUAUAUAAUAUAUUUAUAAUUAUUAUAUACACAUAUAUAAUAUGUUAUAUAAAUAUUUAUUAUAAUUAUCUAAUUAAAUAUAAUUAUAUUUAUAUAAUAUAUAUUAUAAAUUUAUUUAUAUUAUAUAAUAAUAUAUUUAUAUUAUUUAUAUAUUUAUUUAUAAAUGUAUAUAGUAUCUGCAUAUAAUUAUAAUUAUAAUAUAUACCUAUAUAUAAUAAUAAUAUAUUAUAAAAUUAUAUAAUAUAUUAGUAUAAUUAAUAUUUAUAUAUUAUAUAUUUAUAUUAUAAUAUAUAUACAUAUAUAAAAUAUAUUAUAAUUAGAAAGCAUAAGAGUUAGGAAGUAGGUCGCAGUCGGGCUACCACUCAGUUAGAGUGUUAGUUUGGGCGGUAGAAUCGGACAUAAAUUGUUAGUAUAAACAAAACAAAUAAAUUAAAAAUAAAUAAAUGGAUAUAAGGCGGCUCAGCCGACCAUUCAAUGGAAUGAGAUAGAAUAUGGAGUUUGAAAGAGAACUUACAAUGUUUGGAAAGCUUGCAAGGCUUGGUCCCUUGUUUGAAUCUAAAAACUAAAAUAUAAAACUAAGAACUAGUUUGUAGAGAGAAGGAGGAGAGUUUCUUCAAGCUAGAGAGAGAAUUAGGCUUGAAGAAUUGGUGUAAGAAUGGUGUGUGGAUUAUGUUAGAUUUGAGGGUUAUUUAUAGCAAAAUUUUCGUGUUGCUACAGUACCCGCUACAAUGAUUUUUACUGUUUGCAAUGUACAGUACCGCUACAAUGCGCUACAGUGUACAGUUUGUCUUUUUGUUACCGUGCUUGCACAGUAACUUACUGGACUACUACAGUACUUCCGGUGCUACAGUGAAAAUGAUUUUUUCUGAAUUUUGCUCCGAUUGAACCAGUUUGAAUGUCCUUAGAAGCAUUUGUUUAGCAAAUCAUUGCUGAUAAUUCUUUUGACACUGCUUUGAUCCAUUCCUUGUAAUACUGUGUAUUGACUCCUUAUUUAUCAAAUAGAUACUUGUUCAGAACCAUUCUUUGGAUGUUUCUUCUCUACAUGAAGCAUUGUUCUUUUAAUGUUUGUACCGAAUAGUUUGAGUUUGCUACCCCGAUAUGGUUGUAUCUGUGCGUAUUGUAGCAAGGGAUUCUUUCUCCAAUAUCCCUGUCAAAGUAUAUGAUGUCAAAGUUUCUGAUUCUGGAUUCUUUUUUCUCGUUUUCGACAUAGUGAUAUUCCAUCCAGAGAUAUGAGAAAGUAUCAUCUCUGAGUUUGAUCUGGAAGGAUUGAGUAGUAGGAUCUUCAGGAAUUAGAAAUGGAUUUUUAUCCUCUUCAGAUUCCUGAAUCCAAUUUAUUGUUGAAGUUUUAUCAAUUGUUUGGAAUUGGUUUGAGAUUGUUUCUUCAGGUACCCAACUUGAAGUUGUUUCUGCAGGUAUCCAAUUUGAAGAUGAUUCAUCAGGGAUCCAAUCCCAAUUUGAUGUUUGGCCUUCACUGGCUUGAUUCCAAUUUGAUGAUGUUUGUUCUUCAUUAGUUUGAUUGUUGGAUAUUUCUCCGAGGGAGGUUUGUACCCAAGUAGAAUAUCCAUCGAAGAGACAGUUGUUUGCUUGUUUCUCUUCUGGAUUGUAUGAUGAUGAGCUUCCUUCUCUUGCCAUGUCUCUGCAUAAAGAGUUUGUUAGAUUUAAGAAUAUAGGAUUAGAAAGUUGGGAUAUUAUCCCUUUACAUGUGAUUUGGAAAGGGACUAAUUGGUUGAGAAAGGAUGUUCCUAGAAUGAUAUGGUUAGUUAGAUACUUAGUUGAAAAGAAGGUAUCUGAGAAUUGGUUUUGUAUAUUUUAAAUUUUGAAUUUGGCAUUGAUCUUGGGAUUGUUGGUUUUUCUAAGAACUUCUAAAAAUUGAAUUGGAAUGAGAUUUUCUGGAAUAUAAUUUUGGUCUGUCCCUGUAUCAAAUAGGGCUUUAGUUUUGAUUACAUAAUUGCCAAUAAUUAGUAAUCAUAUUUGGAUCGAAUAUUCCUGAAAUAACUGAGAAUUGUUAUUCAGGUUCACAAGGUUGGUUGUUUCUUUUUGAGGAUACCAAAUAAGAAAUUUGUCAAAGAUUUCUAGAAAAUCCUGGAGUUUUGAUUUGCAAAGGUUUUGUUUAGGGAUUUUGAAGCUGUUUUUUUCUGGAAUAUCAAAGAGAAAAUUUUUUACCUAAACUUGGUUCAGGUAGGGUUGUCUUGUUUCUUCAGUGAUGUUGAGAAGAAGGUUUUGGUAUUUGACCAUAUGUCCUUCUUUUUCAUUUUCAUUACUGGUGGUUUGGGAGGAAGAUGUUGGAAUAUUUUGCCAUAAUCUUUUUCUCGUUCAAAUUUGUCAGUAUCUGAUUCGAUCAAAGAUUUGACAAUUGGGCUUUGAAUUGGUCUGCUAGUUCUGAGAUAUUGAAUUUUUGGUAAUAUCUAGGUUUAUAAAUUUUGAAAGUGGAUAAGGUUGGUUGUUUUGUAGAAAAGAAAGGGUUUUGAAGACUUAUAGGUUUGGAUUUAUAUGGUAGUUGAAUAACCCAUAUUGUUUGUAAGAGGCUCCAAGAUUUCUUUCUUGGACUUGUUCUUCUGCAGGUUGUUUGGAAAACCAGCCUGCUUGUUGGCUCUGUUCAUAAGUUAUUUCUUUCCAAGGCUUAAUCUUCUUGUAUUGGAAUAUGAGAAGGCCUUUGGAGAAAUCUCUGUUAUGAAUCUUGUUUCUGUUGAAUCUUGUCAGGAAUAUAUAUUGAUACCUACUAGAGUUUGGGAAUAGCUUUGAUGAAUGCUCUUGGGUUAUUCCUGAAUCAUCGUUAGAUGUGAAGUCCAUGAUAGUAUUGAAUUCCAUUGUUUCUGGGAGGAUGUUCCUGUCUUGUAUGUCAGAUUCAUCCUUGUUAAUUGCGACGAAGAUGUUAUAAAUAAUAUUUUCGUCCUUUAUGAUGAGGUGUUCUUCCCGCCAUUUUUUGAAUUGCCCAAUAAAUCCUAUGAAUAUGAUAUGAGCAGCUAACUGUUUGUAGCCAUAUGAUAUUUGAUUAAACAUAGCUGUGGUUGUCAUCUGUUGAGAUGCCAUAAGAAGAUUGUAUCUGAAUAUUUCAUCUAUGCUCCAUCCAUAGAUGCCGUCUGUAUUGUAUGAAUAUUGGAGAAUAUUAGGCUUUGUUUUGAAAAUAUCAAAAUGAAUUGUUUGAGGAUGGUAUAGACCUUGGGUGUUUUCUUGAUUGGGAGUACAACCUUGUAAGAGAGGGUUUACGUAUGGUUUAUUUAGGGUAGAAGACUCUUGGAAGUUUUGUAUGACCCUAAUCAAGGUGGUUCUUUGAAGUUUCAAUCCUGGCUUGGGAAUAAGAAAGGAUUGUUCAAUCCUAACUUUCUGGUUUUCUGAUUGGUCAAAGGGUUUGGAAAGUAGGUUUAAAAAAUAAAUAUUUGUAUGAGGAGUUUAGAGAUAAACUAGGUAAAGAUUUUAAAGAAAUCUUUUUCAAAUAUUUGUGGAAAGAUAGUAAGAAUAUGUGUAUAGGCUGCUUCUUGAUCAAUUCUGAUCUCAAUUUCAUGAAUGACCAACUUUGUUGCAGAGCGUCCAGUUUGAAUCUUUUGUUUAGUGGCUAAUUUUGUCGAAGAAGAUCUUGUCUGAAUUUUCCGCCUGAUGCGUGUGAUAGCUUGCCUUCCCAUAUUUUUUGUUUGAGCGGAAGGAUGGUCUAUCCUAUUUUCUGGGACACAUAAAGGUUGAAUAUGUUAUUUUUCUCCGAUCAUCCUCCUUGGGAUUUGUGAUUUAGCCUGAUCUAUUUGAGAAGAUAUUUCUUGUUUAUGAGAUUAUCCUAGUUUGUUGAAGAUCCAUGUCUCCUCUGUUUGUCCCUUGUAUCUGUUGGAGAACCAUGUUUCUUCUGUAUAGGCUUCUAUCUUGAGACUUGGGUACUCAAUAGUAAGUACCUUUAAUUUGUUAAACUACAACUGUUUGUAUGUUAUAAAAGAAUAUAUAGAUAAUUUAGGAAUUUCUUCCUGAUUAUUAUUUGUAGAAUUUUCUUUUGAGUUUUUCAAAGAAAUAAGUUUGUUAUUAGAAGGGAGACAAUUAUGAGACAAUUUUGAAAUAGAUGGUUGUGAAAAAUCAGUAGUAUUUUGAUUUUUUACUGACUGGAUUUCUUGUUUAGAGGAAAUAAUCCUUGUUUGUGAAUUUCUAAUAGCCAUGGGUUUGGUAAGCAUUUGGGAAGGAAUUUUAUCUUCGACAAUUUCUGCUCGAAGAUUUUUACAGUUUAUUGGUUUGACACUAGGUUGAAUUUUAGUCAAGACAUGUAUUGUGGAAUAUCCUAUGUUUAUGGAAUCUCCUAUGUCUUUCUCAAGACUGGUGGUAUUGUCAAAAUUGUUUAUGGAUUGACUGGAUGUCAGAAACGUUUUAGAAUUCCUGGAAAAUCUAGGUUUGGUAAAUCUAUUGGGAGUUUAUGAGAGGAUUCUAGUAUAUGAGAUAGAUCUAUGGAUAGAUCUACGGAUUCUACCUUAGUUUGGACCGGAUCUAUAUGAUCUGGUAUAGAAACCUGAGUUUCUAGAGCUUUUGACAUGGAGGAUACAGGUUUUGACAUAGUUUGGAUUGGAUUUAUGGGUUCUAGUGUAGACACCUGAGAAGUUUGAGACUCAUACCAGUUAAAGAAAUAAAUAUGUUGUUUUGUUUUUCUUAAAAAGUUAUAAAAGUUUUCUUGUAUAUUUUUUCGGGCUUCUCCCUAAUAUUUGUCAAAAAAUUGUUUUCUUUUAAAAUGGUUAUGAUUUGCAAAGAAUUCAGAUCUAAGAUUUUGUUUGUCAAUCUGGAAUUCAGGAGGUUUGUUUUCUAGUUUUUCUUGAAUAAAGAUUGAUUGCUCAAUUCGAGCAAUUCUAGUUUGAAGGUCAUCUAAUGGUUUGUUGUUUAAAGAAGAAUUUGGAGAACUAGAAUUUGUUUUAACAAAUGAAGCCAUAAGCAAAGAUAAAUAAAUAAAUAAUUAAGACAACUUAUAAUCCUCUUCCCUUUGGAACAGAAUCCUUCGGGAUCCAUGGAGGAUAACCAUUUUUCUAAACCGAUUAUAACAAAGAUAGUGAGGAUACUACAAGAAAAGAUCUAACUUUUUGAGAACGAUUAACUACACAUGACGAUUAUAUUUCCAUCAUAAUAAAGAUAGUGAUGAAGUUAUAAGAAUAGAUCUAACCUUUUGAGAAAGAUUAACUAUGCAUGACGACUAUAUUUCCAAACAAAAAUAAUAUCAGCAGUAUAAACCUAUGAAGCCAGAUCUGAACCUCUGAACACUUCACCGUCCUAGAUUUCGGAUCACUGGAACCUCAAUAUCCCUACAGGACUUAUUGCCAAAUCCCAUGACCUUACUAUCUAGACCGGAGGCUGGCAAUUACAGGCUCCAUGUCCAUUACUCAAAUCAUAGUCCACAAGCAGAUACUAUUAAUAGUAUAAUAAGUUUGAAUACAUUAGAUAGUAAUCGCGAAGUUAACCAGUCUUAUUAGACAGAUCUAAACUUGUAGAUCUACACUAGCAACAUCAUAAUAAGUAAAGAAAUAUAGCCAUCACCUCACUUCUCCCUCUGGCUUUGAUACCAGAUGGAACGAGGGUUAUUAUUAUAUAUAUUAUAAUAUAUAUAAUAUAUAAUAUAUAUAAUAUAUAUUAUAAUUAAAAUUUUAAUAUAAUAUUAGCAUAAUUAUAUAAUAUAUUUAUAAUUAUUAUAUACAUAUAUAUAUACAUAUAUAAUUACAUAUUAUAAUUAUAUAUUUUAUUAUAAUAUUAGUAUAAUUAUAUAAUUAUUAUAUACACAUACAUAAUAAUUUAUAUAAAUAUAUAUUAUAAUUAUUUAAUUAAGUAUAAUUAUAUUUAUAUAAUAUAUUAUAAUAUUAUGAAUAUUAUAUAAAAAUAUAUUUAUAUCAUUUAUAUAUAUUUAUAAAUGUAUAUUAUAUAUGCAUAUAAUUGUAAUAUAUACAUAUAUAUAAUAAAUUAUAUAAUUAUAAUUAUAUUUAUUAUUAUAAAUAUAAUAAUAAUUAUAUUUAAUAUAUAAUAUACAUUAUAAUUAUAUAAUAUAUUACUAUAAUUACUAUAUAUUAUAUAAUUAUAUUAUAAUAUUUCUAUAAUUAUAUUUAAUUAUAUAUAAUAUUUAAUUUAAUUAGUUACAAACUUAUGAUAAUAACAUUAUUAGUUAUAUAUAUUAUAUAAUGUAUAUUAGUAUAUGUAAUAUGAUUGAUAUUAUCAAUUAUACUAAUAAUUAUACAUAUUUACUAAUAAAAAUUAUUAAUUAGUUAUACUAAAUUUACUAAUACAUUUAAUUAGUGAAAAUUUCUUAUAUUCUAUUUCGAAAGAGUCAAUGAACCAAAUAUCAACUAUAGUAAUGAUAUGCAUUCAUGGUACUGAACCAAACAGCUGUAUUGGAAUGAUUGACUCCAUUCCAAAACUAGGAUAAAUGAUUCCAAAUCUGAAUUCCAAAACUAGGAUAAAUGAUUCCAAAUCUGAAUCCGAUUCCAACAUAUGAACCUAACGCCACCUUAGAACUUAGAAGCAAGUAUUGUUGACAUAAAAAGGGUUCCUAGAGGUACCAAUAAAGUGGCACAUGAAUUAGUUUUUCGUACUAAAUUUUCACACUUUAUGAAAUCCUUAUGAAAUUUCCCACCCGACUUUGUUAAACAAUUCAUGUUAGAUGAUUUUCAAUAAUUUAGUAUUUUCUUUUUAUCAAAUAUGGCAAUUUGAUUAUGCUAGUUAUUUCUUGGAAUUGCUUGAACAUUUUUAAGAUUGUUUGUGGAAGUUAUAAUACAAUACUUAUUUAGUGAUUAUGUUCAGUUGCUUUUUUUGGAUUAGGAAGUUGUAAUCAAUUUGUGAUUUGUUUAGUUCUUGUAUUCAAUUACUCUUUUAGAUAAGGAAGUUGUAAUAAAUUUUUUAUUUGUUUGCGUGAAUUAUGGUUAUUUGUUGGUGUUUACCAUUGCCAGAUCUUACUUCAAAUUUCCAGGGAUCUUUGGAUAUUUUUUUCCAUAUAAUGUUAUUUGCCAAAAAGAAGAGACAAAGAAUCAAUGAACCGGCUGAUUGAGCCAAUCGAAUCGAAAAAAUCAUGAACCGAUCACCUCUCCGGUUCAUUGAGUAGUCUGAGUUUAAAAACAUUGCUAGAUAGGCUGCGCUACUAUCAAAUCUGAUGGGUAUUGUGGUGCACAACACUCCCAAGUAGGUAACUCUUGGAGAGCCAUUAAAUACGUGCCUGUGGGCUGAAAUGUGGAGGGAGGUGCUGAGGAGCAUAAAAUAAUCCCAAGAUUUCAAAAUAUUUUUUCAUAUUUCCUUGAAAAAUUAAAACUUAUUGCUCAUAUCCUCGUAAAAUUAAACCUUGCCACUAGGAUUUUUAGAAUUAUUCUAUAUCCCCUUGAAAUGUUCCUUACAAAUAUUAGACUUUACCCAUGAAAUUUUUACAGAAAUGAAAGAUGCCUUUCCAUGUACCUUUUUACUAGUUUUGCCCUUGGAAGAAAAGGAACAGUUGUGUAGGGCGGGGAGAGGGAGUGUAUGUGGAAAAUUUCGAGUAGAUCUUGGGUUCGAGACUUUUCAAUUACACUAAACAGAAAUUUUUUUCACUAAUUUGCCCUCUCAAACGUACCUAAAUCUUUUCCAAUAAGUGCAUAUGCAAAUACAAAUAUUCAUAUUUAAAAAUGUCAAAUAUCAAGUAAAUAAUUCAAUAUGAUAUUUAGUGUUUAAUUUUUAAUAUCAAUUUUGAUAAAGUAGGAUAACUAAAUAUCACAAGCACAACAACAAGUGCUACAAAUUAUUUUUAAUUAUGGAAAACUUGUUAUAAAAUUAAAAAACAAGUGAAGAAAAUUAUGAUACUAGAAUUGUGGCUAAUAUUUAUGGAAAUUUAUACUCAUGCUCAAUUGUCACUUGUUGCCAAAAAUGAUACAUCAACAUAUAGAAAGAUAUUACUUUGUGUUAUUACACCUAAAGGUGCAAUCUAGUUAAGUUCUAAAUUUCUAAUAAUGCACUACUAAAAAACUUGAACUCAAGAUUGACCUCCAAUUUGUCAAUCUCAUGAAAGUUGAGCUCGAAUUUCAGUUCAAUUUUAUUUUACCUUACUUGAACUUAAUCAAACCAAACCUAAUCAAGCUUUAUCAAGUGUAAUUCGAGUGCAAUUGAGUUUAGUUGACCACAAUCAAGUUUCGUCAAACUCAAUUUAGUUCAACUAAGCUUGUCAAGUUCAAUGAAGUUUAAGUAAUAUAAAUUAGUAUUUUAUACAUAGCUUAUUGUCAAUUUUUAUUCCUCUCUCUACCUCUUAUUUUCUCCAACUUCUCUCUAUUUUUUCUCCUCUUCUUAUAAAGCGUUCCUCUUCAUGAAGGAGACCAUCAUGGUCAUCUUCCCAAGAAUUUAUUUCGAUAUAUUUCACCAUAAUUAUUGGUAUUUAAAACCGUUGAUUAGUAAUUUUAGUGAUUGCAAUAUGUAGAGAAUGGGGCUGUAGCAAAUUAUCUUAUUAGAAGACAAUUUUAAUUUUUUGGCAUUUUUCAAAUAUGUUUAUAAUUCUAUAUGUUAAAUUAUAUAUCUGUGAUUUGUAAUGUAUGUUUAACCUGUCACUAGGAUUAUGAUGUAAAUCAAAUCGUGUGAAAUUAUUUUCAGCAACCCACUAGUGGAACUCGCUUUUUAUAUAAAAAAUAAUUAUUUAUACAAUUUUAAAAAAGGGAUAUGACAGAUAUUUUACUCUUUUGAAUACAAAAAAUUGAAAUAUAUAUGUUUGUGUGUGUGUCUACAUGUGUGUGUAUGUAUAUGGGUGUGUGUGUGUGUGUGCAUGUAUGCAUGUGAAGCUCAAUGAACUUGUUUAAAUUUGAUGAAUUUUCUAGUCUUUCAUAUUUGGUUCAAACUCAAGCUCUUCAUGAAAUUUGACCUAUUUGAAGUCGGUCAUCAUGAGCUUGACCUCUAUUUUUUAUCAAACAAAUUCGUAAGUAAUUCUAUUAUAUUCGACUCGUUUGUACCUUUAGUUACACCUCAAGUGCCUAACAUUAAUUUCUGAAUUUUAUGUUAUACCAAGUACAAUCCACUGUAACUUAAAAUUUUCUAUUUUUUACAAUGGUUAAAAGGUUAAUAACCUGGGUAGUUAGAGAAACAAAUAUAGUAAAGUACAUAGGUGGAAUUUCAUUUGGUUUGCCUCACAUUAUAUGUUGUAGAAUUACUUUUACAUUUGGUACGAAAAAUGAAUAACCAAUGAUGUAAGAACAGACAUGUUAGAAUGGAAAUUUUAAAUUUGCAUAUAAGUAGCCUGAAUGCAGGUAUAUUAUUGUCUAACUUUUCCUCCUUAUUAAAUAUGUUCCAAGACCAUAUCAUAUUAGGAUCAUAUAUAUUCAGAUAGCGACUAAUUUAGUACAAAUAAUUGAACUAAUGAUUUUUCUCCAUAUUUUAUUUUAUUCUAAAAUCCUGUCAUUAGAAUCAUUCUUCUUUAUUUUGAAAAAAAAUUAUUUAUCCUCGUGGGCCAGGGAAAUUAUCAGUUAUUUAGCGCCUUUUCUUUUUGAUCUUUUGCACCGGCGAUUACUAGGCUUCGAAUUUGUGACGGCCCCACCUCCCCUUAGAGCGUACCCCAGGGUUCGGCGGGCCGCCUGCCCAACUCUCGCCAGGAUUCACUCACUCAUAGCUCAAGAAAAAUAACAUACAUCCAUAGAAAAUAAAUAAAACAUCCACUUCAACUUAAUAUAUACAUUGAUGCUCAAAUCCCGAUACAAAGUUUCUACACACCAAAAUACUUCAAAGUGUUUAAAAUUUGAGUACAAUCAACCCUAGUCGAAUGCUAGCGCGAAUACCAUUUCAAAACUUCAAAACUAGAUUACUCUGUACCAGAAAGUAAACCCUAGAGAAGCUACUAACUAUAACCGCCACAACAAAUAUAUACAUCUUACUAGUCAACUUAUAACAAGUACAAAAUUCAACUAUUCUAUAACCAAAAAUCUAAACACCUUCCCGAACGAUCCCCGCGUCGGCCCCCUGCUAAGGAAAACAAAUGGAAUGGGGUAAACUAUGUGCUUAGUGAAUAAUCAGGGGUAAAACGUAAAAUCACAUCCAAAUAAACAUGUAAACCAAGAUAUUUCACAUCAACAGACAGAAAUGUAACAUCACAAUAGUAGGAUACGGGUGGCUUCAAAGCCAAUUCAAUUCCCCGAGCUUGACCACUUGUUGGCACUCCGUCAAUCAAAAUACUCAUAGUCCGUAGACUCCAUUUAACUUUUCCCGUUCACCUUAUCAACCCCCACUAGCCAGUCAACAGCACACAACAGCUCGAGCAAAAUAAAUCAUUUAGCUUUAAACAAAACUUUAACAAAGAACGAAAUCCCAAGGUUAGCAUGGAACUAACUUCGACCAAGUUCCGGCUGGCUCGAAUAGUCCGUUUACCCUUGGAACCGGGUUGGAACCAAACCCUGAGAUAUCCAAUCUCUCAAUAGAUGAUAUCCCUCAACAAAGUACUCACCCUAACAGCACACAGCACAAGGGGUUCAACUCAAGUCGUGUAAUCACCCCAACAGCACACAGCAAAAGGGUGUUACUCAGCACAAAGUAUGUAUUCUCACAUAUUGAGUCAAUAACAGAGAAUGGGCUUAGGUCGAGUGAAAUAAAAUACACCCUCGCCUAAGUACCCAUUCAACAUAUACAAAUUACAUCGACAAUUUAUCAUAUAAACCAACCCAAUUACUCACUCAAAAUAGUUAGCGCGCAAAUCAAGACACUUUAUACAGGUCCACCGACUUCGUCCGGUUUGUCACUGCCUGUGACAAAAGAUUAUACUCAAUUAUCAGUCAACCAACCAUCACAAAUGGAAGUAAGGACUAAAAUGGCCAAGACGGCAAAAACGGCAAAGAAAUGCAUGUGCGUGUACGCGGAAAUGAAAACGGUAUAAAAAUGGGUUACACGGUUUUGACCAUAAUCAGAGAUGUAGUUAUCCGAUCAAGGUGUAAUAGGUAGCGUCUCGAAGCUAAGACAAAGGGUUACAACUUUCAUGAAGACAACUCAACCCAGUUUUCAGUGGAUCUAGGGUAAAUUUGCAUAUUACAGAACCAGACUCCAAAGGCUGGUUUAUACCUCUAGUGAAAAUUUGGGCGGCAUGCCCCUUGUGUUUGCCUAUUUUUCAGCCAUUUAUGGCUUCAUUAUUUUCCUCAAAUCAGCCCCAAUAUCAUACAUAGGCAAUGUUACCACAAUAGCCCUUCAACUAGGCUCAAAAUAAUCCAAUUACAACACAAGUCUUAACAAGGCAACCAAAAAUCAAGUUUAAAGGCAAAUAGCUAAAUGACAGAUUUGACAUCUCUUGGAAUUUUGGCCACAACUAAAGUUACGGCUAUCGGUUUGGAGUAAAAUUUAUACCGUUUCGAAGAUAAAACAGAGAACUACAAUUCUCAUGAAGACAUCAACAACCAGUUCAUGCAUUUUCAAUAUCAAAAUGUGACAUCUCAGAGGAAAACAUAAAACUGUCCACAAAACAGUACAUUUGGCAGUAAGGGUUAUUUCGGUCAUUUCACAUGCUACAGUACUCAAGUUGAGUUGAAAUUUUACAGGAAGCUAUAAAACAUCAUUUUCUACAACUUUUAUAUUUUGAGGUAAGCCUGAUUCGGCCUCUAACAUGGACGAAUGAAGCUGGUCAGAACAGAACAACUUGGUUUCCAAUUUCUGGAAUUUGCACCUUUACUCUAGAAAUUCAUAUCUAACAAGUACUCUAUCAUCAAACCCACCAAUUACUAGCUCAAUAACAUCAAUUAAGCGGUAGAUAACCAUAAUCAAGGCUGAAAAUAUAAACCCUAGCUACACAUUCCAAUAUAUCAUUCAACCCAUAAAAUUUUCCCCAUAAAACUAUCAAAACUACAACUCUAAACUUCUAGUUUACACAUAUAUGAAGUAGAGGGAAAUUUCUUAUCAAAGUCACCUUAAUCUCUAUGCCAAGAAGCUGUCAAGACCUUCUUCUUCCCAAAUCACUCCACCAAAAUCCUUAAACUUCCUUAGAGAUCAACUUUUGUGGAGGAAUUUGCAAGAUUAUCGGUUGAAACUCAAGAUUGAGGCUUGAAAUUAAAGUGCAAUGAAGUUUUCUUUCCCUUUCCCUCUCUCAAGUUUCGGCCAGAAAUAUGCAGAAAUGAAGAAGAAACAAAGCUCUAGAAAGAUAAGAAGGUUGGAGUUAAGUUGGUCAAAGGUUUGACAAGUGUCACAAUUUAAUUGGAAGUCAAAUUUUUCUUUUCUCUCUUGUUUUUUUUGUCCACAUUUUCGGCUGAAAGGAGAAGAUAUUUAGGGCUAAUUUUGUUCAAUUAAUAACAAGAGAAUUAAGGUAAUAAAGUAGUGUUCAAGUGGUGUGCUCACUCGGUAACAAACGAUACCCAUCGGUUCCAACCGUUUUUCCUUAACUCGCGCGUACUAGGGUUUUAACUUAUGAUUAUCACUUCUAAUCACACACUUUAUCUUAUCUAAAACUCCCUCUUAAUCGUCAAAUUGAGUAAACACUCCACACCGAUUAAUCACACUGCCAAAAGACGUAAAAACCCUAGUUUACCUUAACGAUGAAAGUAAAGAGAAAACUGUUGGUUCUAUGAUUAAUUGUAACUAUUGAGGAAGUGAAUGAGUAGUAAAGCUAUUGUCAAUUAAUGGAUUCCAUAUAAAAGAAAAUUUUUAAGAAAAUAUGAGAGAUUUUACAUGUAACAGCCCCACCUCCCCCUAAGGCGAACCAGAGGGUUCGGCGGGCCGCCUGCCCAGCUCUCGCCGGGACUCAGUCGAUCACUACAGUCCUCAAACAAAUACAAGAUAAAGUCUCAAAUAAAAAUCAAAUAUUCCAACAUUUAUAUAUCAAAAGCGAAGCGUCCACGCUUCCACUGCCACUCUGAUCCUUGAUCACAAUUAUUAUACAGGAGGAAGUCCAAAUCUUGACUAUUACACAUCCAAUCAAUUCUAAACGUUCAAUACAAUCCCGCUAUGAAUGAUUACACAAAAGGAAAUCCAAAUUCAAUCCAUACAUGAGAUAAUUCACGAAUAAACACUACAAGCCCUUCAUUCGCCUUGAGCCCUGUGGAGGGGAAUAAAACAUUUUGGGGUGAGCUAGAAGCUCAGCGAGUAACCAGUAAAAUCAGUAAGCAAAUCAGUUUCACAGUCGUUCAUUUCAGUGAUGUCAUGAUUCCAAGAUCAAAUGUACAUUUAUUGCUCUCGUGAGCCAGUGUAAUCGUUGUACUUAAACACCCAACGCUCCAAACAAACAGUUAACAGUAAACAGUCAGAGGGGGAGCCAUUUGCUCCAGAUGAACAGUACACAGAGGUGGAGACGUUGGUGUUCAGCACACGAAUUCCAAGUACUCAUUUAAGCCAAAACAUGUCAUGGGCCACAUGCAAGCACUCAUGAUAUGCAAUCAAGUAAAUAGUGCAAGAAACGGUUCAUAAGUAACUUUGGAAACAGUUUAGGGUCACUCACCUCCACGGCUCAUAAUCCUCGUCCAAUAUAGCCAAAUCCAUCAUUCAAGUCCAAGCCUUUCACUUGAAACUUAAGGUAACCAACACUAUUAAAAAUCGGACAGCACUUCCCCAUAAAUUCAUCCUUUCCAUCCUACAAUCAAACCCAAUCACAUAGCAAUUAACCACAAUUGCUCAAAACCAGAAAACAGUUUUGACGUCCUUUUGCGGUAAUGGUGCCAAAAGCACUACGAUGGUCGGAUGAAGAUGCAAGACCCACCGUUUCGAAGCUAAGAGACAAGGCUACAACAAUGUAGAAGGCCACUCAGUCCAAAUCCUAGAAAAACUAGGUCAAAUAUGCAGAAUACCAAACCAGAACCGUAAUUGCAGGUUCCCAAAUCACACAAUGCUGUAAUGCGUCCAACUCAGUCUACACAGGUCCAAAUACAUUGAUUCCAAAGGCAUAUGGUAGCUAGUACAUCAAGAUACAUUUCAUCAGAAGACCUCAACAACCAAAUCCAAAGCAAUUCUAGUCAAAAUAGACGAUUACUAUCGCAGUUCGCACAUUCUGAUCUCCCAGAACAGCAACAGUAAAAACGACAUAUCUCACUCUACACUAAUCCAAAUGAUCUGAAAUUUUGCAGACACUUCAAACUCAUCAAUACCUACAACUUUCAUGUUUUGAGCAAAGUCCAAUUCGGCCUCUAACCCUAUGAUCCAAGAUCGGACAGAAUUAGGGGUUUUGAAACCCUAACAUUUCUCAAUUCAAUCCAAACCCAAAAUUGGUUGCAAUUUCCUAUCAUAUGCACCUACUAGAGCCAUAGCCCCUUAUUACCAACCAUCAAAAACAACCACACCAUCAUGAUCAUAUGAAACCAGAAAAUUCCUCAAAAAUAAAAAACUCAACCAAUUCACUUCAAAUCAAGAAAUAAAACACAUAAUCCCUCACUUAAGCCACCAUUAGGCAUAAAUUCAACAUCAUUAGAUAUAGGAGGGUGUUCAUAUACCACUUACCAAGUAAUCAAGAGAGAGAAAGAUGUUGGACACCUUAAGUCUUCAAACAAACUUCACUAAACUACUUCCUAGCACCCAAGGAAGGAAUUUUAUGGAGUAAAAACUAAUUUAAGCAAGUAGUUUGGAUGAUUUGAGCUAGGAAUUUGCCAAGAUGUUGAAGAGUUUUGUCUUUCUUCUUGCUAGAGAGGUUCGGCCAUCAAGAGGUGAAAAAUGGUAAGUUUUUUUGUGAAUUUUGAAGAUAUUUAAUCCAUAAGUCAAAAGGUCAAAACCAUGAAUAGUAAAUCAUAAAAUCCACCCAAUAGAAAAAUGACACAUGGCAUCUCAUUAAAUGCAAUUCUAUCAUUUUGUCUCUCCAAUAAAAAUAUCUUAACACAUUGUAAACUAAUAUCACUUAAUACAAAAUUCCAACAAGUUGUCAAAAAUAUAAUGCAUUUACCGCACUUGCGGGUCCCACGUCCAAAAUACGCUUUUAAUUUCUCAAAAACUAACCGAUACUAGAAAAAUCAUUUUAAAACUAUUUUUGCUCAUAAACUUUAUCUGGGGAAUUUUUCUAAUCAAGAAAAUGUAGAAAAGGCGGGCGUUUAAAAAAUAAACCCUAGAAAAGUAGAAAAUUUCCGGGUUCUCACACUUAUACUUUUCGGGGCGUCACAUUACAAGUCCUCACAAUCACACUACCAAAAUGCACACAAAAACAUGCACCAAAACCCUAGUAUGCACAAAAAACCCUAACUUAUGCCAUUCCUUUAGAAAAAUCAUAACUUGAGUUAUAAAGAUAAAAAAUUCAUACAUCUUGGCUUGUUAAAAACUAGAUUUCAAAUACUAAUAAUCUUUAGAACACACCUCAAAGAGAUUUAGUUCAUAAGUUGGUCCAAAUUGAGCCAUAAGCUACUACAACAUUCCUAUUGUAACUUGUGCAGGACAGAAUUUUCAGUCAACUUUGCCAAUUUCCUAGAAUUUAUAGAGAUGGAAUCAAACUCUAAAUUUUAUACCAUAGGAAGCUCUAUGAGUCUAGUUUCAAACGCAACAAACGGAACUCAAUUCCGAAUUUCCUAUACGAAGUUAUAGCCAAUUUUCCAAAGCUGCGCAGAGCCUCCUGCGAAAAUUUCUAGAUUUUCUAACAACUUAAGAUUAUGAAACUUUUCUUAGCAAAAUGCACUCCCUUGGCUAACAUCCAACCAAGAAUCUAAGGCAAGUAAGUUCAAAUAAGAGCUAUAAAGACAAAUAAAAUUUCGGGGUCUCACAGAAUUCUCUGUCCCUAAAGUAGUCUCUGUCCCCUCUGUUCCUUAUUUGUACAGCUGCCACGUGUUUCUAGCCUUUUGUUAAUCCAAACUCAAAUAAAUCGAUAAUAAUCGGUUUACAAGUUUACUCAAAAUCAAUUAAAACAGAUAACUCACAACUUUUUUUAUGUUCUUUUUAACAAAAAAGAGUCUUGUUGAUUUGGGGUAAAAACUAAAGAAGAGUUUUAGUUGAUUUCUAUGUUUAUGAUCAACAAGACUCUUUUUUUGUUAAAAAGAAAAUAAAAAAAAGUUUUGAGUUAUCUGUUUUAAUUGAUUUUGAGUAAACUUGUAAUCCGAUUAUUAUCAGUUUAUUUGAGUUUGAGUUAACAAAAGGUUAGAGACAUGUGACAACUGUACAAAUAAGGAACAGAGGAUUCGAAACCCGAUUACUAAGGGUGCAAAUGAGUUGAGUUGAGUCAAAUUUUGAUUUAAUUGAGUCGAGACUCAACUUAGUUUUAUGAAUCUCAAACUCGAGUUCGACGAGCUCUUAAUGUAAAGUUCGAACUUGAGUUUGAGCUUAACAAAAUAAAAAAUAAUUAUUUUAUUUUUAAAAAAUAAAUAAAAUAAUAAUUUUAAAAACAAAUAAAAAAAUUAGGGAUAUAUAUGUAAUUUUACUAUUAAAAUAAAAAUAAUAUAUAUAUAAUGGACUCGACUCACGAGCUAACGAGUUGAGUAUCUUUAAACUUGAGUUCGAUUUCGACUUCGACUUGGUCAGUUAGAACUCGACUCCAACUCGAUGUUGACCGAUUUCAAGUUGAAUUCAAACUCGAGUUGCUUGCGAGUGGGUCGAUUCAUUUGCAACCCUAGCUAGUACUCGCACUUUCUUUCAAUACCUCCUUAUCUAAUCGUCUCUCUCUCUCUCUCUCUCUCUCUCUCUCUCUCUCUCUCUCUCUCUCUCUCUCUCCUGGUAAACACCUUAAUGCAACAUCUACACGUCCUUCUCAAUUUUAUUCUCCAUAUGUGGGUAGUUGACUCAAUUCUCCACAUAAGUCAAAUCCAAACAGGUCCCUAAAGAAAUAUAUUUUGGAUUAUUAUUUGAAUAUUAUUUGAUAUAAUUAUUAUAACACUUUUUGUAAUAUGAUAUAUGUGAGAUAAAAAAGUGACUAAAAAUAUAAAAAGAUGAGUUCAAAAAUAUAUUUAUGAUACAAGUAAAAUAUUAUUUGCAAAAAUUUAGGCCUUGUUUGGAUUGUGAUUUUCUGCAAAAAAAAAAAAUAAAAUUGUAUAUUUCUUUUGAAAAUAUUUUUUAAUCAUUUUUUUACCUCAUAUAUAAAAUUAUUAUAGUACAUUUUUUAAAAAUAUAUAUAAAAAAAAUAGAAAUCCAAACAAGGCCUUAGCCGUCCAAACACACUGAGCGGAGGAGUUUGUCCAACAAAGAAGUUAGCUCGUUAGAAAGAAUUUACAAUCUUAAACAAUCCAUGGGUUACAUCUUCAUGUGUAACCUGCCAAUCGUGGGCAGAGGCCGAGAGUGCCGGAGGGAGCGACACGGAAUAACACGUGCAAAGUGCUGUAGUUUGUGGUAAGAAAUUAAUUGGCUUUGUCAAAUACGCACAACGGAAGAAAUUAACUGGCGCCGUAGAGUAGAACAAAAUUAAAUAGGAUUAUCUUGCCUAGAAUUUGUCGGGUCUAUUAUUUUUAAUUUUGAAGUUGAAGCAAUUAUUUCGUCUCCUGAAGGUGCUAAACUUUGAGAUAUUUUAGAGAGUAUAAAAUUAGUUUCUGUCGAGAUCGAGGAAAGGGUUAGGUGAAGUUCUUUAUCUCGAGAUAGACUUCGUGGCAUGGAACAAAUUAAUUCGCACCGCAGAUGUUGAACAAAAUUAAAUAGGACAAAAAAUUGGCAGCGCGCCAGACGGCCAGAGUGUGAGUAGUUUUCUUCUCCUAAGACCAAGACCUUGAUUAUUCAAUUCAAUCAAAGCCACCUCUACCCAUUACAAACAAAUGUAAAAGCAUUUUCUUCAUCUUCAUAUAUUCAAUUUGCCAAUAUCACUCGAGGAAUUGUGAAAAGUACACGCCAAUUUGACGCCGGAUGUAUGUCCUUAGUAGCUAAAUCAAGAAAUAAGUAACAUUCUUUACAAAUCGCCUUCACCACCAUUCAUUAAUUUUACCUGAAAUGCUAUUCACCCCAUUCAUAUAUAGUAGUAGCAUUGGCCCUUAUCUUUACAAUUGCAUGCAAUUAGUGAUUAUUGUUUGUUUGUUGAAUUUUAAAGUAAUUUAUAUUUGAUUGUAUUUCGUAGAACUCUUUGUAAUUUGUAAAGAUAAGGGCAUAUAGUGUGGUCAAAAUAAAAUGUAAAAAAAAAAGGAAAUUGAUAGAUUUUUAUUUUUUUGAAUUUUAAAAUCGUAAUGCUUGUGUUAGAUAAUUGAAACUUUUGUCGGAUUUUGUAGAAUUCUUUGUAAUUUGGAAAGACAACUUAUAUGUUCUAUACUAAAUUAUAAAGGAAUUCAAAAUAACUGUAAACUCUAUAAUAUUACUUAGGAAAGCUUCAAGAAGUUUUGAACUAGUGAAUGGUAUAUAUAUAUAUAUAUAUGUAAAUAUCAAUGCUUAAAAUGUAUAAAUAUUUUCUACACUAAUUACUUUUGUAGAGUUGGAAGUAAUAAAUUUGAAAAGAUACUAAUUUUGCAUGAAAAGAUAAGAUAUACAUAAUAUAUUUGCAAAUAGUGAAAGUGAUUAUUUUGUAUAAUUUAAAAGCAUUAUAUCGUUGCUCAAACUGUUUAUAACAAGACAAUAAGUAAAACUCUUUACUUGUAUAAUAGGAUUGAGGGAAAAAAAUUAUAAUUUUUACAAUUUAAGGUGGUCACGCAUUGAUGUUUAUCGAUUUACCGAAACAUUUAUUUAAUUUUAUAAUAUCCUAUAUACAAAAAAAUUUUACAAAUGACAAUACAUGCUAUUUGUCAUUUGAAGCUAAGAAAAAUGUUAAAGUAAAUAUUUUACUUAUAGAGAAUUAUUGAUAAGUUGGUUAAACUAAGUUUCUUUUACCUAAAAGAAAUGGUAUAUAAAGAUAAGUUAUUCGAUAAGGUAACAUGACAAAAAAUGUUCCUGCCUAAAAUAUAGGGAUUUAAACAUGUAAAUUAAACAAACAAAUAACCAUUAGAUAACAUUGAUUAAAAUUAAUAAUAAAAAUAAAAUAAUUCAAAAUCCUUGAGAAAUGACACGUGUUACAGAGUAUUUAUCCCAUUUGUCAUAUUCAACUAAGCAAAAUGUUAAAGUAGUAAAUAUAGUAAAUUUAACUUAGAAAAGCUUGUUAAUUUGAAUUGUUAUUUUUAGAAAUUUUUGUAGAAAAAUAUACUAUAGUGAUUUAUAUAUGUGAGGUAAAAAGUUUAUUGUAAAAUAAAUUCACAGAAAACAUAAAAAAAAAUUUUGCAGAGGACUACAAAUCCAAACAAAUAAAUUUUUCUACAGUCCUCUGCAGGUCGGCUAAAGGAAACGUUAAAGUAAUAGAUUCUUUCGAGUACAUUCUUUUUUAGGGGCUAACCGAUAGGGACUCGGGCCACGGACGGUUGCAGGUGCAAUCGUUCCUGGCAAGUUUUGUCAUUAUCAAUUGCGCGUAACUUUCUUUAUCAACUGCGCGUAACUUUCUUUGUACAUCGUGUAACUUUUUUUUCACAGAAUGUAUUUUCACAACAGAUAGUGGUGGGCCCACACACAACACGGAAAUCGAGUUACAACUUGUUAUUUCAACCGCACAAAUUUUUGAGGGGAAAUCUGGGCCGUUAACCGUGCAGGGACGGUUGCACCUGCAACCGUCCCUGCCCCAUUUCCGAUAGAUUGUACGAGUACAUGGACUAAUCUACACAUUACUUUCAACUUUUUAUUCUUUUUUGGCUCCGGUCCAAACCGUUUACUUCAACGGUUCAACCCCUUCAUUCAUCCUCGUGGGACUUCCAUAGUUCCAUUACCACUAUUCUCUUAAUUUUCCUCACACGUGUCUAGCCCACGUUCUGCUUCCUGCAGCAUACAUUUUUUUGACAAGUUUUAGCAUCGAUCUCGACAGUUGGGUGGGUACCAGAUGGCUGCAUCAUAAUAAUGGCGGUAGGGUCCUUCGUUUCAUUAAUAUAUUCUCUGCUUUUAUAAACUUUCAACUUGAACAUUACCAAUGGUUUGUCACUACUUGAUUUUAAUAUUUGCAAAGUUCACGGAAAUCAUUCAUUUAUUGAGAGGACGGACAUCACACCAAUUUGUGUUAGUAUUCAUAAUAAAAUGAGGGUGUGUAUGAAUUGCAAUUUUUCAAAGGAAAAUUGUUACAUUUUUUAUGGACAUAUUUUUUAAUUAUUUUUUUAUCUCACAUAUAUUAAAUUAUUACAGUAUUUUUUCUAUAAAAAGUUCAGAAAAAUGUAAUCCAAACAAAACCCAAAUUACCUGGGUAUGCACUGAUCUUUUUUAAACAAUCAAGAUUUGACCAUUUGACUAUUAAUAGUAUGUUUUUACACAUUAAACUAUCGAACGUGUAAAUUUUGGAUAAUUCGAUUAGAUUAAUCUUCUAUACACUGACAAUGUAUAUAUUUUUACCAUUAAAUGCUUGACACAUAAUUCGAAUUUAAAUUUGAAACCCAAAUUUUGCAUAUAUGUCAUACAUCCAACCGUGAUAGUGUAUAUACUGUCAGUGCAUAUAAAGUUUACUCAAUUUCAUUUGAUUUCAUCCCGAACUCUGUUAGAUCUAAGGACUCACACGAUUCAUGAAAUAUACGACUAAUAGUUAGAUUUGACAAAAUUGACAAUGAAAUUAAAUGAAAUGAUAAAAAUUUAUAAUUUUUGAUAAUAUAAUAGAUAAAAAUAUACUAUUAAUAGUUGAGUGGUUAAAAUUUUAGUGAAUAUCAAGCUAACUUGCUCUAAUAAAACGCUUACCUUUACCUUAAGGAAAAAAAAUCCUUCACAUUGAAAUUGAUACUCAUACUAUGUCUUAGAAAGGGGCAAGUAGCAAAACAGCGUCGGUAGAAAAACAAGGUCCGUGAAUCAUGUUUUUUUGUUUCUUUGAAUAAAUAAAGAUGUAUUAAAGUAAUAGUCAAGUCUACAUUGAAAGUUAAAGCACAUCAAUAGGUGGGGUGAUAACAUUUAAGUCUUGCAAAAGUACGGGAAAGAAAAAAUUAAGACAUAAUUCAAAAAAAGUGAGGUACAGUCAUCGGUGAAUCAUGUUUUUGCCUUCCUUCACAUCAUGAUGUGACUCUAUUAGGAGACGUAGUGGAGUGCAGUGCCCCACGGGUCAAGGUGCAUCUUUCCUGGCUGCGACCCUUCAUAGAUGCUGCACUUUGUUUGUAUUAGAAGAAAAUCGAACGAAACCAAAUAAUGUUUAUUGCAGACCAUAUACAUUUUUUUAUUAUUGGUAGACUUGACUGAAUGGCAUGGAUCCCAGGGUCAAGUUUUUAGGCUGACAACCCCAUUUUGAAAUUGGCUAAAGCCUUUAUUUAUGUUAGGAGACCUGUAGGCUGCAACUGGGCAAAAUACACUGAGCAUCUCCACUUUGAAAUCCAUGGUCGGACUCUGUCAAAUCCGUGAACACUGAACCAUUCAGCUUUGGUUCAGUGGACACCACAGAGAGAUUAAAUGUUAUUUGAAAAGAAAAUUUUUAUCAAAAAAUUUUUUAUAUUUUUUGUAAAUAUAUUUAUAUUUUAUAUAUAUUAAAUUAUUAUAAUAUAUUUUCUAUAAAAAUUUUAAAAAAUUACAAUUUAAAUACAACCUAAGUGCCUCUUUAAAUUAUAGAUAGGAGGUUUGAAUCACAUAUGUAGAAAAAAAUUCAAAGGAAGUUUCAAAACACUUCUUUGAUCUAGUUAGAUCUGCAUACAUACUAACCUCUUGUACAGUCUUUUUAGGUUUUCUCUCCCUGUAAAAUAGGAUAAAUUAUGUUAUAAAAUUGUUAUAGUUGUCGUGACCAAAAAAAAAAAAUCUGUGAACGCUGUUUUUGAUGGUGCCAAGCUCGCAAGUAAAAGCACGCAGAGAAUUUGGUAGGAUGUUAUAGCUAAACUAGGGCUGCAAACGAAUCGAGCCGCUCGCGAGCGGUUCGAGUCAAGCUCGAGUCGAGUUCGAGCCGGCUCGAGUCAAACUCGAGUUCAGAAUAUUAACCUCGUUAGCUUGCGAGCCGGCUCGCUAGUUUGAGUAUAUAUAUAUAUUUUUUUUUAUUUAAUAAUAAAAAUACGUAUAUUAUAUAUAUAUUUUUUUUAUUUUUUAUUUUCACAGUAAAAUUACGUAUAUAUCCUUAAUAUUUUAUUAUUUAUUAAAAAAAUAUUAUUUUAUUUAUUUUUUUAAAAAUAAAAUAAUUAUUUUUAUUUUUUUCGAGCUCGACUCGACUUGAUUCAAGUCGAUCUCGAGUUUGAAAAUUACCGACUCGUCGAGCUCGAGCUUGGUAAAAUUCAGUCGAGACUCGGCUCGAUUAGCUCAAAGUUCGACUCGAUUCGGCUCGUUUGCAGCCCUAAGCUAAACUCUUUGCCACUGUUUUGUUACAGAGAAAAACGAAGCAGAGGAAAAGAAAGCAGGAAACGGUUAGGUGUGGUUUGAAGUUUAAAGCUGGUUUGAAGUUUAAAGCUGAUAAGCACAAAAAAAAAAAAAAAAAGGCAUAAUGCCGAUGACAAGAACGAUUCAUGGCGGCCCUGGCGGCCCCUUCCGAAACUGUCAUGGGAUACAAAAAUUCUUAUUUGACAACCAAACAACUAAUUGGGCACCACCAAAAAAUUUUAAGUCUUAAUGGAUGAAAAAUCAAGGGUUUAAACCUUAUCUUUUAUUACUUGCCACAUUAUGUGAUUUUCUGUAGGCUCAGUUGAACCUUCCACUACAUUAGGAGUAGGAGUAGGAGUAGAGUAAAUAAGUCAAUAAUGACAAAAAAAAAAAAUGACAACCAAACUGGCAUGGGGUACAAAAAUUCUUUACCAAUAUUUCACAACCACCCCUUUACAAUAAUUUUAAUUUUGAUUAGGACAGGUAUUCCAUCUUUAUCCAAUGAAAUAUGUUUGAAAAUAUUAAUCAUUAAAGAAUAUAAAAAUCUAUAUAUAAUCCUUUCAUGAUUUAGAUUAAAGUGUCAUCUUUAGUAUUUUCGUUAAUAAAAAGUCAAAGUCAAAUUAAUAAAUUAAUAAAUUCAUCCUUGCAUUAUUUUUUCCUUUUUUCUUUUUCCCUUUUCUAUCUAUCUGUAUAUGUCUCUUUCUCUCUCUCUUUAAAGAAAAGAAAUGAUUUUGAAAACCUAUAUUUUGACCUAUAAAAUCUUAAUUUUUUUUAAAUACUCCUACAAAAGAGAUGGAAGAGAAAUAAAAAAUAAAUAAAGAACAAGCAAAAAAGAUGAAAGGGAAAUACAAAAUAAAUAAAUAAUAAACAAAAAAUAUCAAAUCUUUUUUUACUACAAAUAUCAUUAUAGUUUUUUAAAGCAAAUCUUUAAUGGUAUUUUCAACUUCUAAUUUAUCUAUUUUUUAUUUCAAUUUCCUUUUUUAUGUUUGAAGGAAAAAAAAGAAGUAAAAGGAAAAAUUUAUCAAUUUAUCAGUUUAAUUUUAACUUUUUACUAUUAAUAAUUAGUUUUAACGAAAAAAUUAACGGUGACACGUUGAGCUAAACUAUAGCUCAAAACUGUGAUUGUAAUCAUAAUUAAAUCCUUUUAGUGUGUGUUUACAGCUCAAAAGUAUGUUUUAAAGAAUCACUUUUGAAAGUGCUUCUAUCAGUUUAACAAAAGCAUCAUAAUUCCAAACACGCUAUCUAUUUUUUUAUAGUAUAACUUUUGAAAGUUAAACAAGGACCUUUGUGCGAGAAACAGGUGGUGCCUUACAUUAGGGAUAAUUUCAGAAACCUUCCCUGAGGCUUUUAACAAUUUCAUUCACCUCUUCUAAAAUUUGAAAAAUUAUACCUAUCUUCCUUGAUUUGAUAGUUUUAGUAAUAAAACCUUAAAAUAAUAUUGACUUGGUCAAAAUUUUAAAUGAAUACCCAAAAAUACCCUUGUGUAAUGAGUUUUCAUUUAUUUUCAAUAUAAUUAUAAGAUUAUAAAAUAUAAUUAUAAGGAAAAUGUGCCAAAUUUUGCUUGUUUACACUUACUAUUUAAUAAACAACUAUAAUAAUAAUUUUACUACUAUGAUAGGAUACUUUUGACGGUAUUUUAUUAUGGAUUUAGAUUUAUAAGAUAGAAAAUAAAAUAUUGAAAUAAUUCAUUUAGAGUUUAUGAAUUUUUCAAGUAGUAAGAUUAUCAGAAUUUAGUAGUGGUUUUCGAUAAUUUCUUUUUGAUUUAUUGUUAAUUUUAAUACCAAAAAAUAGAAAACAAAAUUCAGCAAAAACAUUGGAUUAUAUAGAAGUUAAUUCAUAAAAGAAAUUAUUAGUUCGACAUUUGGUUACAAUAAAAACUAGAAGUAAUAGUGGUAACUCUACAAUUUUAUUAGCAAAAAAUUAAAAAAAAAGGAAUAAGAAGGGAAGACAGUGAAAAAAUAAUUUUAAAAGUCAUUCUAAAUAUAAACAUACCAAACAAGAGAAUUUUAUUAAAAUAUUUAAGAAUAGUAUUUUUAAAUAAUAAGGGAGGUAUAUAUAUAUUUAAAAUCUUGAGAGAACUAAAUGAAAUUGUCAAAAACCUCAAGGAAGGUUUCUGAAAUUAUCCCUUAAAUUAUUGUGCGACUCACACUAAACACCCGCUCAUUUUCCGAGGGUAUCGAUGACAGCGUAGGUGCCUUAAAUUAUUGUGCGAGAAACAGAAGAAAAAGACAACGAUCUGAGAAUCAAUCUGUGUUUAGAAAAGCAUCUUUACUUGACAGAAAGUCCAAAAAUUAAGAAGUAAACACAAAAUUGAUACCAAGCUUGCAAUUAUAAAGUUUGGAACAGGUGAGGAGGUAGCUCUACAUUUCCUCUGUCCUCUCUUUUGGAAAUGGAGAUAACUUUUCCUGCUCUUCUUGUGAGCGUCCUCUGCUUUUUUGUUCUAUGGAAGUUGACUGGGCUAUUCAUCAAAAGUUCCGAGAGGACUGAUAGUCCCAGAAAACUCCCAGGGCCAUGGAAGCUACCUCUGAUUGGAAGUAUGCACCAUCUAGCUGGUUCUUUGCCACACCAUGCUCUAAGAGACUUGGCUGAAAAAUUUGGACCCAUCAUGCAUCUGCAGAUGGGAGAAAUAUCUACAGUGGUCAUAUCAGCACCACAGGAAGCAAAAGAAGUGCUGAAAGUUCAUGACAUUAUCUUUGCAGACCGACCAGAAUUUCUAGCUUCUAAGAUACUUGGUUACGAUAACUUGGAUAUCGCCUUUUCUCCUUACGGUGAUUACUGGAAACAGAUGCGAAAAAUCUGUCUCCUAGAACUCCUCAGUCCCAAGAGCGUGCGGUCUUUUGGCACUCUCCGGGAGGAUGAGGCCUCGAAGGUGAUUAGAUCCAUCAAGUCUUCAAACUCACCAGUCAAUAUUACUGACAAAGCCUUCACUUUUACGAAUGACAUAGUCUGCAGAGCAGCUUUUGGAAAGAGCUUCGCGCACCAAGAUCGUCUGAUAACGCUGAUAAAUGGGGCAAUUUCAGCAAGCGGAGGUUUUGAUAUAGCUGAUUUGUUUCCUUCGCUAAAAUUCCUUCAUUCCCUGAGUGGUUUGAAGCCAAAACUGAUAAAGCUGCAUAACGAGAUUGACCAGAUGCUUGAAACCAUAAUCAGUGAGCGCAAACAGAAGCGAGCAAAUCAAUCAACCCCCGUUGGUUCUCAAUUAGAAGUGGAAGAUUUAGUUGAUGUCCUAUUAAGACUCAAGGAAAGUGGUGACUUCAAUAUUCCUAUUUCAACAGACAGCGUCAAAGCUGUUAUUUGGGUAAGUAUAUAACAUAUCACAGACACCUCAAGUAAAUUUCCCGUUUCAUCAUAUUUUUAAGUAACCAUUUUCUCUCGUACUGUAAUACAGGACAUUUUUGCGGCUGGGACUGAAACUUCUGCAGCCACAAUAGACUACGCAAUGGCAGAGCUGAUUAGAAACCCAGGUGCGAUGGAAAAGGUGCAAGCUGAGCUGAGACAGGUCCUCAAGGGGAAGGAAACAGUACAAGAGACAGAAUUGAAGGAAUUGAAUUACCUAAAAGCAGUGAUCAAAGAGACUCUGAGGCUGCACCCUCCUCUUCCACUGAUACUUCCAAGAGAAGGCAGGGAGCCAUGUAAGAUUGGUGGUUACGAUAUUCCCGUCAAAACUAAAGUCAUGAUAAAUGCCUGGGCAAUUCAUCGGCAUCCUGAAGUUUGGCCUAACCCCGAAAAGUUUAAACCAGAGAGAUUUCUUGACAGUGGCAGUGACUCAAUAGGGAUGAAUUUCGAGUAUAUCCCAUUUGGCGGCGGAAGAAGGAUUUGCCCAGGAGUAUCAUUUGGUUCGGCAGGUGUUGAGCUUCUUCUUGCUAAGCUGCUCUACCAUUUUGACUGGUCACUUCCCAAUGGAACUGUAAGUCCUGAAACGCCAGACAUGACCGAGGUCUUUGGUGCAACUGCAAGAAGAAAGAGCAGCUUGAUUUUAGUUGCAACUUAUCAUGAUCCAUUUGCAUAGUUCGAAUUCUGGUGUGCACUACUGGACACCAAAGAAGAAGAGACACUGUUUUGCUGGCCGGGUUGGAUUCUGCAUUAGCAAAAUAAACUCCACACGGAAUCCUGUAACCGCGGAAUAUUCUAUGGAAGUUGCUCCAUAUUUUGUUUAUGUAAUAAACGUUUAACGUUCGUGAAUUUACAUAUUGCCUUUCGAUGACGAAUCCAGAUAGUUUUAAAUGGUCUUUAAUCAGCGUAUAUUUGGUUAUUUUUAUGGAUUAUUCCGUGUGAAUCAGUUAUUUUUUGGGGCGUUUUUCAAGUAUUUUAGAUGAAAAACAGAGUUAAAAACUUGUAUGUGGAUGUAUUUGAGUGUUUUUGAGAUAUAUUUUAAAAGUUUGGAUUGCAUUUUUUGUCAUUUUUCAUGAAAAAAUUACUAUAGUGAUUUGGUGUAUGUGAGUGAAAAAGAUAAUAGUAAAAUGUGAUUACGAAUUACAGAAAAUGGCAAUCCAAACAGAAUCAUUACUCAUCACCGCCAUCCACAAUCGCCACUAUCCCUUUCCUCUUCUUCCCUCCUUUCUUCUCUCUCUCCCCCUCUUUUCUUCUCCCUCUUCCUUCCUUACCCUUCUUCCUCCUCGUCCCUCCUCCCCUCUUCUCCCUUCCCUUUCCCCCAUGGGCACCCUGCCUCCUCCUCUCUCCCGCCAUGACCGAUCGCAACCAGAGGGCGGCGACCAAAUUCAGAUCUGGUUGUGCAAGCAGCAAUGAUUUCCUAUCUGGGCGUGCAUGUAUUUGAGACUAGGUUUCGCAAUUUUUGGCUUUAAUUGGUUUUUUUUUCGUGUUAUUUUUGGGGUCGAGUCUUGGUAAUCUUUUGUGCAAAGCCUGUGAAGUUUGGAGCAAAAAUUGAAGAGGAGUUGGUGGAGCUAUCGCUGCUCAAGGCCAAUUACGGCAUUUUGAGUGGAUGUUUCAGAAAGAAAAAAGCUGAUUCGAGAUCAAUGCAAAAAAUAAAUCAGACCUUGUAAUAUAAUCCAAAUGUUGUUAGUGGGAAAGGGUGGCUGCGAUGGUCAAUGGCUGUCAGAUAAAAAUUGUGAUGCAGCGCACGUGAGAUUAAAAGGUGUAUUAAAAGUGUGUGUUUGCAACGCAAGUAAAUAAUUUUUGGUCAAAUUAUAGUAAAAUUCAAGAAAUCAUUCAUAAGGCUUAGAAAAGAAAAGGAAAGGAAAAUAUAAGAAAUGAAAUCCCACCCCCUGGAGGGGUUCUCUCAAGCGCCGAGGGCUCUAAAGAAGAAAAAUUUUGAGGUUGAUGGGUGGCGGCGGUGGAUGGUUGUGUGGUGGAAUUUUUGUUUUCUAUACGUAAGGUUUUUCUGUAUGAAUUGAUGUUUUUAGAAUUAUUUUUAUUUAUGUAUUAUUGGACCAUUGUAUUUGACAUAUUAAUUUUUGAAAAAUAGUGAAAUCAAAACAGAGCCAAUAACCUAUAUUCGAUUGAGACCUGUAGCCCCAGGCGACAAAUUCAAGUAGGGGUGGCAAUGGAACGGAUUUGAGGUGGGGGAUCCUUUUCCCGCCCCCCGUCCCUCGCUUCGUUGUCAAAUAACUCCCCCCAUCCCCCACCCCUUACCCGUAUCCCGCCUCCGUCCCGUUUCCCCUGUGAGGGAAGAAAUUAACUUAUCAUAAAUAUUCACUUACAAUAAUAUAAUCGUAAUCAACAUUAAAAAAGAUUAAAAAGUUGUCAAGAUGGAAAUAAAGUACAACAAGUCAAGUUACAUUUUCAUUUUCAAUAAACUCAGUCAAGUUAAUUUCUCAAAUUCAACAAACUAAAAACACUCAACAAUAAGUCCAGUUUUUCUCUUCAUUAACAUAACUCAACAAUUUUAGAACAUUUGCUCUUCAUCAAUCUCGAGAUGUGAUAACUCACUUGAUAAAAGCAACCCUAACAUUUGAUGCUAAAAUAAAAGAAGAAACUUGUCACCAGACUAUAGUGUAUAACAAACAAUUGGAGAAAAUCAAUUUAGAUGAAUCAAAUUUCUUUAAUACCUAUUCAGUAACAUAAUCAAUAUCAUCUUCUUCAUCAAACAAUAUAUUACAUGAUAUCCCUUCCGAAGUAGAGCAAGUAGCUACACCAAAAUUAAAAAGAAAUAGCCAUAGAUUUAUUAAAUAAAGAAAUGCAAAAAAAAAAUUGUAUAAAUUUAAAAGUAAAAGUUAAUUCUUUUGUAUACCAUUUAUUUCAUUCUAGAGCCCAGUUUGAGUACACGUCAAUGCUUCCAAGGUAUGGGGUGAAGUUUACAUCGAUGAGGACUAAUUAUUCUUCCACAAGUACUAAAUGCAGAUUCAGAUGCCACACUUGAGACGGGUACAACUAGAAUAUCCUUAGCCAUUUUUUGUAAAGUGGGGUAUUUAACGCCAUGUGUUUUCCACCAACCAAAUAUGUCAAAAGUCGGAACUCUUUGUAACACAUUUUCCUCAAGAUAAAAAUCGAAUUCCGACUUAGAAGUAACAUCACUAGAGUUAGAAGCCACAAACUUAUGAAUCAACAAAAGGAUCUGUUUCAACUUCAUUCUUAUCAUGACUCCCACUAACAUGCUCACUAUGUGAAGCCAUGGAUUCACUAUCAACUUUAUUUCCGCCUAAACUAGAUGGAUAUUGAUAAUCAUGCAACAAAGAAUAACAAUUUUGACGAAUAGCUUCAAUUUUCAUGAAUGAUUCAUCACCAUAAAUGAUAGGAAAAUAAUACUCAAUCAACUUCAUUUUGUAUCUAGGAUCCAAAACUGCAGCAAUCCCAAAUAUCACAUUGCAAUGUUUUCAAUAUUUUUGGUAUUUUGCCAUCAUCUUUUCUGCCAUUACUCUAAUUAAACAAUUUGGGCUUUUCAUCUAUUGAGCCAAUGAUACCUUAAUAUCACAAACAUUUGCAAAAAAUUCAUUUGAUGUAGGAUAUUGAGUAACAAAGAACAUUUCAGCGACUUGGUAGAAUAAUCUCAGCUUCUCACAAAUGGCAUUACAAACUACCCAAUCAUCAUCAUGUGGCAAACUAGUUUAGUGUUUCUCACGCACUUUAACCUGUGGAAAUACGUCUUUAUAAAUUGCAGCUGUUUGUAACAUUAGAAAGUUGAAUUCCAACUGGUUUUACAAUUCAAACACAACUUUUUAGUAGAAGCAAUACGAAAUUGGCGAGCCGCUUCUUCAAAAUUUUCAAUUCUAGCAGCAGAAGUAGUCCAAUACACCACACUAUCAUGAAUUCUUUCAAUAGCAGCCGCUAUUAUUUCUAAACCAUGUUUGACAAUCAAAUUUAAGAUAUGGGUAGCACAAUGCAUUUGAAGCACUAGACCAUCUAUCAACAAAUCACUCACAUUCAACUUUUCCAACAAACAAUUAAUCAUAUCAUCAUUGGUGGAACAGUUAUCUAAGAUAAUCGUAGAUAUCUUACGAUCAAUAUUCCAAUCCAUCAAUGAACUAAGAAGCAUAUCACUUAACACUUGUUUGGUAUGUGGAACAGGAACAUAGAUAAACCUAAAUACAAGAAAAAAAAUAAGUUGCUCAUGUAUAACAAACAAUAAACAUAAUUCAAGUUUUUAACUUUUGAAAACAUACUUCAAAACUUGACUUUGUAAGAUCCAAGAAUCAUCAAUAUAAUGUGCAGUGAUAGCCAUGAAGCCUGUCUUUGUGUUGUUGGAAGUCCAUAUAUUGGUCGUAAUUGCCAUCUUACUUCCAAGCUACUCCAAGAUAUUACAAUUCUUCAAUCUUUGCAAUUCAUAGAUCUUCAAAAUAUCCCCUUUAAUUGUAUUUCUUGAAACAAGUUUAAAACGUGGCUGCAAACUCUUAAUAAAUUUUCGAAAGGCUAUAUGAUCUACAAUAGAUAAUGGAUACUCAGCAAUACAAUUGCAGAUGCAAGCUCAUGGCGUAACUGUUGUUGAUCGAACACAUAAUUGUGCAAUUAUUGUUUGCCAUCAUUCUUUUUACUACCACUUCGGAGUAACAUUUGCCUAAUAUCUUGUUUAGACUUUUUGGCUUGUUUAGACUUUUUAGCACACCUUUUGUAAUGAUCAUGCAAACUACUCAUCCCAUGAGUGUUACCUGUCUUGUAUUUUUUUUUUACAAUAUUUGCACACACCAUAAAAAAUGCCAUCUUCACCUUUCUCUCUAUCAAAAUGUGCCCAAAUUUUUAAUUUUAAUUUUCUUUUUCCUCCAAUUUCAUAUUCAUAUUCAUCUUCUUCUACUGCAUCUGUCAAGUCAAUUGAUUCAACGUUCAUUGAUUGUGGAAUUGGUGAAUUAUCCCCUUAUUUAGAUGCAAUUAGAUUUUUGGAUUGAUUCAUUGUUAUAAGAAUUCUACAAAGCCAAGAAAGCAAAUAGCGCAAUAAAUGGACUACUCACAUUGAUGAAUUUUAAAAUAAAUCAUAUAAUACAACAAAUUUGGAUAAAAAUUUGUUCUUUUUAGUACGUAUAAUUGCAUAACUAGCAUAGAAAAAUUCAAUGAAGCAAAUUCAAGCAAUUAGUUAAAGACUAAUGUAAAAUCGCCAUCUAGUGACUCGGCUUACCUGUUCAUAUACCAAGAGAAUCAUCAGGAGGAAAUCAAUGACAUAUGGAAGAAGGCUCAAGAUUUAAAGCCUUGAUAUAUUUCCACUGCACACCCACUUAUAAUCUCACAUGUCAAUCAUAGAUACCACAAGUGUAUCACUUAUGAUAGAAAAUACUGUUUCGGGAUCUCUACCUUCUCUAAUACCCUCUUUAGUUGUCAAAUCAUUUAUAGGUUUAAACUAUUAGAACAAUAUCAAUUCAGAAGAAAACACUAACUUUACUUUCCAAUUUGAAUUGAGCAUUUCACACAUGCAUGAUCAUGUGAGUAUAUUUUCUUCAACUACUCUACUAAAUCAUGUGGACUGCAUGUAUAUAAUGAAGAGAACCUCAUACACUUAUUUAGACACAUACAAAUCAAAAUGAAAACUCCGAGGUUACCAGAUUGGAACCAGAUAUUAGAAUUUCAAGAGAAGACUUUUGUGCAGAUACCACUGGCUUAGCAAGAAAACUCAGUGGAGAUACUCUCCAUACAUACUCCAGUCUUUACCUAAACAUAACCACUGUUUGCAGCAGAAAAACGCACAUGCCAAUGGAUCAAUACUAGAAGUUGUGAAACAAUUGGAACAAAAAUAAGUAAUUAGUAGUUAACUCAUCACUUUCUUGCUGUUUUACAAACUUCAUUCUUUUAAAAAGCAACAAUAUCCAAAUCUCACUUUCAAAGUGCAUAUAUUAGUGAAAACCAAAUCUGUAGUGGCUUUUAUUGGAAGGUCAGUAUCUGGAAAAAGAAGGUGAAAUAGCCUCUUAUUGUUGCCUCUGUUCUUCCAUUUGUGAAUUCUCUAACCAUGGAUUCUAUACCAACUUUAGGAAGAUAGGAAGAGGCAUUGUAAGUAAAAUAGCAACUUUGGAAAAAUUAGAAUGAACCCAAUGGAGAUUAGCAGCAGAUGAAUAGUAGGGAGCCAAUUUGUGGACUGUAAGAAUAGAAUGGCCAAAAUUCGAGCUGCAGGUUGGGCUCGGGUGAGGAGAAAAGAAAAAAAAUGGAAAAACAAAAACUAAAGAGAAAGUUAAAGUGUGAAGGAAGGGAACCGAUAGAAAUAAAAAAAGGAUUAGGAGCAAAAAAGGUUGGAAUUGGAUAGCUUAGUUUUGGGGGAGGGACGUUGGAAACAAUAGUUCAAGAAAUUUCUUUCAGUUGUUGUGGCGGUGCAAUCGUUGGCACCUGACCAGCGUUGUAAGUAAGGGUGCAACUUUGAAAAAUUUAGGAUUGUAUUAUAUAUAUAUAUAUUUCAUUGUAUGCGGGGGACGGGGCUAAGGAUGGGACGGGUGUAUGCUGCCCCACCCCUCUCCCCGUUUUAAGGCGGGGCCAAAUUUUUUCCCCUCACCCCUGCCCCGCCCCAUUUCUACCCUCGCGGGCACCCGCCCCCAUUGUCUUCCUUAAAUACAAGCGUUAGAUCAUUACUGAGUCUAACACAGGAACCGUCUAAAUUUGAGAUUAGGAUGGUGAUGUAUUUCAAAAUUUUGUUUUAUGAAAACUUCAAAACAACUACUUUUUUCUGAUGCAUGCACAUUUAAAUUAAAAUACUCUAUGCAUAUUUUCCAUUUCCAUAAACAACCACCCAAUCAGACCUAUUUACGGACUGAAAAUCUUACACUAUCCCUACAUGCCCACUGAGGGUGCAAAGGAACCUAAUUAAGCUGAAUUCUUUAGAGUUGAAACUUGUUUAUUCCAACAUGUUUUUAAUCUUGAGAAAGUUUGGCUUGGAUUUGUCGAGCCAAAACUAAAUGAUCUUUUAUCGAGUCGAAAUGGAAUUGACUUCGAGUAGCUUGAAUCGAAACCAAUUUACAUUAUGUUGAAUCCCAGUUCGCUAUGCUUUCAAAAGGAACUCUAUAGAUCACAAUCCUUAGGCCUCUAGGAAACAUCAGUGUUUGAUUUUUAAGUUAAACCUUCUCAUAGCCAAACUUUUUUGAAUCAAUUAGUGAAACUUGAAGUACCAAUGGUGUGAGAACCCGAAAAGUUUCUAAUUUUCUAGUCAUUAUUUUAAUUCUUUGCACAUAUUUUCUAUAUUUUUAUUUAUUAGACUGAUUUCUUAGAUAUUUUUAUAGGUGAGUAUAGGUUUUAAAUCAUUUUUCUAGUACAAGUUAGUUUAGGUGACAUUAGUGGUACUUAUGAGACGUGGGAUCCGCUAGUGCGUAAAGUGCGAUAAAUUUUGAUGAUUAGAUGGAGUUUUGUGUAAAGGAAUAUUACUAUAUACAGUGCUAGGAGAUAAUUGGAGGUUGGCUAGAUUAAUUAGUGUUGGGAGACAAGAGGAUGAGAUUAAACAUUAAAGGUGCUAGGUGUCGCAACAUGAUUGGAUGUUAGACUUUGACCACUUUCUUCCAACUUUACUAAAUCUCAAAUUUGACCUAAAAAUCAUCUUCAUUUUCUUCACCUUGGCCGACCAUUGAGGAGAGAAAAAGAGAGGAAAACUCCAUCUUGUUUCUUCAAAUCCAAGCCCAAAUCUUGAGUUCCAACCAUUAACAUCUCAAAUCACUCCGUAAAAACUCCUUGCUAGGAAGGAUUAAAGAGGUUGGUGGAGUUGUUUUGGAAAGGGAAGCACUAAGCUACCAAUUUUUCUUGGGGUUUUAAGGUAAUCUUGUCAAGAACUUUCUCUUUACUUAAAUUAAUAGUUCAUUAGUGGAUUAGAGUUGUUAAAUAGGUAGUUUUAUGAGAAAGUUCAUGUUUUAAGGUAGAGUUAUGGUAACUUUCAGAUUUUUGGUGGAAUUUCUGUCCUUAUUUAAUGCUUAAGGAUAUGCCAUGGAUUGAUAGCUUUGUUGUGUGUGAAAUGAACCUUGUAUAUGCUAGAUGUGAUUUCCUAGGGAAAAUUUUAGCUUGUGUAGCUAAAUUUUAGUUUAGGGUUUCGGAAUUUGGGGCUUUUUUAUGGUUGGCUUUUGAGCUUUUAAUUGGUUAAGAUUGAAGGGUAUUGUGACCCUAAUUAGGUGUGGUAUAAAACUUAUAUGGUGUGUGUGAAAUUGUGGGUGAUUUGAGUUGAGGUUGGGGUUUGAUUGAAAGGUGGAAAAGUAAAGAUAAUCUAAAGGAAAUGUUGUCCAAAUUUUAAGUCCAUGUGAUUCCUUUGAGUUGGGAUGAUUGUGAGUAGAGAUGAAAAGUGUUGGGGUUGUUCAUACCGUUGGCACCAAUUGUCCCUUAUUUUCACUCCCGAGUUCUAUUUGACCUUGCAUUUAUAGUUUAUUGAAUGAGUAAUUGACUCGUAAUCGAGUCUCAAUUAUUUUCCUGAUUGUUCGUAGGACGUUCCAGUGACUCAAGGCGUAUCUCAGGAAGAAACAUUUAAAGUUCACUUUCUUUGAAUUGGUGAGUGUACCACUCACAUGAUUGUUAUUUCAUGGCUUUAUUCGUACUUGAAAUAUGUGACUGGAAUGCUUGUGAUUACUGUUAUGCUAGAUGAGACGAGGGUGUACUUCAUCACUCUCGUUCUCUAUUGCUUAUUGGACUGUUUACUGUAUCAUUUGAAAAUUUUCUUGGUUGUACUUGAACUGGUGUCGUUUCGACGUGUAUCCAACGACAUUUACUGUUAAAUCUGAGCUCAACCUCAUAGGUAGUCAUUUGAAUAGGGUCGGCAAGGCUUGGUCGAGGAAAAUUGACAAGCCAUGGGGACUGUUCCUGGGAAUCUUUGGGUAUUGAGACUCUUGAUUCCGGUAUACUCGAGUAUUACCAUCUCUGUUUUGUUUGGUGUUCGGGCCCGGUAAGGGGUAUGUGUGGUGGACGAAAAUCGGAGUAAAGUGGAGUCUACGGUCAUGGUCACUUUUUAAGCGUUGACGGAGAGUCAACGAAGUGGGAUCAAGUACGGCAAAAAAGGAAAAGGGCUCUUGAGAGCCGUCCGUAUCCUUUUACUCCCUGUUGAUGUAUGGUGUUCGUUUCUACUCACUUGAUGAAUGUAUUUGGAUUGAGUAUCAUUGUAUUUUUGUGAUUCUUGAAUACUUGAGUGAUGGUACCUUAUUGGGCGAAAACUCACUCUGUUAACUUUGUUUUCCUUACAUGGUAUAAUCUUUUGGAAAUAUGGUGUUUUGAAGAAUGAGUUGAGCUAGUAUAGAUAUUCUUUUGUAUAGCUCCUCGGUAGUUGAAAAAUCCUAAAUGUAUCUUAAUUCAAUGAUCCCUUUUGAUUUGUAAAUUUAUAAACGUGUGUAUAUAAAAGUGAAUAAUCAUGUUCAUGUGUUAUAUUUGAUUUGGAAAUGUUCAUUCUCCAGAGUUAUAUAAAGUUACUUGUACUCGUUUGGGAUUUGGACAAGUUCGGAAUUUGAACGAAUAAGGAAAAAAAAUUCUGGCAGGAAUUUCUGCAGGAGAAUCCGGCCGCAAAUCUAGCCAGUUCUUGGCCGGAUAGCUGGCCGGAUUGACAGGGGAUUUUGAAUCCGUUUGGAUUCAGCUACUGCCUCCAAUCCGGCCAGGAAUCGGGCUGGAUUGUGACAUGGCAAUCACUGUUCACUUUCAGUUUCAUUUUUUCGUUUUCGUUAUUCGCGGUCGUCGAAUCGUUUAAGCGCUGUAAUAUAUUUCAAAACGUUUUAGCUUGCGUAUGUCUGUCUUAGUAGUCCUGGCGAGAGUUGGGCAGGCAGUCCGCUAACCCCUUUGAUACGCCUUAGGGGAAGGUGGGGUUGUUACAGUUGGUAUCAGAGCCUAGGUUAGAAAUGACUUGGGCGAGUUAGAAUUUUGUUUCUUAGGACUUGUGGGGAUUGUAUUAGGGCGCCGUUAAGUGUGAUUAACUUGUCUAAGAUGUGAACCUUUGCUAUCCUUGUAGGUUAUGGCUGGAGCUAAUAAGGGGGGCGGAGGUGAGCCGCCUUGGAGACGCUUUCGCGUCAUUGAUUACCAAGAGAGGGUUGGAGGUCCGAUCCGGCUUUGGUAUACUACUAGUAGGACUCGACGUUGUAGCCAUUGUCAGAACUAUUCUUAUAUCGACCAUGUGGUCGUGGCGGUACUAGACGAAAGAAGGAGGCUUAGACGUGCCGCCGCCAGGAAUCACACUGAGAUGCUUAAAUUGAGGGGCAUCAUGAGGAUGCAAGCGGAUCGGAUUGGGGAGUUCCAGGGGAACAUAGCCAUGGAGCAAGAAUGAACGAAUGCUCUUAGAGAGCAGUUACAAGUAGUCAACGACCGUCUUACGAACGUGGUCAGGGAGGUUCGAGACCGGUCUGGGGGCAUCAUUAACGAGUGCGAGGCGCUAAUCCAGGGAGUGGUUGGCGCGAACGUACAAGUGGAGGCUCCAUGUAACGGAGCACCUGGAGAAGGGGACACGCCUAGUUCUAGUGAUGGGGGAGAGUCUGUGGGCUCAGUAGGGAACUAGGUUAGAGCUCCUUCGAGCUGCGUUUUGAUUCCAUGGGAGGAGUAGUUAAGGGGAAAAACUCUUAGCUAGCUGCUUUUGUAUUUUUGGUCUAGCUUGUAAAUAGUACUUGUGAUGACCCCAUCAUCUCAUGGAAUUUUCUUUGUUUGUAUUUGACUGACUGUUAUUGUGUGACUUGUUUGAUACGGUUGUGUUAUAUGUAUAUAUGUUUUUGAUUCAUGAGUAUCUUUUGUUCCUCGUUUAUGCCUACAUUUAUUUUUAAUGUUAUAUUCAUGCUUCGACCCUAGAUUGGUUAAAUCCAAUGGAGGGUACCCGAAGUGGACGAGGUCGUGGACGUUGAAUUUGGUAACCCCUGAAUGAAGAGGGUAAUCGGGAACCAAUGUCUGAACCAAAUCCGGAACUAGGGGUUGAUCCUAAUGCUCAUGUAGCAGCGGCUAUCCAACGUAUGACCGAUCUCUUGGCCCAUGUGGUAGAACGUUAGGGCCAAAACCCUAUGCCUCAGCCUGGAAACCCUAGUAACCAUGUGAAGAGCGAGGAUAGAGCUCUUGAAAGAUUUCAGAAGUUCUCCCCACAAAAAUUCCUUGGAGGGCCAGAUCCAGAUGUGGCCGAGAGGUGGUUGGAGAAGAUGGUGGACAUAUUCGCUGCUUUGCACUAUACGGAGGAGAGACAGGUCACUUUUGCUAUCUUUCAGUUGGAAAUGGUAGCCCGUUCUUAGUGGAAUGUAAUAAGACAAAAGUGGGAAAAAGAACAGACGCCGAGGACGUGGGUGAACUUCAUGAAGGAAUUCAACGCCAAAUUUUUCCCUCCUCUAAUUCAAGAAAGGAUGGUAGAUGAGUUUAUUCGAUUUCGCCAGGGAACUCAAACCGUAGCCGAGUACGAGAGCCAAUUUACUCAGUUAUUCAAGUUUGCGCCUGAACUAAUUAUGACCGAACAAAGACAAAUCAGGCGUUUUGUCCCAGGAUUAAAUGUUGAGAUUCAGAAGAACCUAACUGUAGCCCAAAUCAAUGCCUUUAGUGAGGCAGUAGAGAAGGCCCAACGAGUUGAAAGCGCCAGGCUACAAGUGAGAAACUUUCAAGCGAAGAAGCGAGAAUUUCCUGGAAGUAACUCGCUCCAGGGGGAUAAGAGUACCCCUCCCAAGUUUGGAAGGGGAACUGGAGGUGGAAGGCUGCCGGGAAUGUCGAGAGGGGCCCCGUCGAGAGGUGGCCAAGUUGGGCGAGGCCAAAGAGGAGGUUCCCAGGGAGGCUCGGCUUCUACACCUCGCGAUCCUUGCGGGUAUUGUGAAAAGCCGAACCACACAGAGGACAAUUGCUGGAGGAAGGAAAGAAAAUGUUUGCACUGCGGGAGUGCAGACCACCAAAUUCCUAUUUGUCCGGUUCUGCCACGAGAAGGAAGUGAGAGCCAGCAAUCGACGAGGACCAAUUCUGGCCAGGCUAAAGUGGAAGGGGCUAAACCAAAGGUAUUGGCUCGGGUGUACUCUCUAGAGUCACAACAGGUCCCUGAUUCUUCUGAGGUCGUAGAAGGUACGAUCCCUGUAUUCCACCGAUUUGCGAAAGUUUUAGUAGAUCCCGAUGCUACUCAUUCAUUUAUCAACCCUAAUUUCAUGUGCGGAAUUGAUAUAAAACCUGCUAGUUUACCUUAUGAUCUAAAAGUUAGUACCCUUACGGGGAACCACCGUUUGCUCACUAGUAUGGUUUAUAAAAAUUGUGAACUUUGGGUAGGAGAGAGAAAAUUGUUGGGGGAUCUGAUAAGCCUGUCCAUUAAGGGAUAUGAUGUGAUGCUAGGCAUGGACUGGUUGACUCGGUAUAAUGCUCAACUUGAUUGUAAAAGAAAAGUAGUGGAGUUUCAUAUUCUUGGGGAGGCUACCUUGAGGCUAAAUAUAAGGGGUAGGUUAGUCUCAUCUGCAUUGAUCUCGGGCAUUCGGGUUAGGAAAUUGCUGAGUAGAGGGGCGCAAGGGUUCUCAGCUUUUCUAAUCAAUACCCCCACCGAUAAAUUGAAGGUAAAAGAUGUACAAGUGGUGAAGGAAUAUCCGGACGUAUUUCCUGAUGAAUUAGUAACCUUACUUCCGGAGAGAGAGAUAAAAUUCAAAAUUGAUUUGUUACCGGAAAUAUCACCUAUCUCUAAGACCCCAUAUCGGAUGGCUCCUGCCGAACUUCGGGAGUUGAAAUUACAGUUACAAGACCUUUUGAAGCGAGGGUUUAUUCGAGAGAGUGGAUCCCCCUGAAGAGCCCCUGUGCUAUUUGUGAAGAAAAGAGAUGGGAGUUUACGGAUGUACAUAGAUUACCGGGGGUUAAAUAAUAUGACGGUUAAGAAUAAAUACCUACUGCCACAUAUUGAUGAAUUGUUCGACCAGUUGUAAGGAGCAGUGAUUUUUUGGAAAUUAGACCCCCGACAGGGGUACUACCAGUUGUUAAUCAGGAAGGAGGAUGUACCAAAAACUGCAUUCAAUUCUAGAUAUGGGCAUUUUGAGUUCGUAGUCAUACCCUUUGGACUGACCAAUACCCCUGCUGCUUUCAUGGAUUUGAUGCAUAGGAUUUUUAAACUUUAUUUGGAUUGAUUUGUAAUUGUAUUUAUCGACGACAUUUUGGUUUACUCAAAAAUCCGAGAGGAGCAUUAGCAGCACUUAAAAAUUGUCUUACAAACCCUAAGAGAGCACCAGUUGUACGUCAAGUUUAGUAAGUGUGAGUUUUUGUUGGAGAAAAUUUCUUUCUUAGGGCAUGUAAUUUCACAAGAGGGCAUCUCUGUCGACCCAGCGAAAGUAGAGGCCGUGACUGAUUGGAAGAGGCCAGAAAAUCCCACAGAGAUUCGAAACUUUUUAGAGUUGGCUGGGUACUAUAGGCGUUUUAUUAAGGAUUUUUUCAAGCUUGCCGGUCCUUUAACUGAUUUGACAAAGAAAAAUGAUUGUUUUGUGUGGGAUGCUAGGUGUGAAGUUAGUUUUCAAGAACUGAAAAAAAGAUUAACCAUGGCACCAAUUCUAACUUUGUUUAACGGAAAAGAUAGUUUCACUGUUUACACGGAUGCUUCGAGGGAAGGUUUGAGGUGUGUGUUGAUGCAAAACAAGAAUGUGAUAUCUUUUGCCUCUAGAAAAUUGAAACCUCACGAGCAGAACUAUCCAACCCAUGACCUGGAGCUAACUGCAGUUGUCUUUGCUCUGAAAAAGUGGAGACACUAUCUAUACGGGGUAACUUUCGAGAUUUACUCUGACCAUAAGAGCCUUAGAUACCUCUUCUCGCAAAAGGAAUUGAACAUGAGACAGCAGCAAUGGAUGAAAUUUCUGAAGGACUAUGACUGCACCAUCAACUACCAUCCGAAAAAGGCUAACGUGAUGGCCGAUGCCUUAAGUCGAAAGGCUCAAGUGACGGGGUUAAUGAUUAAGGAAUGGAACCUGUUAAAAUUGAUUAGUGAAUGGAACCCUUGUCUUGGCAAUCAAAAAGCAAUUUACUGGAGCGAAUUAAAGGGGCCCAGAAGGAAGACUCGAUGGUACGGAAGUGGGGAAAGAAGGCGAAAAAGGGAGAAACGUCUGAUUUCAAUCUUAAUUCCUAGGGAAUUUUGAAGUAUCGGAACCGAGUAGUGGUGCCCAAAGAUGAAACUUUGAAGGAGGAAAUCUUAGAGGAAGCUCAUCGGUCAAAGUAUACGAUCAAUUCGGGUAGUAGUAAGAUGUAUCAGGAUUUAAAAGGGGCCUAUUGGUGGGACAACAUGAAGAAGAAAAUUGCCCAAUACGUACGAAAUUGUCUCAUCUGUCAACAAGUUAAGGCUGAACAUCAAAAAUCAUCUGGAUUGUUACAACUCCUUGAGAUACCCGAAUGGAAGUGGAAAAAUAUUACGAUGAAUAUCGUUUCAGGUUUGCCACGAACACAACGAGAACAUGAUACUGUUUGGGUGAUCGUCGAUCGAUUAAUCAAAUCGGCCCAUUUCUUGCCAGUGAACAUGAAGUAUUUCAUGGAUAAAUUGAUUCAAUUAUAUGUGGAUGAGAUUGUGAGACUACACGGAGUCCCAGUAAGUAUAGUUUCGGAUAGAGACCCUCGUUUUGUGUCUAAGUUUAGACAAAAAUUUCAAGAAACCUUGGGGACCAAACUUAACCUUAGUACCACUUAUCACCCACAGACGAAUUGACAGUCGGAGCGAACCAUUCAAACCCUUGAAGAUAUGUUACAGACUUGCAUUUUAGAUUUUGGGGGUAGUUGGGGCCAACAUAUGACGUUAGUGGAGUUCGCAUACAACAAUAGUUACCAUUCGUCAAUUCAAAUGGCACCGUACGAAACUCUUUACGGGAAGAAGUGCCGAUCACUGAUUUAUUGGAAUGAAGUGGGAGAAAAGAGAAUCCUAGAUCCAACAACCAUUCCUUGGAUGGAGGAUGCACAAGAAAAGGUUAAGUUAAUACGUCAAAGACUUCAAACAGUUCAGAGCCGACAAAAGAGCUACGCGGACAACCGAAGGAAGGACUUGGAGUUCGAAAUUGGAGAUCGUGUCUUACUUAAGAUUACGCCAUUAUGAAGUGUCACAGCGGAAAAAAGGAAAGAAACUUCAACCGAGAUUCGUAGACACCUUCAAAAUCCUCCAAAGAAUUGGAAAGGUGGCUGAUACGAAUCCUAGGAGGUGUUCAAACCCUAUUUCUAGAUCCAACAAAGAUUCAUUGAGGGCCAAUGAAUAGAGUCAAAAACAAGAAAUUCAUGUUGCGAAUCCAAUGUUCAAAUUCCUUGAGAGAACCGAGUUCAAGUCUAUUAGUUUACUACUUUGCAUCUUUAAUUGCUCAAGUCAUUAGUUGGUUAAGUAGCUGAUUUUAUGACUUGUUCAUGAGUCGUGUGAUUAGCUCAUGUUGAGUAUAGGAUUAAUUUGGUCAUUAGUUUGUUAUUCAUGUGAUUCUUGAUUAGUUAGUAGAUCCAUUAGCUAGUUUAGGUAUUCGGCAGCCUUAAGAGAUAAGGGUCGUGGAUUUCCAAGUUGUUUGCAAAGCCUUGUUAGUUUCCUUAUUCUAAUUAGGUUAGGAGUUGAGUCUUGUAAGCCUAUAAAUAGGCAUCAAUUGUCAUUAAUAAGGGUAGACAUUUUAUGAAUUAAAAAUUGAGAGUUUUCUCUUGGCUUCUUUGAAGCGACUUUGAAUACCUUAGAGUUGGUCUCGAGGAUUCAAACCGGCUUAUCAAUUCAAGACCAUGUUGAAUUGUGGCGCCUUUUACCAUUCUAAUCAAUCUUGAGUUGUCCUUGAUUGGUUUAGAAUCCACCAAUUUUGUCCAUAGCCUGAUCAAGAUAGAUCCUUCCGCUGCCUUUUACAAUUCGUUUCUUCAAGAGUGGGAGCUUGGGGAUUCGGGUUCGCAUCAGUGGCGUAUCGAUUCGAACUACCCGCAAGCUUGUCUAGAAUUCACGAUGUCUUCCACAUCUCGAUGCUCAAGAAAUAUCAUCCUGAUCCGACUCACAUCUUACUACCAGAAGAAAUUGAAAUCGAUGAGUCACUCACUUAUGAAGAGAAACCAGUGCAGUUACUUGAUCGGAAGAUUAAGGAACUGAAAAACAAGCAAAUACUAUUGGUGAAGAUCUUAUGGAGAAACCAAGGAGUAGAAGAAGCGACUUGGGAAGUGGAGGAAGAGAUGCAAAAGAAAUACCUUGAGCUAUUUGAUAAUCAAGGUGAGAAAUUUCGAGAACGAAAUUCUUUUAAGGGGGAGAGAGUGUGAGAACCCGAAAAGUUUCUAAUUUUCUAGUCAUUAUUUUAAUUCUUUGCACAUAUUUUCUAUAUUUUUAUUUAUUAGACUGAUUUCUUAGAUAUUUUUAUAGGUGAGUAUAGGUUUUAAAUCAUUUUUCUAGUACAAAUUAGUUUAGGUGACAUUAGUGGUACUUAUGAGACGUGGGACCCGCUAAUGCGUAAAGUGCGAUAAAUUUUGAUGAUUAGAUGGAGUUUUGCGUAAAGGAAUAUUACUGUAUACAGUGUUAGGAGAUAAGUGGAGGUUAGCUAGAUUAAUUAGUGUUGGGAGACAAGAGGAUGAGAUUAAACAUUAAAGUUGCUAGGUGUCGCGACAUGAUUGGAUGUUAGACUUUGACCACUUUCUUCCAACUUUACUAAAUAUUAAAUUUGACCCAAAAAUCAUCUUCAUUUUCUUCACCUUGGCUGGCCAUUGAGGAGAGAAAAAGAGAGGAAAACUUCAUCUUGUUUCUUCAAAUCCAAGCCCAAAUCUUGAGUUCCAAUCAUUAACAUCUCAAAUCACUCCAUAAAAACUCCUUCCCAGGAAGGAUUAAAGAGGUUGGUGGAGUUGUUUUGGAAAGGGAAGCACUAAGCUACCAAUUUUUCUUGGGAUUUUAAGGCAAUCUUGUUAAGAACUUCCUCUUUACUUAAAUUAAUAGUUCAUUAGUGGAUUAGAGUUGUUAAAUAGGUAGUUUUGUGAGAAAGUUCAUGUUUUAAGGUAGAAUUAUGGUAAAUUUCAAAUUUUUGGUGGAAUUUCUGUCCUUAUUUAAUGCUUAAGGAUAUGCCAUGGAUUGAUAGCUUUGUUGUGUGUGAAAUGAACCUUGUAUAUGCUAGAUGUGAUUUCCUAGGGAAAAUUUUAGCUUGUGUAGCUAAAUUUUAGUUUAGGGUUUGGGAUUUGGGGCUUUUUUAUGGUUGGCUUUUGAGCUUUUAAUUGGUUAAGAUUGAAGGGUAUUGUGACUCUAAUUAGGUGUGGUAUAUAACUUAUAUGGUGUGUGUGAAAUUGUGGGUGAUUUGAGUUGAGGUUGGUGUUUGAUUGAAAGGUGGAAAAGUAAGGAAAAUCUAAAGGAAAUGUUGUCCAAAUUUUAAGUCCAUGUGAUUCCUUUGAGUUGGGAUGAUUGUGAGUAGAGAUGAAAAGUGUUGGGGUUGUUCAUACCAUUGGCACCAAUUGUCCCCUAUUUUCACUCCCGAGUUCUAUUUUACCUUGCAUUGAUAGUUUAUUGAAUGAGUAAUUGACUUGUAAUCUUUUUUUUUUUCGAAACGAUAGGAAUAUAUAUUACUUGAACAAAAGAUAUUUACACUCGAGCAAAGGCUCGAUACAUUCAUUGUGCAUCUAGCACAUUAGAUUGGGAUUAACCCAUUCUAUAUCUUGAUGACUGCUCAAAGCUUGAGCACUAAACUGGAAACUUGAUGUGAAACCCCGAUCUAGACAACCAAAACACCAUGGCUUAGGCAGCGGAAAUUUGACCCAACUAAUCCCUAGAAGUCACGAACAAUUUUGAUAUUAUCUCAACCCGUAACUACUCGAAUUAACGAACCAAAUUGGAGGUAGUAGAACGCCACAAUCAAGGAGAUACUCGAUUGAUAAGUUCGGGUGAAUAACUUGAGAAGAUUCUCAAGUAUUCAAAGGAAACUCUCUUGCCAAAGAGAAAGUGAAAACUCACUAAUUGUAUUUAAUAGCCAAAACUGAUCCCAAAAUAAAGAGGAAGUGGGGCUAUUUAUAGCCCUUACAAGCAUUAACCCUAAUCCAAAAAUUGACCAAACUACCCUACAUACUUAAGGAAGAUUUUGGGCCUCACUUACUAACAAAUGGGCCGUAAUUAAACUAGCUUAAUUACCUAGACUUUCUAAAGCGAGAAAUAACCAAAAUCAAUGAGGAAAAUCAAAUAAUCCUACUAAACUCAAGUAUUCGUGCAAUCAACUAGUCUUCACUUGAAACUUCCAAUUCCCCAUGUGCUUGAAUGGGCCUUGGUCUUUAUAUUCGCAUCAAAACUAAGAUCAUUAGUGUUGCCUAUGUUUAAGUAGAAGGAGCACUUGUAAAACAUGGAGCUCAGCUCACGGAUAUCUUACACCACGGUUACAAUUCUUUCUGCCAGUGGUUUUGUCUGCUGGAUUUGUUGUAGCAAAUUUUUGUCAGGAACACCUAUGUUAAUCAAACGCCAACCUUGUUCGGCUGCCUUAAUUUGGGCUAGCUUGACACCUUCAGCCAGAUGUUGAAGUUGGCUAUCCACUGCCCUUUCUUUCAUCCCCCAAGCCAAUAUUUCCUGUUGUAUUCCAUCAUACGCUACAAUGCCAUACCCAACGAUAUUGUCCUCUUUACUCCAUUGCACUGCUAUUCUCAGUGUUGUUCCUACACCUGUGGCAUGCUCUGGCUGCUCUUCUUCUUGGUCCCUUUGUUGUUGAGCUACUGCUAUCUUCCCAUCGCUCCAACGCCUAGCUUUCCCUGCUGCAUUUUCAAAUUCCCCCCAAGCUCUGCAUGCUUUGUUUAUAAUUGCAGCUAGGUCCCUGUCUUUGUUGUUGAAAACCUUGUUGUUCCUACUUUUCCAGAUCUGCCACAAUAUAUAUAUGCCGUAAGGCCUAUAUGAUCUUUCCCUUGUAUCCUACAUCUAGCUUCAGAAACUCCUGCCCACCAGUCUUUGAAUUUAUCCGCUCUGUAUGCAAUACCAUCCCAAUGGAUAGGAGCCAAUUUCCAAAUGUCCUGUACUUUGCUGCAUUUAAGUAGCAUGUGUUCCAGUGUUUCCACCUCUUCACCGCAUAUAGAACAUAUUGGAUCUCCCCUUUUGAUUCUCCUCCAUAUUAGCUCCUUGACUGGUACCGCAUCCGAGAGACCUUUCCAAAUAAACAUCUUAACUUUGUGGCUAAUGUUUAAGCUCCACAGAACCUUCCACACUUGCUGGCUCACUGAGUUAAAACUCAUUUCCACUCCCUCACCUUCUUUCCUAAUCACUUCCUCCUUUCUUUCCAUUUCCAUUUUGUAUCCAGACUGCACCGUGUACUCCCCAUUUAUGUUCCUUGUCCAGAAGGUGUUAUCAUCUCUUCCCGUGAUGCUGAUUGGGAUUUUCAAAAUAUUAUCUGCAUCCUCCUUACAAAACGUCUUGAAAAUGAGAGGUCUAUUCCACCUGAAGUUACUGAUCAAGUCAGCAACUUUGUCAAGUUUGCAUCCUUGUGAUUUGGCCGUAACAGGUUUCCCUUUGCCAUUGCUUAGGAUCCAUUGAUCGUUCCAAAUGCUGGUUUUUUUUCCAUUUCCUAUGCGUCUUCUUACUCCCCUCCACAUAGCCUCUCUACAGCUCAUAACACUUUGCCAGAACCAUGAUGCGUUCUUUGGGGCUUUGCUCUCCUAGAUGCAACUGUUAGGGAAAUACUUUGCCUUUAGCACCUUGCUAGACAACAGAUUUGGAUUCCUUAUGAUUCUCCAAAUCUGUUUGGCUAGCAAGGCUCUAUUAAAGCUUUGAAAAUCCUUAAACCCGAGGCCACCAUUCUUCUUCUUCUUGGUCAACUUCUCCCAAGCCACCCAAUGAAUUUUGUCUUUGUUGUCUUGCUCACCCCACCAGAAUUUUGAUAGAAGUGAACAGAUAUCUUUACAUAACCUGCAAGGCAAUUUGAAACAAGACAUAGUGUAAGUGGGCAUGGCCAUUGAGACUGCUUUGAUCAAGAUUUCUUUCCCAGCCGAGCUUAGCAAUUUGGAUUUCCAGUUUUGCAUUCUACGUUCAAUGUUUUCCUUGAUGUAUCCAAACAAUUGCUUCUUCGAUCUGGUGACCACUAUUGGGAGUCCCAAGUAUUUCCCUUGAGCUACUUGUUCAAUUCCCUCCAGCUUGCUACAUACUGUCUCCCUAGAUUCCUGGUUGACAUUUUUGCUAAAGCAGGCGCUAGACUUGUCGAGGUUUAUCAUUUGUCCUGAUGCUUGUUCGUAGUUCCUCAGAAUUUUUGUCAGUUCCUGUGCUUCUUGACAUGAGGCCUUGCAAAAAAUUAGCAAAUCAUCCGCAAAGAAAAGAUGGGUCACUGAAGGGCCUCGUCUACUGAUCUUGAUUCAACUUAUCCUUCAUUCUUGAGCUGCAUUUUUUAAAAGGUUAGACAAGCCUUCAGAACAUAUGAGGAAGAGGUAAGGUGACAAAGGGUUGCCCUGUCUGAUCCCUCGUUGUGGUGUGAUAUACUCUUUGCAUUCGCCAUUUAUAUUGAAAGAAAAUGAGACUGUUCUAAUGCAAUUCAUAAUCCAAUUUAUCCACCUCUCACAAAAUGCCAUUUUACUCAUAAUAGCUUGUAAAAAUUCCCAUUUAACUCUAUCGUAGGCUUUCGACAUAUCCAGCUUCACAGCCAUAUAACCAUCCUUCCCAAGUCUUUUAUUCUUAAGAAAGUGCAAAUAUUCAUGGGAAAUGAUAAUGUUAUCAAUGAUGUGCCUCCCAGGUAUAAAGGCUGAUUAAUUGAUGCUAAUGCAGUUAUUGAGAACAGGCUUUAGUCUAUUUACAAUGAUUUUGGUUAUAGCUUUAUACACGACAUUGCAAAGACUAAUAGGUCUAUAUUGCUUAAUGUUUGUAGGAUAGGGAAUUUUGGGAAUAAGGGAAAUGAUAGUAUGAUUAAUAGCUUUAAGCAUAAAACCAGAAUGGAAGAAACUUUGAAUAGCAUUUACCAUGUCUCCUUUGAUAAUUUUCCAAAAUUUUUGGAAAAAUAAAGGGGUCAUACUAUCGGAGCCAGGAGCUUUAUUGCAAUCCAUAGUGAAGAAAGCAUUUUUGAUCUCUUCUUCUGUCACUUCCUUGGUUAACUCCCUGUUUAUUUUUGCCGUAAUAGUAGUUGGGAUCCCCUCUAGUACCUCUUGAGCAUUACUGUCUGAAGACUUGGCGAAGAGGUUCCUGUAGUAGUCAGCAAUCACUUUCCCAGUUUCUUCUUCGGAUUUAGUCCAGCCACCAUCCUCCCUUUGGAGCCUUUGCAAUCUGUUUUGUUUUCUUCUUCCAUUUACCUGUGCAUGGAAGUAUUGGGUAUUUCUGUCUCCUUCUUGCAACCAUUUGAGCCUGGCCUUUUGACUCCAAUAGAUUUCCUCCUCAUUAUAAGCCUCUAUCAGUUGUGUCUUUAGGCCGGCCACCUUUUCUCUCUUGUUGUCCAUAGCAGAUUUUCUAGUCUGGUCCAAUUGCUUUUUGAGGUUAUCUAUCUUAUCCUUGGAGUUUUUGUGAAUGCCGUUACUCCACUUAAGUAAGGCUACUCUAUAGUUCCUCAAUUUUGAUUGCACUUGGUACAUCCGAAAACCUUCAAUAUUUUCCUUCCAAGCUUUUUUGACGACCUCAGCUAUAUUCUCAUGUUGUAGCCACCUUUUAUCAAAAAAGAACCUUCUUUUUUUCCUCACAACCGUAGGCUUAGUGUCUAUCAUCAAGGCGCAAUGAUCUGAAGCAUAUGUUUUAAUGUGAGAGCAUUUCACACUCUCAAACUCCAGGUUCCAAUCUGCACUACUCAUGGGUCUAUCUAGCCUUUGCAUGAUUUCGCCUUCAUUUCCCCAGUUAUUACACCAUGUCCACGGCUGCCCUUCGAAUCCCAGAUCCACCAUCUGAUUUGUACUUAAGAAGUUCCUGAAGUCAUUGAAGCUCCACUCAGCUCUACAUCUUUCUCCCCACUUUUCUGAAUUUGAUGCGAUAUCGUUGAAAUCCCCAGCUAUCAACCAUUUGUUUUCCCAUAGUUGUCUCCUCCUAUUCACUACCCUUCAUUGCUCUUUCCUUAUAGCAUCGUUACAGUUUGCAUAGAUGCCAAUCAGCCACCAAAUGUACUUACUUUCCUGGUCCUCAAUCUUAGCUUCCACAGUGAAGGAAGUGUGCUGCACUUGCAAAAUUUUAACAUCUGAGUCCCAAAACAAUGUCAUUCCCCCUGCCUUAUUCAUUGCUUCCACCACAUAGCAGCAGUCAUAGUUAAGUAUUUUUUGUAUUUUGAUCUAUUUUUUGUCUCACUUAGAAACAAAAUGUUUGGGGAGAGGAGUUUUUUAUACUCCUUCAGAUGGAGAAUUGUCAAGGGGCUCCCAGCACCUUGGCAAUUCCACACCAUCACUCUCAUUGGUAGUUGGGGACCCAGAUCAGGCUGGUUCCCAUCCCCUCUUCUUGUGUCUCGCUCCCCCUACCCGGGCUAUCCUUUUUGUUCUUCUUUGACCCCUGCCCCAUAUUAUCAGCUUCUAGUUGUUCCUCCUCAGUCAGACAAACCUUUCGUUUACUCAGCACAAGUUGAGCCAUACUGUUCCUGUCAAUCUGUUUUAAUGCUCUCCUGCCUCUUCCUCGUAGAGUUCUUGUAGACCCUCUAACCUUCAAUUCUUGAGGCUGUCCCAUUCCUUGUUGAUUACUUCCAAUGUUCUCAUCAAAAGUUCUAAUCUGUAACAGCUCAUUGAUGCACUUCUGUUUCUCCAUAAUCUGGUUGCAAUCCGUGAUUAUUUGUACAUCCCCUGAUGCCUGUGGUUCCAUCAUUUCCAAGUCCUCCUUAUGGUAUUCAAAAGCUCCACUCCUCUCACUACUCUCUACCUCCAUAGUCACUACCAGAUUUUUGUCCUUUUCAUUACUUCCUUCUGCUCCCUCUUUUCUUAAUUCCAUCAUUGCUGUACUGCUUUGUAUGUCAUCCUUCUCUACUGUCUUGCUAGGGGCAAUUGGUGGAAUCUGUUCCGGCCCUUCCCUCUUGGAAUGAAGAAACUUAGUAAUCUCCUUUUUGAAGGCAGCCACCACACUCCUCUCCCUAGCUUCCUCAGUACCCACUUCUUCCUUGAUUUGCUUAUCCCCUCCUCCUUGACUUGGCUCCUUACGAACCAGCUCUCCAUUUUCCACACCCCAAUGUACUCUAUUGGAAGGGGGUUUGUACUUGUUACUAUCCUUUUGCGGGGAGCCUUUAUCAUAAUUUACCCUCAUCCAAGGACCAUACUGGAUCUCUUGUUGCCUUUUCCCUACCGAGGCACCUAAUGUACAUCCUUUCUCUCUGUGGCCAAUAAUUCCACAAGCAUAGCAGAAGUUUGGGCAUCUCUCGUACCGGAACUUAAUCCAUUUCAUCACACCAUUCAUCUUAACAGUUGAUCCCCUAGGUAAUGGCCUAGAUAUGUCAGCCACAACAUGCACCUUCAAGUGCCUACCUUCCUUCCCACAUGUUUGAGGGAUAAUAGCUUCAUUUACCCCCCUAAACACUGUUUUACCAAUCUUCUUCCCAACAUCUUUUGACAGACAGUGAACCGGCAGGUUCCACAUUUGCACCCACAAUUGUGCCAUUUUAAAAGCCUCUGGGUCAUCUUCAAUCCCUUCAUACCAUUUACACAAUACUAACAAUUGGUUGUCCAGAAUCCAAGGGCCACCGUUCACCACCCUCUCUCGGAUAUCCUCAUCAGGAAUUACAAAUUGGUACAAGUUUGGUCCUAGCUCUGUGACCUUCAAGUCUCUUGGGAAGCCCCAAGCCGUGCUGACAAAGCUUUUUAGGCCAGUGAAGUUAACUAUUCUAUCACUCUGAAUUUUCUCCAGAAGACAAAUCUCGCAUUCCUGCCUACUGAUACUAGAGUCACCCACUUCCGAGUCAGUUAUGGUACACUCUUGGGUGUUUAGAGCAAAUUUCUGCAUAAUCUCCGCCAGUUCUUCCACCAUAGUAAUAGCUUGAGCUAAAAGGGGGAUACCAGCUCCUUUCCAACAAUGAAAUAGGACUAACCAAAACAAGUGCAGAUGAACAGAAAAAAUGCUUUCUUCAGCUAGGUAAAGGCUUACCUGGAUGAAACAGAAACAGAGGACAGCAAUAGAAACAAAUACUAAAACACAGAGAUAAAGGAAAACUGGAAAAAAGAAGGUAAAAAAGGGAUGUAAACCUUGAAAUGGAUGGUUUUAUGCCUGUGAAGUAGACCCCCACUAACACCUGUGUAAUUCCCUUCCACUACGUACUUGCAAUGCCACUUCAACUACUGAUACUUUUGGAAUUAGUGUUAAAGACACUAUGGGUGCUUCUACUUUGACUACCGUACCAUUAAUAUGUCUGAUCUAGAAGCUGUGGUUAUCAAGGAGAGAUCUUUUGGUGGAGUAGAUUCUUUGUGCUUUUAGCCUGGAUUUGUUCAUUUGGGACUUGAAAAAUUUUGAGCUCUCACCAUUGGAGGGAAAGUUCUCUCAAGGAGAGAGAUCGCCUAUUAUUUUCUUGAUUGUUCGUAGGACGUUCCGGUGGCUCAAGGCUUACCUCGGGAAGAAACAUUUAAAGUUCGUUUUCUUUGAAUUGAUGAGUGUACCACUCACAUGAUUGUUAUUUCAUGGCUUUAUUCGUACUUGAAAUCUGUGACUGGAAUGCCUGUGAUUACUGUUAUGCUAGAUGAGACGAGGGUGUACUUUAUCACUCUCAUUCUCUAUUGCUUAUUGGACUGUUUACUGUAUCAUUUGAAAAUUUUCUUGGUUGUACUUGAACUGGUGUCGUUUGGACGUGUAUCCAAGGACCUUUACUGUUAAAUCUGAGUUCAACCUCAUAGGUAGUCAUUUGAAUUGGGCCGGCAAGGCUUGGUCGAGGAAAAUUGACAAGCCAUGGGGACUGUUUCUGGGAAUCUUUGGAUAUACUCAAGUAUUAUCAUCUCUGUUUUGUUUGGUGUUCGGGUCCGGUAAGGGGUAAGUAUGAUGGACGAAAAUCGGAGUAAAGUGGAGUCUACGGUCAUGGUCACUCUUUAAGCGUUGACGGAGAGUCAACGAGGUGGGAUCAAGUACGGCAAAAGAGGAAAAGGGCUCUUGAGAGCCGUCCGUAUCCUUUUACUCCCUGGUGAUGUAUGGUGUUCGUUUCUACUCACUCGAUGAAUGUAUUUGGAUUGAGUAUCAUUGUAUUUUUGUGAUUCUUGAAUACUUGAGUGAUGGUACCCCAUUGGACGAAAACUCACUCCGUUAACUUUAUUUUCCUUACAGGGUACAAUCUUUUGGAAAUAUGAUGUUUUGAAGAAUGAGUUAAGCUAGUAUAGAUAUUCUUUUGUAUAACUCCUCGGUAGUUGGAAAACCCUAAAUGUAUCUUGAUUCAAUGUUCCCUUUUGAUUUGUAAAUUUAUAAAAGUGUAUAUAAAAGUGUUUAAUCAUGUUCAUGUGUUAUAUUUGAUUUGGGAAUGUUCAUUCUCUAGAGUCAUAUAAAGUUACUUGUACUCGUUUGGGAUUUGGACAGGUUCAGAAUUUGAACGAAGAAGGAAAAAAAUUUCUGGUUGAAAUUUCUGCAGGAGAAUCCGACUACAAAUCCAACAAGUUCUUGGCCGGAUAGCUGGCCGGAUUGACAGGGAAUUUUGAAUCCGUUUGGAUUCAUCUACUGCUUCCAAUCUGGCUAGGAAUCCGGCCAUGGCCGGAUUGUGACGUGGCAGUCACUGUUCACUGUUCACUUUCAGUUUCAUUUUUUCGUUUUCGUUUUCGUUAUUCAUGGUCGUCGAAUUGUUUAAGCGCUGUAAUAUAUUUCGAAACGUUUUAGCUUGUGUAUGUCUGUCUUAGUAGUUCUGACGAGAGUUGGGCAAGCAGUCCGCUAACCCCUUUGGUACGCCUUAGGGGAAGGUGGGGCUGUUACAAAUGGCAUGUUGCAGCAACAAGUUCAGUAAUUUAGACUCGUUUAUCCUGCUUUAAAAAAUGGAAUUUGACCAAGUGAUGGUGAGAUAAGAAGUUUGCAGGCAAUGUCUCAAUUUCCUUGUAACCAGUCAUCAACGUGGCCUAAGGCUUGACCUCCACUGAAAAAGAAGAAAAUGCUAAUCAAGUACCUUUGAUGCGGUAGUGGUAAACGUGAAAACGGACUUGAUUUACAAAUAAAAUCUAUAAAAAGAACAAAGGUUGAUUCAUGAUCAAACCAUUAAAAAAUUCAAAUAAGAAUCGAAAUGCUAGAGCACACUAAAAAGAACAUGGUAAAGCCAGCAAAUACACAAUUGUGUUAAAAAAUCAAUAAUGUUAUCAAAGUCUGAAUGAUAAAAUCCUAAAGAUGCCUAUUUAUAGGCUACAAGUACUUUAAAUUAAAAAGGAAAUGAAAUACAAUUAAAAUAGGAAAAUUGUUAUAAAACAAAAAGAUAGAUGUCCAUUUGCAUUCCCAAGAAAAUUAAUUCAUGAUUCAUUGGAUGAACCAUUUCAAGAGUUACAUUGGAUGAACCGUUUCAGAGCUAUUCAUAUACUUGAAGUAUUAAAUGUAUGAAUGAAUAGAAUUCAUGUACCUUUGAGUUUGUAGUACAUAUAUAUAGAUAGAGGUACUCCGGUACCUCUUGGGAUGACUUUUGAUCAGUCGAAAUAAUAGAAAAUAGUUCUUUAUUCUCUCUAUUUCUUUUUUUAAUAUUUCAAUCCCUAUUAUAUUAAUUUAUUUUAUUAUUUUUAUAACAAGUUAUCAAUACGAGUCUCAACUUUUGAGUAAAAGAUGAAAAUGGAGCCUCUACUUUGAAUAAAAACGAAACACGAGACUCUGCCGAGAUUCUGCCAGUGUUUCCUCGAGCAACUUCUAUCUACCUAUUGAAGUAAAUUUCUAACCCACAAAUUAUUUUCAAUUUUUUAUGACUAAUCUUAUAAAAUAAGAGUUCGUACCUCUUGAUAUUUCUGAAAAAAAUUAUUUAUCAUGAAUAUUGAAUGUUGAAAUUCAUCUUGAGGCAAUAGGUACUGGUAAUACUAUUGUUGAAAAGAAUGAAGUCUCAAAUCAAGACCGUGCCAAAACUAUAAUUUUUCUUCGUCAUCAUUUACAUGAAAGAUUAAAAAUAGAAUAUCUUACUGUCAAAGAUCCUCUUAUCCUUUGAAAAAAUUUGAAAGAAAGAUUCGAUCACAUGAAAUUGGUCAUUCUCCAAAAAAUUCGAUAUGAUUGGUUUCACUUACGGCUAUAAGAUUUUAAAUCUAUCAAUGAAUAUAAUUCAGCCAUAUUCAGAAUUACUUUUUAAUUAAUAUUAUGUGGUGAAAAAGUUACUGAUGAAGAUAUUUUAGAAAAAAUAUUUCUACCUUUCAUGUCUUUAACAUGCUCCUACAGCAGCAAUAUUUAGAGAAGGGAUUUAAAAAAUAUUCUGAACUUAUCGCAUGUCUUUUUUUGGUUGAACAAAAUAAUGAAUUAUUGCUGAAAAAUCAUGAGUCCCAACCAAUUGGUGCUAGUCCAUUCUCUGAAACGAAUGUGACUCAAUCUCAAAAUUCUGGUCGAGAUCGUGGACGUAGCCGUAGAGGUGGCCGUGAACGUGGGCAUGGCCGUGGAUGCAGUCGUGGUAGAUUUGUGUCUCAUGAAAAUUAUAACUGUGGCAAACAAUAAAAUAUCCCCUAAAAGUGGAAUAACAACAAUAAGCACAAAAAUGGAGAAAAGAAAAUAUAUGAAGAAAAAUACUGUCGAUGUGGUAUAGAAGGUCAUUGGUCUCAUACCUGUCAUACGGCUGAUCAUUUUGUUGAUCUCUAUCAAGCAUUAUUGAAAAAAAAAGACAAAAAUGUCGAGACAAGUUUCAUUGAUUUAAAAAAUGAUUAUGAUGAUGGCGAUGAUGCUAAUAUGACACACUUCGAUGUAGCUGAUUUCUUUAGGCAUCCUGAAGAUGCCAAAUGAUUAUGUAACAAAAAUUCUAUGCUUGUUUAGAUUUUUUAUGAUGCUUUGUAUCUUUUAUGUAAUUUUGUUUCUAUUCAAUAUCUAUUUUUAUAUUUUUAUUAAUAUUUAUUUUUGUUUGAAACUUUCUUUCUGAUUAAGAAAUGGAUGGCAAAUAUUUGGGAUUAAAUAAUGGUGAUGUUGACAUUUGUUUCAUUGACAGUGCUACUAUAUUAAAAAAAUAAAAAAUAAUUUUCUUAUUUAAAAAUGAGAAAGACAAAUGUUAAUACCAUCAAUGAUAGUGCAAAAGUGAUUGAAAACUCCGAAAAAGUCACUCUAUUUCUCCCUGAAGGGACUAAAAUUGUCGUAAAUAAUACACCAUUCUUCCCAAGUCUUGAAGGAAUUUAUUGAGUUUUAAAAAUAUUCGCAAAAAUGGAUAUCAUAUCAAGACAAUGAAUGAGACAAAUGAUAAAUUUUUAUUAAUCACAAGUAUCAUUUUUGGACAAAAAUAGGUAUUAGAAAAAUUGCCUUCACUUUCUUCUGGAUAACAUAUGCACAAAUUAGUACAAUUAAAAUUUAUCACCUAAUAGACCAGAAGUCUACUCAUUUCAAUGAUUUUAUGGUUUGACAUGAUCGUCUCGGACAUCCUGAAUCUAUAAUGAUGAGACGAAUAAUUGAAAAUUCACAUGGCCACUCAUUAAAAAAUCAAAAGAUAUUAAAAAUAAAUAAAUUCUCAUGUGUUGCUUGCUCCCAAGAAAAAUUAAUCAUUAGAUCAUCACGAGUUAAAUUUGGGAUUGAAUCCCCAUAUUUCAAGAACGAAUUAAUGGUGAUAUAUGUGAGCUUGUAGAUCUACCAUGUGGACCAUUUUGAUAUUUCAUGGUGUUAAUUGAUGCAUCAACUAGAUGGUCAUAUUUAUAUUUAUUAUCUACUCGCAACCUGACGUUUGCGAUAUUGCUUGCUCAAAUAAUUAAAUUACGAGCAUAAUUUUCAAAUUAUCCAAUAAAGAGAAUUUGUCUAGAUAAUAUUGAUGAAUAUUCAUCACAUGUUUUUUAUGAUUAUUGCAUGUCUAUUGGAAUAAUUGUUGAACAUCUUGUAAUUUAUGUUCAUACACAAAAUGGUCUAGUCGAAUUAUUUAUUAAACGGUUACAAUUAAUUGCUAGAUCAUUAUUGAUGAGGUCUAAACUUUCUUUAUCUCUUUGGGGACAUGCUAUAUUACAUUUAACAACACUUGUGAAAAUUAGACUUAUAAAUUAUCAUACUUAUUCUCCCUUACAAUUAACUUUUAGUUAUGAGUCUAAUAUUCCUCUUUUACGUAUAUUCGAUUGUGCAAUUUAUGUUCCAAUUACACUACCCCAAUGUCGUAAAUUAGGCCCCCAAUAAAGAUUGAAAAUACAUGCCGGGUAUGAAUGUGACGGCCCCACCUCCCCCUAAGGCGAACCAAAGGGUUCGGCGGGCCGUCACAGUUGGUAUCAGAGCUUAGGCUUCAGAUUCCUGUAGUGUAUCCUAGGCUUGAAGUUUAGGAUGCCGGACUGUGGGUUUGGUUUGAAAUAUUAGUGAUUAUUGCGGGAUGUCUCGACUUGAUUGGUACAAAAUGGAAUGUCGAGGACGACAUUCUUUUAAGGAGGGGAGUUUGUGACACUCCAAAAGAAUGAGUGCGAGAACCCAAAAAUUUUCUAAGUUUCUAGGGUUUAUUUUAUUGUUCGCCCGCCUUUUCGACAUUUUCUUUAUUAGAAAAUUCCCCAGAUAAUUUUAUUAAGUAAAUAUAGUUUUUAGAUGAUUUUUCUAGUAUCAGUUAGUUUUUGAGAAAUUAAGAACAUAUAUCGGACGUGGGACCCACUAGUGCGGAAAGUUCGGUAAAAUUCGGCCAGUUAGGUUAAGUUUUGGAUACCGGAUUUAUUUUACCAAGUGCUAAGAGAUAAUUAGAGGUUGUUAUAUGGAUGAGAGUGGAGAGACAAAAGGAUAAUUAUAAGCCAAAAGAGAUGCUAGGUGUCGCGUUUUCAUUGGACCUUGGUUUUGACCACUAUUCACCAACUUUACUAAAUACCAAAAAUUGAUCAAAAUGAGCUUCAUUUCCCCUUGCUCUUGGCCGGCCAUGGAGGAGAGAAAGAGAGAGAGAGUUUCUUCAAUUUUCCUUCAUUUCUAGCUUGAAUCUUACAAACCUACCGGUUAAAUUUCAAAUUUCUCCACAAAAGUGAUUUGCUAAGUUAGUUUAAGGUGUUGAGUGGAGCCAUUUGUGAAGAACAAGCCCUAGUUGUCUUGUUUCUUGGAGUUGCAAAGGUGAGGUAUUAAAUAUCUUCCCUCUCAUGCUAAUAAUGAUCAAUUAAGGAUUUCUAGUGGUAGAGCAUGUCAUUUUAUGGAUGAUUUCAUGACCUACGGGUGAGAUUGAUGGAUUUUUCUUUUGUUCAUGAAUUUUUCUGAUUUCAUAUGAUUGUUAUGGUGUGGCUAUGUAUGAUGAUUGGAAAUGAUCUAGAAUGAAGCUAGAAGGUGGAAAAAGUGGUUAAUUGCUGGAAAUUUCUGUUUUGAAAGGAAAAUUGGAAAACUAGGGUUUAUGUUCCUACAUUCUGCCCGGUUUUUUAUCUCAUAGUUAGAGGCCGAAUUGGUCUUGGGUUAAAAUAUUAAAGUUGUAGGGAAUGAUAUUUUAGAGGUGCCUGCAAAAUUUCAGGUCAAUCGGAGCAGCGUAGCUUGAGAAAAGAUGGAAUUACCCUUGCUGCCCUGGUUUUACCCGAAUUUGAUAGUUGAGGCUGUAAUUGGUUAAUUUGGUUGGGAAUGCUUUGGAAUUGGUUGUUGAGGUCUUCUGAUGAAUUGUAUCCCUGUUUCUUAGCUUUCGGAUGGCUUUAGAAUUACUGGAUUUGGACUUAGGUAGCCUAAUUUAUGAUGUUUGCACCAGAAUGCGAUUUGUGAAUCUGUUUUUGCGGUUCUGGCGUAGUAGAUUGUAUUUUUGACCUGGUUACACUCAAAAUUGGGCUGAGUGACCUUCUGUAAUAUUGUAACCCUAUCUCUUAGCUUCGAAACGGUGGGUCUUGCACUUUCAUCCGAUAAUCGUAGUGCCAUUGGUAUCAAAACUGCAUAAUGACGUCAAAAACUGUUUUUUUUGGGUUAACGCUUAACUCCAUUUCCGAAUUUUUCUGGUUUCCUCUAAUGCUUAUGUAUGCUUAUGGAGCCCUAUUUUGGUGGUAUUUGGAAUUGGUUUAUGACUUGUAAUCGAGUCUUAUUGUGCUUAUUUGAAUAUCUUAGGGCUUGACUUUCAUUUCCGGACUUUUUCCUAGCUUGAAUUGUACUUGUACUACUUGGAGUUUACUGAACGGCUAUUGAAUGAACUUAUUUGUGUGACUUUGGGACUGGCUGAGGAAAUAAUGAAACCAUAAUGGCUGGAAAAGUUAGUAAAUUUAGUGGAAGUGCUGUCCGAGCUUUGAAAGGACUUGAUUGCAUUGAGUUUGUGAUCUAAGACUUGGAUUUGAGCAAGGCAAUGAUAUAUGAUGGAUGGUUUCUGAGCCAUGGAGGUGAGUGACCCUAAACAGGUUCCAAAGUUAUUUUUGAAAUGUUUCUUGUAUUAUUUACUCGACGGCAUCUCAUGCGUGCUUGCAUGUGAAUUCAUGAUAUGAUUUUGGCUUCAAUGAGUUCUGGGAAAGUCUUGUGCUGGACACCAACGUCUCCACCCUGUUUAUGGUUCAUGUUCAUGUUUAUCUGGAGCUCAAAAAGGGGCUCCCUCUCACUAUUAAUGUUAAAUGAUCUAUUUGAGCGUUGGGUGUUCAAGUGCAAUGAUUUCACUGGCUCACGAGAGCAAUAAACGUACAUUUGAUCUUGGAAUCAUGACAUCAUUGAAAUGCAUUAUUGUGAAAUAUAUUUGAUGACUGCUUUUACUGGUUACUCGCUGAGCUUCUAACUCACCCCAAAACGAUUGUAUUCCCCUCCACAGGGCUCAAGGCGAAGGAAGAGCGAGUAGUACUUAUUCAUGUGGUUGGAUGGCAUACAUCUUGUACAGUUUGGAUUUGGAAUCAUUUUAUGGAUAGUUGGAAAUUAUUUCCGCUUCGCUUUUGAUAUGUAAUUAUUGGAGACGUGGAUGUAUAUUUGAGAUUUAUAUUGUAAUUCAUUUGAGAACUGUAGUGAACGACUGAAUCCCGACGAGAGCUGGGCAGACGACCCGCCGAACCCUGGGGUACGCCCUAGGGGGAGGUGGGGCCGUCACAAUGAAUCACCUUCAAUUAUUAAGUAUAUUGAACCAUUGACAGGUGAUUUAUUUACUUCAAGAUUUGUAAAUUAUCAUUUUGAUUAAUCAUAUUUUUCGACUUUAGGGGGAGAUAAAGAUCAACCGAAAAAGUAAAUCACUUGAAAAAUAUUAUUGGAUUUCCUUGAUCCUCAAACCAAAGAAUGUAAACUAGAAGUUCAAAAAAUUAUACAUUUGCAAAAAUUGUAAAUCAAUUACCGGAUGCAUUUAAUGAUUCUAAAAGAGUUAUUAAAUCCCAUAUUCCUACUGAAAAUGCUCCAAUUAAAAUUAAUGUUCCUGAAAGACAAAUUAUAAGUGUUAAUGAGUCUAAAACACACUUGAAACGUGGGAGACCUCUUAGUUCCAAAAAUAAAAAUCCUCGAAAGAAAAAAAAAAUAGAUGAAUCAACAAUUAGUGAUAAAAUUCAACCUCUUGAAGAGGUUGCUCCUGAAGAACCAGUUCAUAAAAAGCCAACUCAUGAAGAGAAUGAAAUUAUAGUAAAUUCAGUAAAUUUUUUCAGCACAGGAAAAAGUUGGAACCGAAGAGAAAUAAUUGUUGAUAGUAUUUUUACAUAUAAUAUAGCACUUGAUAUUAUGAUAGAGGACGAGAAUCAUGAAUCUAAAUCAGCUAAUGAAUGUUGGUAUAGAAAUGUUGGCCAAAUUGGAAAGAUGAGAUUCAAUAUGAAUUAGAUUCAUUGGCUAAAAGAACAGUUUUUAGACCUGUAGUCUAAACACCGGAAGGUAUAAAGCCAAUAGGAUAUAAAUGGGUAUUUGUGAGAAAAAAAGAAAAAAAAGAAAUUAUGAGAUAUAAAGUAAAACUUGUAACUCAAGGAUUUUCAGUAAGUCUUGAAUUUGAUUAUAUUAAAAUGUAUUCACCUGUAGUGGAUAUAAUUACAUUUAAAUAUCUUAUGAGUUUUGCAGUGCAUAAAAAACUAAAUAUGCGUCUAAUGGACGUUGUCAUUGUAUAUUUAUCUGAAAAUUUUGAAAAUGAUAUUUUGACAGGUGCCGAACCUGUGCAAUAAUAAUAAUAAUAUCUAACUACCACCAAAAGCAGUCAAUAAUCAAUUCUAAGUACUGGAGCAGGGACUUUAGGUGUGCAAUGGGUUACUUGAUUCACCCUGUUCCCGAAAAAUUUGCUUAAUCCGAUAUACCAGAAUUAAUUAUUUGACUAAAUUCACUAACUAAUAGACGGUGGCAAGUUGGGUCGAUUCCACAGGGAACGGGUAGGAAGUUGUUUCUUCCCAAGUCAAUAGAACGAAAUUGGGGGAUAUUAAAUGGAAUAAAAAAUAAAAAUAAAAUAAACAAAAUUCAAAAACUAACUCACCAAGUAUGAUUUACUAAAAAUAGCAAUUAGUAAAGUUCUACCCAAAAGAUCAACUUUUCAGGCACGGUCCAAUUAAAUGAUCAUCGAUACAAAGAUAUUUCAUUCAUUCGUCACUAGGUUGGUCAUAACUAUCAACAAGCUCUAACAGCCAGUUUUUCCUUGUUUUCUCGACAGCCAAGGUACGACCAUUAACUGCUUCUCUAACCAGAAACAACCCUAGGUACGACCGUAGGAGUUUAAUUAUCCAGCUGCAUUAAAACUAGAAAAACUCAACCCUAACCAAUAAACACGUUAAGAGGGUUUAUUUAAACUAGAUCUUACAUUUUCCUAAUAUAAAAUCAAUUAUGAUGAUUGUCAUUAGUUAUCGACUAAACGAACAAUUACGAAUUCAAUUUAGUUGACAUGACAGUAGGCUAUUAGAUUAAAUCAAAUAUCCGGCUGUUGAUACUCAAUUAAUAAAAUAUCCAUAAACAGUUAAUCCAGGAAACGUACGAACAGUAACGGAUUAGACGAAAUAGUGAAAGUUCGAUUAGAUAUCACAGAUGUUAUGGACCGCGCCUUCGCGUCGACCUUUGGGUAGAGGAGAAACCUAGCCACUCCUCAUCAUAUCAAUCUCACAUGGGUUGAUUGUUAUCAUCCACUUAAUUACCGCAGAAUUGGGAGAGAUGAAAAUAAUGAAGAAGACAAACGAAAAGUCUUGCUUCUCUUUGGGUUUCAUGUUCAUACUGGAGAAAAACUGAAGCAAAGGUCUAAUGAAAAUCGUACGAAACAAAGGUGGACAAAGCAAAAUCGACUACAGGGAAAACUAAAGCUAAUCUAUCGAUCACACGUAAAUUUGGCUUUUCUCCUAUUCGCCGCAGAUUGCCACCGUUGAAAAAAUCAAAGCUCAAAAGCUUUUUUUUUAGCCUUAAGACCCUUGGUCUCCUUUUCUCUUUUUGGCCCACGUGAAUCUGGCUUUUUCAAAAUCUCCCAAAGUAGCCGCCGAAAAGAAAGAAAACGUCAAACCCUCUGCUUUCUCUAGGAAUAGAGUUUUUAUCCCCUACACCUCCGCGGCCCACGAGCUUGGUGAUUUCCUAAUUGCCCACUUUUUCUACCAAUCCCGCGGGUUCGUCUUUUAGGUGUAUUUCCUCAAUUUCUGGCGGGGGCACGUCAUGAAAUAAAGAGUCUUCUAAAAAUUUGCCUCGAGAGAGCACUUUUGACACCAACCACCUAUAAUUUACACAAAUAUCAAAUAUGAGCAAAAUCUCAACACUUAGCAUAGUAAGUAACCAAAAUUAUGACCAAAUAACAGUGCAAAUGGUGCCCAAUAAUUGCUUUAUCAAAUCCCCCCACAUCUAGACAAUGCUUGUCCUCAAGCAUUUCGAAACUCGAAAGUAAAAUCAAGAUAGCAACGGUUAUGCAGUGAUCUACACUAACACAAGCAUCCCGCAUUCCUGACAAUGUUGCCAAGGUUAGAACACACUGGACAGGUAGUUAUUCAAAGAGUGUGAACAAUAAUACUCGUCACCUUCAAGAAAGUGAAUAGAUACUAGGAACGCUCAAAUCAACAUCACCGAAUGGCAUUACCAUAGACUCGCACAUUUAUCACAUUUCCUCCACUCAAAAGUAAACUAAAUACAAAAAUCAAAGGGACUUCAAUAGGGUUGUAAUGGGGCUUGGGUAAAAAGGUGGGAUAAGAAGGUAAAGAUAGGGUGUAAUGUGUCAAGAGAAUAUCUGAUAUCCACUUGCAUAACCUCAACGCUUUACUGGAGGAAUUCCACAAGUAAAGCAUUUCCAUUUGCUAUACCCACUGUGUAAGUGUCAAAACUCUUCUUUUUUUCUCUUUUUUUUAGGGCGUCUUGCAAGGCGUAGGCACGCCCAGUAAGCCAGAGCCUUCUGUUCACCAGCUUGUCGAUAGCAUUUCUUGCCCUUUUUUUUUAAGACCACACAACUUUUAUUUUGACAACACCUGCGAAACUAGAUUGAUUUGCCUCGCACCUACAACGAAGUUCAGACAUCUCUUAUGGACUCAAGGUUGAAUAAGAAAGUCUAAAAAGGCUCUGGGUUAUCAAACACAGCUAACAAACAAAGUAGAAGGAUGCUCAAAAUGGUUCACUAGUGGGAGACAAGAUGAAGGCAUGGUUUGUAGAAAACUAAAGAAGGUUAAAUCCUAAAUGCCUUUAUCAUUUUAAAUGCAUCCAGUUCAACAAAAUGUGACUUUGACAUGUAUAAAAUAGCAAGUUCUAGAAUGUCAAUACCAUGUGUGAUACCUACUCAACAAUCCAAAUGAAGCAGACAAGAAUAAUGAACUCGUGCAUGACUCAAAAGCUCCCAAAAGUUUCAAGAAUCGGUCAAGUCCAGCACAUUCAACAUUCAACAAUAUUGCCAAGGAAAAACAAAAUGUAUAGUUAGCAUAUAUGACCACAUACACGUGCACCUUGAUUGUGUAAUCCAUCAUAGCAACAUGUUCUAGCAAAAAGUGAACUAACUACAUAUAACAUUUUUUUUCUCGUUUCAUUUUUCCUCUUGUUUUUCCUUUUUAUUUUGUUUUUUCGUUCUAAGCAAAAAGAAAUAAUAGACACCAUCCCCCCAUACCUAAAAACCUACAUUAUUCUCAAUGUAGCAAAGACAAAUAAAGCGUAAGGAUAAAGGGGGCGAAACUUCCCUGACUACUGAGAUGGUGCAACGAGACACUAAGGGGAAGGAGGAUGAGGCGAAUGGAAUCCAAUAUGAGUAAAGAAAGCUACAUGAUUCUCCAUUUGAAUACGGGCAAAAACCUGCAACGCUGCAAGAAGAUCAUCUAGUCCCUCAACUCGCUCCCCUAGUUCAUGGACAGAAUCUUGGAGGGAACGGUACUGGGACUCCCAAACAGGGGGAGCAUGGUAGGAGGACGGACCCGCCUGAUCAGUGUGGGGCGGUGACCCAGUAGAGGGGACAGUAGGAGGAACCCGGGGCUGUGGCCUGCCCUCGCCAGGAGGCAUCAUCUGAUAUACAUCUCUUACUUUGAAAAUAACUCUUAUUCUCUCCAAGCUACGCAAAUUCAAUGGCUCAAUCUCGCGAGUUAGAGCGAACUUGUGCUCUUUAUCGAGGUCAAACAAUCCUAAUCGAACGGCCAAGUGAGUAAUAAGCGAGCCCAUAAUCACCGGUUUAUGCCAUUUUUGAAUGAUGGAUUGCAUUUAAGUGGCCACCCAACACCCAAAGUUAACAUGUACUUUGUUGCGUAUGCACCAAAAAAAAUAAAAUUCAGCCUUGGCAAGGGUGCCGGAGGAGUCCUUCCGGCCCAAGAAAUUGUAGGCCAAGAAUCUGUGGAUAACCUUCACGAUCGGAUCCUUCAGAUUAGAGGCCUUGGACUAACUCGGAUCAUAGAACUGAAGGUCCGUGGACCACUCCCUCUAUUUAUCAAUAUAAUCACUAAAAAAGGUAUGGUGUAAUCACAUGCACUGUUGAUAUAUAUCCCGGAGGAAAUUGUAUCCUCACUAACAAAUCUCAGAAUCAGAUUAAAGUCAUUAAUGGACAUAUCCUGUGGGGUACCUCUUAAUAUAAAUUUAAUCACCCCCUACUCAUCCAAAAUGAUAAAUUCAUUUUUGGUAAAUUCAAAAGUGGAAUAGAAUUCAUAACACAGCUCCUCAAAUGUAGGGUAGUCAAUGACUAGAUAUCGUUGCCAACCAAUUGUCGAAAACAACUGUUCAAUAUCUCGUGCAAUUUGCAAACGAUCCAGGGUCGGGGUAUGAAAACACUUACACGGAGCAAAAGGAAGCGGCAACAAGCUAUUCAAUCGGUCAUGUUGUUCCCGUGUAAGGUCAGUGAUAUGUUCCCCCCAGUUCUCCGGAGAUAUAGUACUUUUGGAAAGAUCUAAACUGGACCGAGUGGGGGGUUGAAUUUGGGCUCGCCUCUUACGAGGUUGGGACCCAGAUGGACCGGAUGGUGUUGCCUUUUUCGGAGGCAUUCGGAAACCACAGAAAUAAAUAUAAAUAGGCACAGGAACAACAAUACAACCACCAAAAUGGGGAUAGGGGACCACAAUCCACAGGUAGCACUCAACAGUCAGCAGUCCAAUAGCAAAGAGAAACACAGUAACCCCACCAGAACAACAACAAGUCAAACAAACACAAAGAUGCCCCCACUGGCGUCACUUGGCAAAUAACAGUAAAGAUAAAUAGAUCCAAGACCCCAAAAUUAAAUUAACAGUCAAUUAUAUUCAAUAAAUGGUGAAUCACCAGCCACGUGUACCAAAUCUCAGAUCCACCAGAACCCACAAUUAUUGCAAUCCCAAAAUCAAGUCAAAUAUAGCACAGACUCCAAAUUCAAAGAUCAGUGGCAAUAAUAUAGUAAAAUAGUGGUACCACUUUGUCACGUUGGAGAAGACCGCGGUGGAGACGCACAGUGAGAGAAGUGCACGCGGGCUGGGCAAGUCGCGCAGUUGACGGGCACACGGCGUGCGCGCUUACCGAAUGGUCGCGCGAGGUGAAGGCUGCUGGGCGCGCGCUGCACGUACAGGAGAUGCUCGCUGUGCCAAUCGCACGCACGGCUAGGCUCGCGCUGGCAGGCGCCUGUUCUGCUGGGUCGUGCGCAGAGGAGAACGCGCGUUGGCUGCAGCGCGCAGGUGAAGCGCGCGCUGGCUAAGGAUGCUGGGCAUGUUAGCGCACGCUGGAUCUGAGUGGCGGCGCGAGUAGGAGGCAGCACGCAGUUGGACGUGUGCUGAAGAUGCGCGCUGCUGAGGAAGCUCACGGAGGCUAGCUGGUUGCGUGGGCUGCUCAGCGGUGCUGCUGGAGGCUUGACGCGCACUUGAGCAGCAGCGGCUGAACCAGAUCGGCGGCUUUUAGGGAAGAGCCGUGCUGCGGUGCGGCGCACGAGUGGCGGCGGCGAACAGCGGCGGGCAAUGGCGGCGGUGGACCAACAAGAAAAGGGAAAAAAAGAACUGAAACUAAAACAAAACAAAACAAAGGAAAGUGACAAGCAGAAACUAAGACAUAGGCAAUUGACAAGACCAGACCAGACAAGAAAAAGAGAAAAGUGGAAAACUAGGGUUUGACAGGAUCAUGGUCAAGUUUGACUUUCAUUGUCGCAAAGGUUGGAAGGCGUGGGCACGCCUUGGAAGCUGUAGUCUUCUGACCAUCCCGUCCCAAUAAUGUCCAAAAGAGUUCUUUUCAACACGUGGGUACGCCUUGGAACUGAUAGUCCCCAAUUUGCAUAGCGCUCCUGACGUACCCCCGUAAGGCGUAGGCACGCCUUGAAAACUCCAAUCUUCUGUUGAUCACCACAAAAAUACUUAUAAUACAAAAAUAGAACUGCGAAAUUGCAAAGUAACGAAAAUUAACAACAACUAAUACUGUAGUCUUUGGGUUGCCUCCCAAGCAGCACAUUUCUUUAAUGUUUUUAGCUAGACACAGUAAUAGCUGUUUAGACCGCACAAUUUGGAUCAACAAGAGAUAUGACCUCCACUUGCUCACUAUUAAACCCUUCAUAAUAGGGUUUCAAACGGUGACAAUUUAUCACGAACUUCUUAUCCGUCUUCAAAUGGUGGAUUUUCAUUGUACCAUAAUGAAAAAUAUUAGAAAUGACAAAUGGACCAAUCCAACGUGAACACAACUUACCGGAGAAAAAUUUAAGUUUCGAGUGAUAAAGGAAGACUUUUUGCCCUACUAUAAAGACUUUCUUGAGACUUGCUGGUCGUGAAAGAGUUAGCUCCUCUCUUUAUAAAUUGCUACGUUCUCAUAGAUUUCAUUACUUAGUUCCUCAAACUCUUGUAAUUGGAGUUUUCUAUAUCCCUCGGUAUCCACAAGAUCCAUGUUGUAUUCAAAAUUGGAGACUUCAUUGCCCAAAAUGUCUUGUGUUCAAAUUUCACUGGAAGGUGGCAUGGCUCCCAAAAACUAAUCUGUAUAGGGACAUUCCAAUCGACAUUUUAUAUGCGGUGCGGUAAGCCCAUAGAGUAUCUUCCAACUGCAAACUCCAAUCUUUUCUAUCAGGCCGCACCAUCUUCUCCAGGAUUGACUUAAUCUUUAUAUUCGACAUUUCGGCCUGACCAUUCAUCUGCGGAUGAUAGGGUAUGGAUACUUUGUAGAGUACGUCAUACUUACAGAACAAAACAGUGAUCGUUUUAUUGCAAAAAUGAGUGUCCCUGUCACUCACUACAGCUCUCGGCAUUUCAAAGCGGACAAAAAUGUUAGAUUUUAUGAAUUCUGCAACCACUCUCGAAUCAUUAGUCCAGGUGACCUUUUUCUCCACCCAUUUGAAAACAUAAUCGACAGCAAGUAAAAUGUACAAGAAAUCAAAAGACGAGGGAAAGGGACCCAUGAAAUCUAUACCCCAAACAUCGAAAAUUUCAACAAACAAUAUGGAAUCGUUUGAUCUCUACGAGAAACAUUCCUUACCCUUUGACACGUAUCACAAGAUUUACAAAAUAAAUAUGCAUCCUUAAAAAGAGUAGGCCAAUAAAAAUCACUCUCCAACACCUUAUGAACUGUUCGCUUUGGCCCAAAGUGCCCUCCACAUGCAAAUGAAUGACAAAAAGUUAAAAUAGAAUAGAACUCACAUGUACUUACACACCUUCUUAUCACUUGAUCCGAGCAUUACCUCCACAGCUAAAGGUCAUCCCAAAUAUAGUGUUUGGCAUCACUUCUCAAUUUAUCUCUUUUAGUCUUUGGCCAACCUGCGGGGAAUUGAUUCGUUACCAAAAAAUUGACAACAUCAACAUACCAAGGUACCGACGAAUCAAUGACUAGUAACUGCUUCUCGGGAAACGAUUCUCUCAAUGGCAAAUCCUCCUUAUUCGUAAGCAAACGGCUUAAAUGAUCAGCCACCAUGUUCUCAAUCCCACUCUUGUCCUUAAUCUCUAAGUCGAACUCUUAUAGAAGCAAAAUCCACUGUAUGAGCCUAGGUUUUGCGUCCUUCUUCGCUAACAAAUACCUCAAGGCAGCAUGAUCAGAGAAAAUAAUUACUUUUGCAUCCAAUAAAUAUGACCUAAAUUUUUCUAGUACAAAAAUAACGGCUAGUAAUUCUUUCUCUAUCGUGGAGUAGUUAAGUUGAGCUCCACUCAAUGCUCUCGACGCAUAGUAAAUCGCGUGCGCCGCCUUACCAAUUCUUUUCCCCAGCACUGCUCCUACGGCAUAAUCACUUGCAUCGCACAUUAUUUCAAAUGGCAGGCUCCAAUCUGGGGGUUGAAUGACGGCCGACGAUGUCAAUGACUCUUUCAAUUUAUCAAAAGCCACCUUACAUUCAUUGGUAAAAUCCAAUGUCACGUCUUUUUGCAGCAACUUGAACAAGGGUGCUUCGAUCUUUGAGAAAUCCUUGAUAAACCUCCUAUAGAACCGUGCAUGGCCCAAAAAGGAAUGUACUUCCCACACACAUAUGGGAAAAGGCAAAGCAGAAAUAAGAUCUACUUUUGCUUUAUCUACCUCUAUUCCCUUAACCAACACAACGUGCCCUAAGACAAUACUAUGUUCUACCAUAAAGUGGCAUUUUUUUUAGUUAAGAACUAAGUUCGUCUCUAUGCACCUUUUCAAAAUUAGAGCUAAAUUAUCGAGACAUUCAUCAAAACUAUCCCCGUAUACACUGAAAUCAUUCAUGAACAUCUCAAUAAUCUUUUUUACGUAUUCGGAGAAGAUACUUACCAUGCACCUUUGGAAGGUUGCUAGAGCAUUGCAGAAGCCGAAAGGCAUCCUUCGGUAGGCAAACGUACCAAAUGGCAGGUGAAUGUGAUUUUCUCCUGGUCCUCCGGUGCUAUCGCGAACUGGAAGUACCCUGAAAAACUAUCAAGAAAAUAGUAAUAAACACGACCAGCCAACCUCUCUAUCAUCUGAUCAAUAAAAGGGAGAGGGAAGUGGUCCUUUUUUGUUAUGGCAUUCAGUCGCCGGUAGUCGAUGCACUAGCGCCAUCCCGUGGCUUCCUAACCGGAACCAUCCCACUUUCAUGGUUCUCUUCUACAGUACUUCUGCCUUUUUCGGGACUACUUGAAUUGGGCUUACCUACGGGCUGUUCGAGAUAGCAAAGAUAAUCUCCAUCUCUAGGAGUUUAACUAUCUUCUUUUUUACUACCUCCAUCAUCAGUGGAUUCAAUCUCCGCUGCGCCUGUCUUAUCGGUUUCGCAUCAUCUUCGAGUCGUAUCCGGUGCAUGCACAAGGACGAACUUAUUCCUUUAAUGUCUGCUAUACUCCACUCAAUCACCUCCUUAUAAUCCCUAAGGAUUCGCACCAGUUUGUCCUCUUGACUUGGAGAUAAAUGUGCAGGAAUGAUCACCGGAAGCGUCUCUCGGUCUCUCAAAAUGCGUACUUUAGAUGUUUCGAGAGAGGCUUAAACUCUAAUUCCGGUGCUUGCAUAACUGAAAGCAACAAUUUUGUCUGCAUUUCUGGCACAAAAAGAGAGGUAAGCUCUUAUCUUGGAGAAAUGGUUGGAAGUGAAUGUAAUGCUUCAACUGCACGGUGCAACUCAUCUUUCAUGUCCACAUUAAGAGUUACACCCAAUUCAAGAGAUUUGGUCAAGGCCACUUCUAAUGCGUUUUCACCAUCCAAUUCGAAAGUUUCUUGUACAAUGGGCUCAAUAACACUCAAGGCAAAGACUGAGUUAGAUUCUUUCGGAUACUUCAUCGCCUCAAAAUAUUGAAAUUUAUAAUUUCGCCAUCAAAUUUUAUUGAUAAAGUACCCUCAUUCACAUCUAUUUUAGUCCUAACAGUGCCAAGAAACGGUCUACCUAACAAGAUAGGUGACGGAUUUAACGAUCUUUCAUCUCCCAUAUCUAGGAUAUAAAAAUCUGCUGAAAAAACUAACUCAUUUACCUGAAUCAAGACAUCCUCAACUAACCCCUCUGGAUAAGCAUUGGUGAUGUCAGGUAGUUGGAUUAUGAUGGCUAUUUCUUUUAGUGGCCCAAGAUUUAGAGAAGCAUAAAUGAUUUUUGGCAUCACGUUGACUGAAGCCCAACAUUGCUUUUCUAAUCGAUGUAUUUCUUAUUUUUCAUGGGAUCAUGAACAUACCUGGAUCCCCACACUUAGGUUGGAGCUUUUUUUGGAGAAUAGCUGAUACAUUUUCUUCCACCGCUACUCUUUCAUCCCCUCUCAGUUUCUUCUUAUGAGUAUAUAAAUCCUUGAGAAAUUUGGCGUACUUUGGCACUUGCUUAAUUGCCUCCAACAAUGGGAUGUUGAUCUCUACUUUUCGAAAUAUGUCUAGGAUUUCUUUUUCCUUCUCUGCCUUCUUCGUCUUUUUCAACCUGCAUGAAAAAGGAGAUAAAUUAGAUUUAAUGGGAAUUGAUGCAGUAAGAGUUAUCUCAGGGUUUCCACGAAUGUGUCAUUCUUCAAUCUCCUUUUCGAUCUCUUUUUCACUUUUACUCUUUAGAUUCGUAGCCUUAGGCUCUUCCACUUCCUUACCACUCCUCAGUGUCAUGACACUCACAAUUUUAGGACUUGUCUCGGGUUACGAUGGCAAUUUUUCAAAAACUUGAGACUCUUAGCGAUUAAUUGCAGUUGCCAUGUGGCUUAUUUGAGUCUUUCCUGCUGGAAUUGAGCAGUACUCGUGGCCAGACUCUUGAUAAUAUCCUCCAAAGAACUUCCCGCAUUAGAGGGCGAAGGUUGAGGCUUUGGUUAUCAUGGUUGCUGAAAUCCUGGUGGAUGAUUUGAGAAUGAAUUAUGUGCCCUGUUCCCAUAGUUGAAGUUGGGGUGGUCUCUCCAAUCCGGAUUGUACGUGUUCGAGUAUGGAUCGUACUGCCUACGAGGCGUGGGCAUGCCUCCAGCCAUGUUAACUUUUUCAGCCCCAUCCUCUUACAAAAUAGGGCAUGAGUCAGUGGGGUGGUCCACGUUUGUGCAAAUUCCACAGGCCUUUACUUGAUGCACGCUCCCCACAGCUAAUUGCUGAACAAAAGAUGUUAGCUCCGAGAGCUGCUGCUGAAUGGACGACAUCUCUACCUCGUUAACCCUACAGGUAAGGUUACUCUUGCGGAAGCCAAACUGUUGAGAAUUUUCUGUCAUAACUUCAAUAAGCAACCAUGUUUCUCUCGGUGUCUUAUUUGCCAGUGCUUUCCCACUCGCAACAUCAAUGAUACUUCUGUCAGAUGAUUGAAGUCCCUCAUAGAAGUAUUUGAUCAAUAGUUGCUCAUUAAUUUGAUGCUAUGGGCAUCUAGUGCACAACUUAUUGAACCUUUCCCAAUAAUCAUAUAGAAAUUCUCCGGGAUACUGCUUAAUGCUGCAUAUCUCUUUUCUCAGACUUGCAGCUCGGGAUGCAGGGAAAAAUUUUUCCAAGAAUUUCUUUUUCAGCUGGACCCAUGUUGUGAUACUAAUUGCAGAUAGGUAGUAUAACCAAUACUUCGCUGCAUCCUUGAGAGAGAAAGGGAAUGCUCUAAGUUUGAUCUGUUCUUCAGUAAUCCCUGGAGGUUUCAUACUAGAACAUACCACAUCGAACUCCUGGAUGUGUUUAUGGGGUUCCUCACCCGAGAGGCCAUGGAAUGUGGGUAAGAGGUGAAUUAAUCUGGACUUCAAUUCGAAGGAGGUAUUCUCAACUAGAGUUGGAAAUGUAAUGCACAACGGCUGCUGGGUCAAUUCCGGAGCAGCCAACUCCCUUAGUAGUCUUGCAUUCGCCAUAGGGAUGUUUUUUUGGCUUGGAUCACUUGAAUUUUCACCACUCGAAUCUGUUGACUCGACCUCUGGAUCCAGUCUCUGAGAUGCAAUGCUAGUUGUUCCUCUCUGAGCUGUCUAAUCUCUUUCCUAGUUCAGCGUGCAGUCUUCUCUACUUCCGGAUCGAAAAUCAAUUCACAUGUACGAGAAGAACGAGACAUAAAUUAGAAAAAUACCAGACAAAUCCAACGAAAAUAACUUAGAAAGAAACAAAUUAACCAAAAUACUGUUCCCCGGCAACGGCGCUAAAAAUUGACAGGUGUCGAACCUGUGCAAUAAUAAUAAUAAAACCUAACUACCACCAAAAGCAGUCAAUAAUCAAUUCUAAGUACUGGAGUAGGGACUCUAGGUGUGCAAUGGGUUACUUGAUUCACCCUGUUCCCGAAGAGUUUGUUUAAUCCGAUAUACCAGAAUUAAUUAUUUGACUAAAUUCACUAACUAGUAGACAGUGGCAAGUAGGGUCGAUUUCACAGGGAAUGGGUAGGAAGUUGUUUCUUCCCAAAUCAAUAAAAUGAAAGUGGGAGAUAUUUAAUGGAAUAAAAAAUAAAAAUAAAAUAAACAAAACUCAAAAGCUAACUCACCAAGUACGAUUUACUAAAAAUAGCAAUUAGUAAAGUUCUACCCAAAGGAUCAACUUUUCAGGUACGGUCCAAUUAAAUGAUCAUCGAUGCAAAGAUAUUUCAUUCAUUCGUCACUAAGUUGGUUAUAGCUAUCAACAAGCUCUAACAGCCAAUUUUUUCUUACUUUCUUGAUAGCCAAGGUACGACCGUUGACUGCUUCUCUAACAAGAAAAUAACUCUAGGUACGACAGUAAGAGUUUAAUUAUCCAGUUGCAUUAAAAUUAGAAAAAUCCAACUCUAACUAAUAAACAUGCUAAGAGGGUUUAUUUAAACUAGAUCUUAUAAUUUUUCAACAUAAAGCCAAUUAUGAUGGUUGUCACUAGUUGUUGACUAAACGAACAAUUACGGAUUUAAUUUAGUUGACGUGACAGUAGGCUAUUAGAUUAAAUCAAAUAUCCGGCUGUUGAUACUCAAUUAAUAAAAUACCCAUAAAUAGUUAAUCCAGGAAACACACGAAUAGUAACGGAUUGGACGAAAUAGUGAAAGUUCGAUUAGAUCUUACAGAUGUGAUGGACCGCGCCUUCGCAUCUACCUUUGGUAGAGGAGAAACCUAACCGCUCCUCAUCAUAUCAAUCUCGCGUGGGUUGAUUGUUAUCAUCCACUUAAUUACCGCAGAAUUGGGAAAGAUGAAAAUAAUGAAGGAGACAAACGAAAAGUCUUGCUUCUCUUUGGGUUUCGUGUUCGUACUAGAGAAAAACUGAAGCAAAGGUCUAAUGAAAAUCGUACGAAACAAAGGCGGACAGAGCAAAAUUGUCUACAGGGAAAACUAAAGGUAAUCUAUCGAUCACACGUAAAUCUGGCUUUUCUCCUAUUCACCGCAGAUUGCCGCCGUUGAAAAAAUCAAAGUUCAAAAGCUUUUUUGUAGCCUUAAGACCCUUGGUCUCCUUUUCUCUUUUUGGACCAUGUGAGUUUGGCUUUGUCAAAAUCUCCCAAAGUAGCCAUUGAAAAGAAAGAAAACGUUAGACCCUCUACUUUCUCUAGGAAUAGAGUUUUUAUCCCCUGCACCUCCGCGGCCCACGAGCCUAGUGAUUUCCUAAUUGCCCACUUUUUCUACCAAUCUCGCGGGUCCAUCUUUUAGGUGUAUCUCCUCAGUUUUUGGCGUAGGCACGCCAUGAAAUAAAGAGUCUUCUGAAAAUUUGCCUCGAGAGAGUACUUUUGAGAACAACCACCUACAAUUUACACAAAUAUCAAAUAUGAGCAAAAUCUCAACACUUAGCACAAUAAGUAACCAAAAUUAUGACCAAAUAACAGCGCAAAUGGUGCCCAAUAAUUGCUCUAUCAUAUUUAUAUGAGAAUCUCCGAAGGAUUCAACAUACCUGAAGUAUGUAAAUCAAAUUCUAAAGAUAUUUAUUCUAUUAAAUUACAAAGGUCUUUAUAUGUGAUAAAACAAUUUUGAUGUAUGUGGUUUAACCGUCUCAGUGAAUGUUUAACUAAAGAAGGUAAUAUCAAUGAUCUGAUAUGUUCGUGUGUUUUUAUCAUGAAAAAUGGGUCAAAUUUUGUGAUUAUUGCUGUAUAUGUUGAUGAUCUUAAUCUAAUUGAAACUCCUAAAGAGAUCCAAAUUACUGUUGAAUAUUUAAAAAAAAAGAAUUUGAAAGGAAAGGCAAAAUUUUGCCUUGAUUUAUAAAUUGAGCAUUUGAAAGGUGAAAUUUGUAUCCACCAAACUGCUUAUAUUCAGAAGAUAUUAAAGCGAUUUUAUAUGGAUAAAACACAUACAUUAAGUACUCCAACGAUCGUCAGAUCAUUAGAUCCUAAUAAGGAUCUUUUUAGAUUGCGAGAGGAAAAUGAAGAGAUAUUUGAUCCUGAAGUACCAUAUCUCAGUGCAAUUAAUGAACUAAUGUAUCUUACUAAUUAUACAAGACCUGAUAUAUCAUUUGCAAUGAAUUUAUUAGCAAGAUUUAGUUUCUCGCUUACAAGACGACAUUGGAAUGGUAUUAAACAUAUUUUUCGCUAUCUCCAAGGAACAAUUGAUCUUGGUUUAUUUUAUUUAAAUAAAUCCAAACCUGAAUUGCUUGGUUAUGCUGAUGUUGGAUAUUUAUCUGACCCGUAUAAAGCAAGAUUUCAGACUGGUUACCUAUUUACAUGUGACGGUACAACUGUUUCUUAGCGAUCUACAAAGCAAUUAUUAACCGCCAUCUUAUCAAAUCAUGUUGAAAUAAUAGCAAUUCAUGAUGCCAGUCAAGAAUGUGUUUCGUUAAGAUUAAUGACCCACUACAUUCGGAAGAGUUGUGGGUUAUCCUCCGAGAAAGAAAAUCCUCCAACUAUAUUAUAUGAAAAUAAUGCAGCUUGUAUAGUUCAAUUGAAAUAAAGAUAUAUUAAAGAAGAUAGGAUGAAACAUAUUUCACCAAAAUUUUUCUUUACUCAUAUUUGCAAAAGAAUGGUGAAAUUGAUGUGCAGCAAAUCCAGUCAGAUAAUAAUUUGGCAGAUUUAUCUAUCAAGGCAUUACCGACUGCAACAUUUGAGAAAUUGGUGAAGAAUAUUGGAAUACGUCGGCUAAAAGAUCUCAAAUAAUAUUUACAUCAGGGAGAGAAAUUAAUAUGCAAAAAUAGUGUACUCUUUUUCCUUCAUUAGGAUUUUUGUCCCACUGGAUUUUUCCCUAAUAAGAUUUUAACAAGACAUAUUCUUUGUGUAAUGGAUAUGCAAAGGGAAGUGUUAUAAAACAAAAAGAUAGAUGUCCAUUUGUAUUUUGAAAAAAAUUAAUUCAUGGUUCAUUAGAUGAACCAUUUCAGGAGUUAUAUUGGAUGAACCGUUUCAGAGCUAUUCAUAUACUUGAAGUAUUAAAUGUAUGAAUGAAUAGAAUUCAUGUACCUUUGAGUUUGUACUACAUAUAUAUAGAUAGAGGUACUCUAGCACUUUUUAGGAUGACUUUUGAUCAGUCGGAAUAAUAGAAAAUAGUCCUUUAUUCUCUCUACUUCUUUCUUUAAUAUUUCAAUCCCUAUUAUAGUAAUUUAUUUUAUUAGUUUUACAACAAAAAUGAUGUAAACUUCGAUAGCUAAUCGACAAGGAUCCACGGACGAAUCCAAGCUAGACAGCCAUGGAUCCGCCUUGUGAAUCCAUUACUCCAUCUUCUGCAUGGAAUCUCACAUGAGAAUGCAACUGUGGAUUCGAGGCCCGAAUUGCAUUCAAAAGUGAAUACCACUUCCUUUUUCCCUUCGUCAACAAGAGAGCAUCCACAAUAAUAAUAAUUGUCCUCCUAAAAAUAAAUAAGUAAGAACAAUAAAACUAUAGAAAAUAUCCUUUCUAAGAACUUUAAAUUAAACAUAUAUUGAUGCAGACAAGGAAUAUGAGAAUUCAAAUAUCCUCGUUUUGUAUCAAGUUCUAUCACUUACAAAGAACUCGUCCUUGAGUUCCACGAAAGAACUUGACACAAAAACCACAUGAAGACAUAGCAACAAAUCUUCUAUGAAUCUUGUAGGGACGAUGCUUGUGAUGGAACCUGAGUACCCAAUUAUGAACAUAGAAAACUUCUUGCAAUCCUAGGACUUGUAUGAAGAGUUCAAAUGCUACAAUUUCUCCAUUUGCUUGUGUCAAUACAAAUUUUAUGAUUUUUCUUCGAUUGAUAAGGAAUUCAACUUUCUUGGUCUUCACAGGAAAAUAAUCUUCAAUUGGAGAAAAUUUGUUACAAAUAAUUUCCUUACCAAAAUAAAAAUUCUUGCUAUCCGGGACAACAAUUGGCUUUAUUGAUUUAACUGAAAACUUACCAAAACUAGAACUGAACAUUGUUUUAUUAUAUGUAUGUAUGUAUGCAUGCAUGCAUGUAAGAUUUCAACUGUUUUGAGCAUGGUGCGAGACACGUUAGGAGAAUUUAUCAUUUUUUGAGAGACAAUAAUAUAAUCUCAUCAGUACUUUUUCGAUGCAACAAAUAAACAAUCAUUUACUUUAUAAAUCAACUAAUUAAACAUGUGUUCAUCUGUCACUUUAGAGUUACCUUGCCGCAUGAGGCAUUGUGCAUUCCAAAGAUGGAUAUGAUCACUAGAAUUAGCGUAACCUCCCGACCCCAUUGAGUUGGUCCAAUAAAUUUUGAGAUGAAAUCAUGGGUUUAAAAUUGUUAACCCAAAAUUAUUAAUAACCCAAUAUGGCGAACGUUAUAUUUCGUUUUCUUCUCAUUUACUAUCCCCAUGUGGGACAUUUCACUCACCCCACUUUUAGAACUUCGCGCCCUCGCAAAACCCGUUACAAUCCAAAUUAUCCACUUGGUCAUGUAUGAAUUUUAGAGAUGGCUCGCACAAGAUCUAGAGGUAAUUCUUAUCAAGCGCGACACUUAGUUCCGUAGAUUCUAAAUGUGAUUACUGUCGAACAUGGCAACUUAAUCCUACACAACACUUAACUUCUUGCACUUUCUUGCAUAGUUGGAAUCAUAAUGCCAUUGAAUCCCAAUCUCAUUUCAGACAAAAACCAUACGAAAUUUGCUUUGAUACUAUUUUGUAACGUCCCAACCCCACUGGAUUGGCCCAAUAACUUUUUGAUUUGAAACCAUGAUUCAAAAUAAUUAAUCUAAAGUUAUUAGUUACCCAACGAAUCGGACGUUAUAUUUCCUUUCCUUCUCCUUUACCAUCCCAAUGUGGGAUAUUUCACUCUCCCCCUCCUUUACUUAUAUUUUCAUACUAAAUUUGAUAAACAAUACUUUCUAUUCUUAAGCUAUACCUUAAGUCACAAUAAGCAAUUCAUACCUAAUGUUUUUACAAAAUCUCUAAACCUUUUCUCUGAUACCACUAAAUGUCAUGCCCCAAUUUCGAUUACCACAUUUAAAAAAUAUUUAACUUAUAACUUGAAGGGCGGCAUCGGCAUACCCUCUCAAGAGGAUACGAGCUGUCUAUCGAACUUAUAAAUACAAACUAAAUAAUUACAUAAACCACAAUAUAAGCUACAAAAUGUCCACUUUUAAAAAAUCACUCAUGCUUACGGUGGGAAGACUUAGUUGCACUACAAGGUAACUUAUGGAGAUGGUGGGAAGCUGUGAUGCAAGUAGCAAAGGAAACACAAGGAGUAGAUAGGAUCAGGCUUACGAUGAACCUUUUAUGGCAGAUUUGGAAAGCGAAAAACAAGUUAACAUUCCAGUGUGAGGUAGUGGAUGCAAAAGAAAUAAUUGACAAGGCACAGCAGGAAUGGAUAGAGUACGAUGCAGCAAAUGAAUCAGACACAAGAACAACUUCAGCUCUUGAAAUGGAACGACAGGUCCAGCAGCGGUGGGAGCCUCCCAAGGAAGGAACAAUGAUGAUCAACACAGACGCAGCAAUUUCAGCUAAAAUGGUCAGAUCAGGUUUGGGGAUCAUUGCAAGGAACUGGCGCGGGGUGAUAGUGAAAGCGAAGGGAAUUACUGACAGGAGGAAAGGGGAUGCAGCCACAGAGGAAACUCCAGCAAUCAGAAGUGCACUGGAAAUGGCUCAAGGUGCAGGAUGGACAAACAUAGAAGUCCAAUCUGACUGCAAGUACGUUGUGAGCCUCAUCAAUACCGACAAUGUCCAGGAAGGUAGACUCCAAACUCUCCUGGAAGACAUUGAUGUCGUGAAGAAAAGAUUUGAAAGUUGCAAUUUCUCUUUUGUCCCCAGAACUGCUAAUAGUUGUAGCCAUGAGUUGGCACAAUUUGCAGUCAAGGCAACUAGAAAUUUUGAAUAGGAAGGUUCAUUCCCAGCUUGGCUUUCAGCAUUAGCUAGAAAAGAUAUGGGGGUAGUUACCCCUUUUUGUAAUUAGCCCUUGUACUAUCAAGUGUUAAUAUCUAUAAAAAUGUUAUCGUUUGUCAAAAAAAUAAAAAAUAAAAAAUCACUCAUGCAACACUUUGAACUAAACUCACAAACAUCUAUACAUUACUAGAGUUCAAUAGCUAUAUAGGUUACAUUUUAGCAAUUUAACUCUUAGAACAUAUAGGCUGUCACAAAAACUAUUCUUCAAGUUCACAUAGACUUGAUUCACAUCUAUGGAAGAGUAAAUAAGUGGAACGAAUAUCUACUUGCCCAAUAAAUAGUCCAAUAAUAUCUCUACUAGUUCGAGCAUAUUUAAUAAGAUAUAUAACAUUUAAUAAAGUCACUUCACAUAAUUCAAUCAUAAUUUAAUAUUUUACAUGCUUACGCACACACACAUAUACACAUACACACACACAUACACAAUGCAUGUCUGUGCAUAAAUCCAUAUUUCUUUAAUCUUUAAUUAUGAUAUGUGGAAUCUUUUUUUCUUUUUUUUUCCACUUUGCCUUCAUCUAAAGAAUAUGUUAUGGUCACUUAAUAACCAUAAUAGAGCCAUUACCUACUAUCAUAUCCCAUGGUAGGGCCAUACUAACAUUUAAACAUAGCAAUUUUAGAGCCUUUUCUUGUCCUUUACUUAUUUAAAGGAGAAGGAGAAGAAAUAUAAUGUCUGACCCAUUUGAUUACUAAUAACUUUGAGUUAACCAUUUUGAACUCAUGAUUUUAACUUGAAAAAUUAUUGGACCAGUCUAGUGGGGUCAUGAUGUUACAAAACGGUAUCAGAGCAAUUCUCGCAGAUUCAAAGUAAUUCUCACGUGAUCUCUGCAUGGAGUGAGUUUGGUGCCAAAUGGCAUUAUGAUUUGACUUACGCAAGAGAGUGCAAGAAACAAAGUACUGUGUAGAGUUAAGUGCAAUGUUCAACGAGAGCCUUUGAAACCUACAGGACUAAGUGUCAUGUUAGAUGGAAGCCACUUCUAGAAUUCGUAUGAACCACCUCUAAAAUUCACGCAUGAUUAGGUGGACAGUUUAGGUUGUAAAGAACAUUCCGAGGACGCAAAGUUAAAGUGAAAUGUCCCACAUCGGGACAGUAAAGAGAAGGGAAGGAAAUACAACGACCAGCCCAUUGAAUUACUAAUAACUUUGAAUUAACUAUUUUGACCUUGUGUUUUCAGCUCAAAAAGUUGUUGGCAGUCUAGUGGCAUUGGAACGUUACAAUUAAACUAAUCUUUAUUUAAUUAACCAAUGAUUACCAGAAACCCAUAGAUAUGAUAAGACCAAAAAAAAGGACAAAUGCAUCUGCAAGAUAUACAUUUCAAGAUCGGGAUAAUUUCAGAAACUUCAAGGGAGGUUUCUAACUAUUUCAUUGGCUUCUCUCCAGGUUUCAAAAAUUACACUAACCUCCUUUGAGGUUAAUUAUCUUGUAAGAUUUAGGCCCAACCAAUAAUUAAAAAUGAUAUUAGGAAAAAAAUAAUUUGAUUCCACCAUUGCCCGCAUCUACUACAUUAUUUAGUUACUUUAAUACCAAUCCACACAUUACAAAAAAAAACACUAAAAUUUGCUAUUUAUAAUUAGGGAUCAAAUCACAUAGAAUAGCAAAAAAUAGUAUGUCAUUUUAUAUUUUUCAUUUAAUGCAAUAUCCAAAUUAUUCUUUUCAAUUACAUACCCAAAAUCAAACAUGAUCAACAAUAAAUAAUCAAAAAAUUUGCAACCAAAAUAUUAGAUAGACUAAACUUUAACAUUAUAAAUAUUCUUGUUAACAUAUUAAGAUUAGUUGUUGAGAUUUUUAUGGUAUUAAAAUUCGCUUUUUCUAAUUUUUUGGUUACAGAAUUUUUUGAUUAUUUGUUGUUAAUCAUAAGUUGAAAAGAGUAAUUUGGAUCUUAUAUUAAAUGAAUUAGAUAAAAUAAUAUACUAUUUUUUAAUAUCAUAUGUGAUUUGAUUCCUAAUAAUAAAUAGCAAAUUCUAGUGUCUUCUUUAAUAUUUAGAUUGGUAUUAGAUUAACUAAACAACAUAGUAGAUGAAAGGCAAUGGAGGAAUCAUAUUACCUUUUCUCUUCUAAUAUCACUUAAUGUUACAAGGUAAUAAAUCUCAAGGAAUGUUAGUGUAAUUUUCAAAAUUUGGAGGGAGAUCAGUGAAAUAAUCAGAAACCUCAGGGUCUUAAAUCAAUUUAAAGAUUUUUUUAGAAUGGUGUGUUACACGAUAGGAGAUUUUGUAAAUGCUUGACAGCCAAAAAUAGCUAUAUCUACUAAAAGGACAUAGUUAGGUAAAAAGUAAUUGCCCAAUUGAAGAACAUGGUGAAUUAAACAAUUGAAAGAAAUUGACUUUUUAAAGGCUCUCCUACCUCCAUUUGUACUAGCGAGUGCUUAUAAAAUUAUCAGUCUCAAUUUUAUUGUGCAGUGUAGGGACUGACAAAAUAGAUGUAAACACCAACAUAAUAAAAGUAACCACUCAUAUAAUGAUAUGUAAAAAUAUAACAAAUUUUAAGACACAAAUUUCAAUUGAUAAGAAAAUUUAUUGUGUUUUUACUUGUUAUUCUCUUAGCACGGUGUGCGACACGUUUGGGGUGCCUGACAAAACCGGCAAUGGUCCUACGGUUGUCGGGGCAGCACUGAAAUACUGGAAAACCGGUAAUUGCUUAUGCACUGGAAAAGCACUAAUGGUACCAAGGUUGUGGGGGCGGUGCUAAACUAAUUGCAAAGAGCCAAAUUUUCGUACGUCAUGAAUGUCCUCAAAAGGGGGCCAGAGUCAACCUCAUCUUGAUCACCUUCCAGCUCCGUAAAGACGCAUAAUGCAGCCAGAUCAAUUUCAAGCAGUGGUAUCAUAGUAUUCUUAGUUGGUUAAUUAAUUACGAGUGCUUUAUGUAGCAGUAGCAUUGUGGAGAUCCUUAAUUGAAAUUGCAAAAUAAGUUUAAUAUCAAAUUGAUUAAAAUUAAAAAUUAGAUCGACAAUCAAUAAAAAAGUUUAGAAACAAAAUUGGUCCAACAAAGAAGUUAGCUUGUUAGAAAGAAUUUACUCUCUUAAACAAUCCAUGGGUUACAUCUUGACGUAACUACAGAAUCCAUUUUUGACAAGUUUUCGCAUCAGGCUUAACUCUUGGGUACCACUUGUCAGCAUCACAAUAACUGCAGUAGGUUCAUUCAUUUCACAAAUCAUUAAUAUAUUCUCUGCUUUUAUAAACUUUCAACUUGAAUGUUAUAGAUGACUUAUUACUGCUUAGUUCUAAUAUAUUUGCAAAGUUCAUUUAAAUAAUUAACUUAUGGAGAGUACAAAGUACAAACAAUCGACACAAAUUUUUAGUAGUAUUAAAUUUUUUAUGGUAAACACAGUAAAAAUCUUACGUCUACCAAAGGAAAAAAAAAAAGAUCCUUUACAUUGAAAUUGAUGCUCAUACCAUGUCUUCUGGAAUUGCUACUCAUACCAUUUAAAGCAAGAUAUUGUCGGCAACAAAAUAAGGUCCUUGAAUCACAUAUCUUCCCUUCACAUAUCUUGAUAUAACUAUUAGCAGACCUAGUGGAGCGUAUUGCUUCAAAGGUCAAGGUACAUCUUUUCAGGUUGUGACGCGUCAUAGUUGUUGCAUUUUUAUUAAUAUAUGUAGAAACUCUAGACCUGAUGACUAGGCCUGUCAACGGGUUGGAAUUUAUUAUUCUGGAUUUGGAUCGGCAUACUAUAUCGGAUUCAGAUCCGAUCCGUUUACCUGACGGGUCUUCCACUCUAUGUUCCGGAUUCGAAUCUGAAUCCGAAUCCGACGGGUCCUGGAUCCGGGUCGGGUUUACCCGAUAAAAACUAUCAAAACUUACAAUUUCUAACAAAAAUGAGAAAAAAAUAUAUUUGUAAACUAAUUUCUAACUAAUACAAAAAAAAAACCAAAUAAGAAAAGAAAUCAAAUUGAUCUUACUCAUAUACAUCACCCUAAUCAAAUUAUAUUGAUAAAUAUAUAUAUUUUAAAUUAUUAAUUCAUUUAUAUCCGCAUCCGGGUCGUAUACGGGUCGAAAUACUAUAUUCCGUAUUCGAUCCAUUUUUGUCUGACAAAACAAAUUCGAAUCCGGGUCCGAGUCCGGAUCCGGAUAACUGAAUUAAAUCCCUACCCGUAUCCGGAAUAAUUUGACGGAUCCGGUCCGGGUUCGGGUCGUUGACAGGCCUACUGAUGACCAAUAGUUUCGAGGGCCAAGUUUAUAUAUAUAUAUAUAUAUAUAUAUAUAUAUGUCUAAUGUGGAGGUUCAACCUUGCAGCAUUAUAAUCUGCUACAACGCAGACGGCUUCGAAGGUAGUACGCCCUGUUGCGUACAGAAAUUGUUUGGUUUGGUUCCUCCUACAAUUGCAAUUUAAUUGACAUCCUGAGACCCUAUGCCGAUUCCGUUUAGUUCCACAGUGCUACCAUUGUACUCUCCCCUAGCAAAGUGAAUACUAUGCCGGAGUCUCUGUGGUGGUGCCAGCCGUGCUUAUUAUGCACUAUAUUUUGCGGUCAUUUUAGAAGUUUUACUCGUAUUUUGUUCCGUAUUUUGUUUGAGUGUGGUGAUUAAAUGUUAGAACUUUUGCUUCCUAGUACUCAUUAGAUUUGUUGAUUUUGUAGGUGAAAGGUUUGAAAGGAAUUUGGUUGCCAAGACAAGUGACGAGCAUCUCCACUUUGAAAUUCAUGGUCGUAUACUGUCAAAUUUGUGAACACCGUCUUCAAUUGUGCCAAGAUUGCUAUUAAAAGCACGCAAAGAAUUUGGUGGGAUGCUAUAGCUAAACCUUUUGCCAUUGUUUUGUUACAGAGAAAACGAAGCAAAGGAGAAGAAAGAAGGAAACAAGUUGAUGUCAUGUGAAGUAUAAAGCUGAUGAGGAGAACGAUUUAUGGCGGCCCCCUUUUGAAACUUUCAUGGGUGCAAAAAUUUAAUUCUUUGCAAUUAUUUUACAAUCACCCACGGAUAAUAAUUUUAAUUUUGACUAGGACAUGUCAUCCAUCUUUAUCCAAUGAAACAUGUUCGAAAAUUUUAAUCAUUAAAGGCCUAAAACUUAUGUAUAACCCCUCAUGAUUUGAAUCAUAUGCAUAUAUAAUAAAGUCGUAUUUUAAUACUUAUUUUAUAGUACUUCCUCUUUCAUACAUGGCACCCUAAUUGAGUGAGUUUUUGUAAUGCACUCUGUGAUAAAUUAUGUGCUCUUAUAUUUUAAUUAUUUUCUCUCUCUCUUCUCAAAACAAGUUGUUACACUUUAAUCUUACUUUCAUCAAAUUUUAGAUAGGCUUAUCUCUUUAAUGAGGCUUAUCUUUCCCACUUUAUUUUCAAAAUAUUUUCUCAUCCUAAUACUCUCAAUUAAACUUGGGAUAUCGAUUACCUUCCGUGCUUUUACUUCUACAUAAUGUGUAGUUGUAUACACAUGUUUUUUUUUUCUUCAUCAAUACCUUAGUUGUUUUUUUUCCUCUUUUUUUUCCUUGGAACUCCUAUGCUUUGUACAAUUUUUUUCUUCAUCAAUAGGCAAGUUUUUCUAUCUUUUCUUGGAACAUUUAGUUUUAACAAUUCUUUGAAUUAUUUUAUACCAAGUUUAUUCAUGAUAUAGGUAUCACAAAAAGGGUGAUGGGUAGGAAGGUGAACCUAAAGAAGUUUUAACAAUUGGGCAUUUGUACUCUUCAAAAAACCAUAUGACUCUUGAUAGUGAAAAUAGAAAGGGAUUAUAAUUUUAUGGUUGAUAGGCCGUUUGUGUUCAUAAGUCAAGAAUAUUGUUGUAACAUUUACAAGAUUGUAGCUUUUACAAGUGAAACAUGGUAACAUAAUUUCGUGAUUGUUAUUCAUUAUCACAGUUUUUGCUUCUUAAUUGAUUUGUUAUUCACACAAUAAUUGGAACAGAUUGUAAAAGGACUUACAAUAAUUCUUAUACGUUGAUGUCUAUUUUGUUCAUAAUAUAGGCAUCACCGCAACUUUUUGUAACAAUUUUAACUGUUUUUUUUUUGUUUAAUAACAAUAUGAUGCUCAAGAUUUCAAAGCUUCUCCUUCAGGUUUUGGUUGAAUUAUUGCUUUUAUCCUAUAACCUGAAAGCUUUUGCCACAACCAACACUAACAGUCAAUCCCUUCUAUGUUGCUACUAACAACUGUAGACAUCAAAUUUGGAAGAUAAAGAAAAUGGAAUAAAUAUAAUUUGGUAGUAAUAAUUGAAUGAAUAACGGAAAAUGUACAGGAUAUAAUAGGGAUUGUAUAUCUGUUUAUAUUUUAUUAUUGUUUGAUGCUUGUUUUCGAUUUGUUUGGAAUAGGAGCUAUUAAUGAGAUUUCUUGGCCAUGGGACGCUACUAUUGGAAGAAAGGAAAUUUUGGAUAUACUAUUAAAGGAGAUUUGGUGGCCACCCAUUGUGGCCGUGUAAUACCCAUUACACAAAUUAUUCUGAUGAUGUGUGUAAUGGGUGGGCCAGCCAGAGUGUUCAACUUACUGACAAAAUUUUGCAACGUUCAUUUAUUGCAACGGUAAUGUUUUUGCAACGUUCAUUUUUUUCCAACGGUCAUAUUUUAAUUCCCUAUAUAAACACACAACACACUCUUUUUUUUUCAUAUCCCACUAUUCUACUCUAUUAUUUCUUUUACUCUCUCACUCAUUUUCCUCAAACUCUGUGCACAAUUUUUUUAAAAUUUCCAUAUUUUGUGAUUAUGGAUGAAAAUUUUAGUAUUUUUACAAAUAUGUUAAAUGCUCCAAAUAUAGAAAAUAUAUCAUCCUCACAAAAUCAAAACCCCCAAAAUUUUCCAAAUUACCCAUUUUCUGGUAUUCCUACAAAAGUGCAAAAUUAUACAUAUCCCCUAAAUUUAUCCACUUCCAAUCAUCCAUCAAAUUUCCAAAGUCAACCAAAUUUUUCAUAUCCAAUUCCCAUGUAUCCUCCACCUACUUAUUUUAAUCCAAAUAUGGAAAAUCACUACACAUCGGGGUAUUAUGACUUUGGUAUGGGUUGUGGAGGCUCAAAAACUCCGACGGAGAUAAGGAAGGAUUUUAAUUUUGCCGGCCAACAAGAAAAUGCUGCGUCAACGGAAUCAACGUCGGACUCUCAAUUUCCACCAUAUUCAACACAACGUGGAGUGGAUAACAUUACUCUCACCAAUGAGGCGAUGGAAGAAUGUGAUUAUAAACGCGUUCCAUGGAGUGUGGAUGAUGACAAGAUGCUUGCAAGUGCUUGGCUCACAAUUUCUAAUUGUAGCAUUGUGGGUAAUUCUCAAAAUGAUGAGAGUUUCUGGAAACGAGUCACAAACUACUUCAACGAGAAUCGGCAAUUUGGGCUGCCAAGAAAAUAUAAAGCUGUGAAAUCACAUUGGCACUGGUUGAGUCGAAUGGUCAAUGAAUUCAACCAAUACUACAACAAAUUGGUUGGAGAACAUCAUAGCGGAUGGAAUGAUGAUCAGAUCAAACAACAUGCACGAGAGCUUUUUCACCAGAAUAAGAAUAAGCAUUUUUUACAUGAACAUGUAUGGGUGUUGUUGAAAAAUUAUCCGAAAUGGAAAGCAAAUACUCCUAUGCAGCGUUCUUCAAAAAAGGUAAGAACUGAUGAAAGCGGGGCAUACACUUCUUCAUCCAAUGCAGAUUCAAGUUUCGACAUCGAUGACAGUGAAGUACGUGAAAUUCAUCCACUUGGUCAAAAAACAGCAAAGAAGGGAAAGAGAAAGGGAAAAUAAAAAAUGAAUGAACAAGAUAUGGGUGGAGAACUUAGUCAAAUCCGGAUCAUGUUGAAAGAGCACAAAGAAGAAAAAUUGCAAGCUAUGGAAAACUUAGCAAAUAAGUUAGACAAUUAUAAUUUCCGAAGUGAUUAUGAAAUCCUAUUGAAGGAUACCACAGGCAUGUCCGAGCAGCAGCUUAAAAUUCAUGAGCAUAUGUGUUCCAUCCUAAAAGCCAAGUAUAAUAUUUCUUAGUUUAGUUUUAAUUUCAUGGUUAGUAAUGUAAUUUUUUAAUUUUCCAUUUUGUAUUUGAGUGCUUAAUAAUUUGUUUGCAACAUGUACUUAUAAUGAAUUUUGCAUUUUACUAUUUUUAUUUUAAUAUUAAAACUAGCCGUUGGAAAACUAGCCGUUGGAAACUAGCACUAUAUAUAUAUUAGUAAGACUCCACACAUUGAAACCAUAAACUCAACACACUCCAAAAUGUCUCGAUAUCCUGAUCCCUCUCUUAUAGAAGAAGUAAAAAAAAUUUUAGCCGAUGAAAUGGAGGACGGCACAGAGGAUCAAAUUAUGAUGCUGUUGGAGCAGUGGCAAAUGCACCACACAUCUUCAAGUUCUAAUAUGCAUCCACGUAGUCGAAGAUAUUACGAUCGAGAGCAGGGUGUCGGGCAUGUCCGACUCUUUAAUGACUAUUUUGCCGACAAUCCAGUUUAUCCUUUACAUAUAUUCUACCUACGGUUUCGAAUGAGAAGAGAAUUAUUCCUUUGAAUUGUGGAGUCCAUUACAAAUCAUUCUGAGUUUUUUCAAAUGAGGGCUGAUGUAGCAGGCAAAAAGGGACUUUCUCCUCUUCAAAAAAUCACGGCAGCUAUCCGACAGUUAGCAUAUGGGGCACCAGCUAAUCAGUCGGACGAAUACAUAAGAAUGGGUGAAACCACUGCAAUCGAGUGUUAUUGUGCCGAUGUGUGAUCGAUAUUUAUGAGGCACAACACUCGAGAAGGCCUAAUGCUAAUGACGUUGAACGUUUACUUAAUUUGCAUUCCUAGCGGCAUGGCUUCACUGGCAUGCUUGGUAGCAUGCACUGGCAAUGGAGGAAUUGCACUGUGGCAUGGAAAGAUCAAUUUACUCGAGAUGAUGAAGGAUCUCCCACAAUAAUGCUAGAAGCAGUCGCAUCAGCAGAUUUAUGGAUAUGGCAUGCAUUUUUUGGCGUCGCGGGGUCUAACAAUGACAUCAAUGUGCUCAAUCAAUCUCCACUAUUUAACGACAUAUUGCAAGGAUACGCUCCUGAUGUUCAAUUUAUGGUAAAUGGCACCCAAUACAGUAAAGGGUAUUAUCUAGCAGAUGGCAUAUAUCCAGAAUGGGCAACAUUUGUUAAAAGUUUCACAUCUCCUAGAGAUCCAAAUAGGAUCAAGUUUAAGCAAAUGCAGGAGGCUGCAAGAACAGACGUUGGUGUGCUCCAAUCUCGUUGGGCUAUUGUACGUUGUCCUGCUCGAUUUUGGCAUAGAGCAAAACUGAAAGGUUUAAUGUACACAUGCAUCAUAUUGCACAAUAUGAUUGUCAAAGAUGAAGGAGAUGCAAUAAGAAACUGGGAUGCUGAUGAUGACGAUCCAACGAUUCCCGUGACUCAAGGUUUGGCCAAAAAUUUUCAAUAUUGCCUUCAGAGGAACGUGGAAUUACGUGAUCGAGAAGUACAUCAUCAACUUCGAUCAGACUUGGUCGAGCAUAUUUGGGAACGAUUCGGAGGCAAUAACAAUGAAAACUAGUAUUCAUUUUGUUAUUAUUUGUAUUUUAUUUGAUUUAAGUUAUGUAAUAUUAUGUUAUGGAGUUCAACUAAUUACUUAAAGAAUUAUUAAUUAAGUAUGGAUUAUUAUGAUAUCUUCGCAUUUGAGGUAUCACAUAUUUGUUUAAUGUUCUGCAUAAUUAUUUUUCAAAAAAUAACAAUAUAUUAUUUUUGAGAGAUAGAAAAAAAUAUAUUGUUCAAACUUAGAAAUUAAUAAUAUUAUUUUUAGAAGAUAAAAAAUUCAAAAGGUAAAAAAUUUAAUGCAAGUUAAUACUUUAUUUUUUAAAAAUAACAAAAUUAUUUUUAAAAAUUACUUUAUUUAUUUAUGGGAUGUGAGUUAUGCAUUAUUAAAAUAAAUGUUUGAUUUAAUUGUAGACCCAUGCUAUUACACCUUGUGGAGUGUAAUCCAUUGUGAGUGGAAGUGUAAUAAAAGAGGAGAAAGCGAAAUGCUGACGUAGCAUGUUGAUUACACUCUAAACAGUGUAAACCAUUGUGGAUGAUCUAAAGAGCAUCUUAAUACAUUGCUGGUUAAUAAAGGGAAAAAAUUCGUUGUAAUAAAAAGCAAGUAUUAAUGCAUAAAUAAAGUAAAAUAAAAUUUAUAGAAAAAGUGUAUAUUAUGUUUAGUGGCAAUUUCAGUUGGUUUAUACAGGUUUAACUGGUGCUAAAUAAAAUAAGUGAAGUGACUAACUUGGAAGUGACAAGUGAAGCAAAAAUCUUGAGUAUUGAAAGUAAUGCUGCAAAAAGAAAACACAAAACAUGCAAAAGAAAGUAUAUGUUACUACAGCAAGAUAUAAAUGCAUAGAUCUGUUGAAGUAAAAAGUAAGAAAAAUUAUAUUACUACAUGUGAGAAAACAAGAAAGUGAAGGUGAGAAUGAGAAUGAAAUAAAAUGGGAAGGAAAUAGAGCACAAUAAAGGUUGGUAGUGUAUGUAAGGGUGUGUAUUGUACUAUUCAAGAUUAGUUUGUUGAUAAUAAUUUCAUCUAAAAAGGUAGUUCAUGAAAGCUAAACUAAGCUAGUACUUUGUCUUUCAAUCUAAUGGUUACAAACACAUGGAGUACAAUUGAUAAUUCAUUAAAAGGUUGACUUUCUUGUGAAGGGCAACCUAAUGUUGCAGAAAAAUGUAAGUAUUUAAUCUGGUUAUGUAAUUAAGAUAAAGUUGAGUAGUUCAAGAAUGAUUGCAUUACUUGACUUAUGACUUAUUACAAAAGCAAAGCAAAGGAAAAAUAGGAGAACCAAGCAAUCUGUAAACUGACUUAUUGAAUAAUCUAAUAAUGCAAUAAAUUUGGAAAAACAUUUUUCUCUCCAAAUUAGAACUUCUAAUAAAUAAGCUUUAUUGAACAAUUUAAUAUUGUAACAGCAUAGAAAAUAAGAAAAAAAAUGCAAAUCUAACUGUUACCAUGAAAACAACAACAAAGAGCAUUUUAAUGAAAUAUAACAGAGAUACAAAUAUUUUUGUCAUUUAGACGUUAAUGCAUUCGUUUGAUCAAGAAAGGAAAAAAUUAAUUAUAAUAAAAAAACACAUAUUAAGGUAUAAAUGAAUUAAAAUAGAAUUGAUAAAAAAAUAUACAAACACAAAGUCAAAUGCUACCAAAAAUUUUAAUAUGAACAAAUUUAAAAAUUUUGAAACAGAAAAAUGCAUACUACAUUAAGCAGCAGUAAUAAUCUUUUUCUUUAUACUAAGAUGAAAUUAGUUUUAAAUAAUCUUUUUUGUUACAUUAACAAAAUAACAAAAUGUCAAAGAAUAUAACAAUUUGAAAAAAUCCAUGCAAUUCGACAAUUUUUAACAAAUGCAACUUAAUUUGUCAAAUAUAACUUUAAAUGAUAAUUCAUAUUCAAAUAAAUAUAAAUAUAAAUUCAAAUAAUAAUAAUGAUAAUAACAUUGUAAUCCGAUUAAAACUUAAGUUAAUUUAUCAAAUAUAAGUUGAAAUGAUCAUGUAAAUAAUACUCCAAUUGAAUUAUAUCUCUCCAAAAUCUAGAGUUUGAAAAGUUUAUUAAAAAUAUUUCAACCUUAUAACCGUAGGUAGAGGGCCUUACUCCUUUAGUCAACCUUAUAAUGUAAUAUCAAAUCGACAAGACAAUGCCAAAUCCAUAGCGAAAGCAAAAGAGAAAGCUAAAAAAUUAUCCAUAGUGCCAUGUGUCAGUAAGGAGAAUUGUAACAGAAACUUUGGACCUUUGUUUAUGUUAUAGUAAGAUUAGCGUGGUUGUUAUAUCACCUUUAUGUUCACAUUUUGGCAUUUUUUGCUCAUUGUCCUAUUUAGGCUUAACUACUUUUCUUUUCUUUCUUUUGUUUUUAAGUUUUCUUGAUUGGUGGUUUUUCUUUUCUUAAUCAUUAAUCUGGAAGGAACAUGCUACGGUAUGAUUAAAACAUGCCUACAUCAUAUAUUUUAAAAUCAAAAAAUGGUUUUGCUUAAUUUCCCCUUUGGUAGUAUGUCAUAAGAGGAAGGGAUGAAAUUAUGUAAAGAUAUAGAAUUUCUUGGAUCAUGUAUAAAAUUUUUCGUAGUUAAUUUAUUUAAUAUUGCAAGUUUAUUAUGGUAAAUAAUUUUGCACAAAAUCUUAUUAUCAAAUGUGUUUUUACAAGAUCUAGAUAUUAUUAGAAAACUAAUGCAUAUCAUGUUGUUUGUAUCUCAUAUUUUUUUUUCAAUUUAAAGUUUGACACUAAUUUUUUUAGACUAAUCUAGCCUUAAAUAAAUGGGGCUGUUGAACAUAUUGGAUCAUUACGAAUGGAGUCAACUAAUGAAUGUAGUUAACACCAGUGUUUUGAAAACCGGACCGGACCGGCCGGUUCGACCGGUCGAACCGGCCAUGGCACCGGUCCGGUUCCAUGUUUAGGUUGACUUUGCCAGAAAAUCGGUCAAACCCGGUAAAAACCGUGAAACCCGUUGAACCGCAUUGAACCGGAUUGAACCGGUUUUCGAGUUUUCCCUUUUUUUUUUUUUUUUUUUUUUUGCAAAAUGCUUCUAUCAAGAUUCGAACUCAAGACCUUUGCAAUAGAAGACCAAUGUAAUAACCAUUGCACCAUCACAUCUUAUUUGUUUUUUUUGAUAAUUUAUUUAUAUAACACAAACAUCUAUAUUUCAUUUUUCCAUUUUUCUUACAAAAUCUCAUUCUCUCGUGACUCUUUCUUUUUAAUUUUCAACUCUCUCUUUCUCUCUCAUCUUUUCUUUUGUCACUCCCUUUUUUAAUCAAACCUCUUUAGUUUUAAUUUAUUAAUAUUUUCUUCUAUCUUUUAAUUUUUUUUUGUCCAUUAAAUUGAAAAAAGUUAAAAAAGAAUUAUUUUUCUUUAACCCAAAUUAUUUAAUGCCACAACCACUCACUUUUAUCUCAUUUUUUGUUUCUUAUCAAGUUUGCAUUUUUAUUUUGAAUUAUCUUGACUUCUUUCGAACUCCAAACUUUCUUUUUUAAAUUACAAUAUUUAAAUCUCAAGUAUGUAAAUUAAAAUUUAAGUUCACAAUGUCAAAUUUUCAUAGAUGUGAAUUUUGUAUAAUUUCAAAAUAUUGUGAUAUUUUUGGGUUGGAUUUGAGAUUUUUUUGGUAGAUAUAAUUAAAAUUGAGAUGAAAUUUAUUUGUUUUAACUUAUAAUUUAAAAAAUUUAUUUUUUGAAAAUCCAAAUUAUUCAAAAAUAGUGAACUUUUCAUCAUAUAAAGUUUUAAAUUAGUCUAUUGCAUGUCUUAUUUUGUGCAUAUAUAUAUUUAUAUAAAUUAUUUUUUAAAAAAAUCAUUGAACCGAGGUUGAACCGGUCCGACCGGUUGAAUCUCGACCCUUUUACCUCAUCGGUUCAAUUAACGGUCCGGAUUUUAAAACAUUGGUUAACACUCAAGUAGAGCUCGAAUAGCUCGAGCAAGCCUUUAAGUAUUUCAAAGACACUCAAUACAAAGGUUCGCGAGUCUAAUAGUCUUAACUUAUUUUAUUUUUUAUCUUUAUGAUUCUAGUGUAAUGCCUAUUUUAUUCAUUUUAAAAAUAUUAACUUUAUUUAUUUUAUUAACUAGUGUAAUGUUUAUUUAUUUUAUGAUACUAGUGUACGGUCUUCCCGCUUUUACGUUCCUGCCUCGUUUGUAGACAAACUUGGUCCCUACCAAAUUGUGGCACCGCAAUAAUUUGAUUCCUACAAGAGAACAAAGAAAGAUAUUAUUUAGUUUAGUUUAAAAGAAAAAUUCCCAAGGGCAAGGAUUUACUUUAGUUUAGUAAGCACGGCACGCAUUUGCUUUUAGCAAAUAAAAAAAAUCCUCAACGGCCUGCCAUGCUUACUAAACACGAUAUAGUUUAAGUAAAUUAUGUUGUCAGAUCAACAUUCACGUGACUUUUUUUUUAGUCGAUAUUCUAAGCAAUUAGCCUUGGAGACGACUGACGAGACAAGGCGGGCUUUCGGAGGAGCGUGGACAGAUGGAGAAGGGAAGCAAAUGAGCCGAAAGGCAUGUGACAGAGAUACGUGUCACCAUUGUAUUUGUGCGACCGAUUUCACCAUCAGCUGGGAGGCGACAAUCACAAGGCUAGAAAAAUUGUCAUUCAGAUGUUAUCGGUCAAUGAUCACAGUACCAAACACUAGCAAAUUUUUUCUGAAGGUAAAAGGAUUAUGUUCCCUUCGGAUUGGAAGUGUGGGAUUCGAACCUCAUUUACUUGGAAAUAAAUUUAAAGAUGGUGUUAAAUUAUUUUUUUAAUUUAAUUAGAUCUGUAUACAUGUUAAAUUCGCGUACACCCUCCUUAAACUCUUCCAUAGAACAAAAUAAAUAAGGAUAUAGAAAUGUUAACAUUAUUGUAACCAAUUUUCCGAAGGUAUCUAUGACUAGGUCAGUGCCAUAAAUUAUUGCGCAAAAAACAUUAGAAAAAGGCGACGACCUGAGAAUCAAUUUCUGUUUAGAAAAGCAUCUUUACUUUACUUGACAGAAAGUCCAAAAAUUAAGAAGUAAACACAAAAUUGAUACCAAGCCUGCAAUUAUAUAGUUUGGGACAGGUGAGGAGGUACCUCUACAUUUCCUCUGUCCUCUCUUUUGGAAAUGGAGAUUACUUUUCCUGCUCUUCUGGUAAGCCUCCUCCUCUUUUUUCUUCUAUGGAAGUUGACUGGGCUAUUCAUCAAAAGUUCCAAGAGCACUGAUAGUCCCAGAAAACUCCCAGGGCCAUGGAAGCUACCUCUGAUUGGAAGUAUGCACCAUCUAGCUGGUUCUUUGCCACACCAUGCUCUAAGAGACUUGGCUGAAAAAUUUGGACCCAUCAUGCAUCUGCAGAUGGGAGAAAUAUCUACAGUGGUCAUAUCAGCACCACAGGAGGCAAAAGAAGUGCUGAAAGUUCAUGACAUUUCCUUUGCAGAUCGGCCAGAAUUUCUAUCUUCUAAGAUACUUGGUUAUGAUAACCUGGAUAUCGCCUUUUCUCCUUACGGUGAUUACUGGAAACAGAUGCGAAAAAUCUGUCUCCUAGAACUCCUCAGUCCCAAGAGCGUGCGGUCUUUUGGCACUCUCCGGGAGGAUGAGGCCUCGAAGGUGAUUAGAUCCAUCAAGUCUUCAAACUCACCAGUCAAUAUUACUGACAAAGCCUUCACUUUUACGAAUGACAUAGUCUGCAGAGCAGCUUUUGGAAAGAGCUUCGCGCACCAAGAUCGUCUGAUAACGCUGAUAAAUGGGGCAAUUUUAGCAAGCGGAGGUUUUGAUAUAGCUGAUUUGUUUCCUUCGCUAAAAUUCCUUCAUUCCCUGAGUGGUUUGAAGCCAACACUGCUAAAGCUGCAUCACGAGAUUGACCAGAUGCUUGAAAACAUAAUCAGUGAGCGCAAACAGAAGCGAGCAAAUCAAUCAAUCCCCGUUGGCUCUCAAUCAGAAGUGGAAGAUUUAGUUGAUGUCCUAUUAAGACUCAAGGAAAGUGGUGACUUCAAUAUUCCUAUUUCAACAGACAGCGUCAAGGCUGUUAUUUGGGUAAGUAUAUAACAUAUCACAGACACCUCAAGUAAAUUUCCCGUUUCAUCAUAUUUUUAAGUAACCAUUUCCUCCCCAACUGUAAUACAGGACAUUUUUGCAGCUGGGACUGAAACUUCUGCAGCCACAAUAGACUACGCAAUGGCAGAGCUGAUUAGAAACCCAGGUGUGAUGGAAAAGGUGCAAGCCGAGCUGAGACAGGUCCUCAAGGGGAGGGAAACAGUACAAGAGACAGACUUGAAGGAAUUGAAUUACCUAAAAGCAGUGAUCAAAGAGACUCUGAGGCUGCACCCUCCUCUUCCACUGAUACUUCCAAGAGAAUGCAGGGAGCCAUGUAAGAUUGCUGGUUACGAUAUUCCCGUCAAAACUAAAGUCAUGAUAAAUGCCUGGGCAAUUCAUCGGCAUCCUGAAGUUUGGCCGAGCCCCGAAAGGUUUAAACCGGAGAGAUUUCUUGACAGUGGCAGUGACUCAAUAGGGAUGAAUUUCGAGUAUAUCCCAUUU